rnacentral:lncRNA from 1 species
UUCUUAGAAAAUCCCUCGACAUAACAAGCAGCAACGCUGGUUCCAUGAUUCACGAGACAAUAUAUUGAACAGCCAAAACCAACAAACGAUGCAUUAUCCAUGAGAUCAUGACUGCGGCUAAGACACAGAUAGUAAAUUAAGCAGAAGUACCAAGGCAGAUAUUACGCCUCAAGACAGUCAAAAAAAGAAGAUACCACAGCCGUUUUACCAGAACAGAGGCCACUAAAACAAGAUACAUAAUCUAGCUAGAGUAGCUGAACCCCGAGAUCUUGUAGAUGCGGAUAGUUCCAUCGGUGUAACCAGCAUAGAGAGUGCUGGCAUCCGCGCUCCAGCUCAAGCAAGUGCAGUAGAGCAUCUGGGCAAACAGUAUGAAGCAUAUUAAGAAGCACCCAACAGACGAUAGAUUUUAACUUAAUGUAGCAACUCUCAAAAUUUAAAAUGAGUUCGUAAAAACAGAACCAGUAAAUUUAGCUAUGCAUUAGAACAAAUGCACAACAAGUGCCUGUGCUUCCUUUAAGUACCUCGCUUGACAAUACAAUGCAGCCUUAAGUUAGAUGGGCAGGCGGCACCAGGGAAGAUGAACAUAAAACAUUUCAUAACAAUGUAUGAAAAAUAACCAACAGAACAAGCACAUCCAUGUACAUUCCAUGAAUAAGAAAAGUACUGGUAGUGAACUUGCUAUUUCUUUUUAUGCCUGCAUUAAAGCUCUUUAUCAAUUUGGCAACUUAAGUCAACCAGUUCUAGCUUAAAGAACAAAAUAGCACAACUAUGCAAGCUUUCAGCUGCAUUAUAUAAUGCGGUGAAUCAAAACCCUCACUGGUAAUGUUCAGAACCUAUGCUAAAUUCAUCAUUCCAACAUGAAGCUAAUACGUUGCAAAUCAUAAAUUAGACUACCACAAUAAAUACAGAUGAUAGAAUGUAACAGAUCUACAUAGCCACAAGGGUAAGCUGGUCAUACAAACAACACAUUUACAAAUUAACCAAUAGUAAACAAUCAAAGAAACACGGAAAUAAGGAGUGAUAGUGGGAAUAGGAAAUAAACCUGCUUCGUGGAGACAGGGACCUCGGGCCUAAGGUCCUGCACGAUGUGCUUUGACUCAAGAUCCCAGAUCUUGAUGGAAUCCUGUGUCGCCGCGCAGAGCCAGUAGCGGUUGGGCGAGAAGCAAAGUGAGUUGAUAAUGGAUCCCGCAUCCAGCGAGUAGAGUCUCUUGCCCUCGGUCAAAUCCCACAGCAAGGUGACGCCAUCCUUGCCACCAGACGCGCAGAGCGAACCGUCUGGGCUGACCGCGACGGCGCUAACAUAGCCACCAUGACCAUCAAGAGUGCAGCGGAGCUUGCAGUUGGUGAGGUUCCAGACCUUGACGGAGCGGUCCCAUGAGCCCGAGACGAUGGUCGGGGCGAAGUUGUUGGGUGAGAAACGGACGCAGGACACCCAGCCAGUGUGGCCCUCGCCGCCUCCGAGGUCACCGCCGAUGGUGUACUUGCACUCACCGAGGGUGUUCCAGAGCUUGAUGGUGCGGUCGCGGGACGCCGAGACGAUCUGUCGGUUGUCAAUGGAGAAGGCGACGGAGAGGACGUCCUUCUCGUGGCCGACGAAGCGGCGGGUGGUGACCCCGGUGGAGAGGUCCCAGAGGCGGAGCUCGCCGUCCCAGGAUCCGGAGAGCGCGAACUGGCCGUCGGAGCUGAGGACGACGUCCUGGACGAAGUGGCCGUGGCCGGUGAGGCGGCGGAAGGGGACGCCGUACUCGGAGCUGGAGUCCUGGGUGGCCUGGAUGGGGUUGGUGAGGUCCCAGACGAGCAGCGACUUGUCGCGGGAGGAGGAGACGAUGAAGGGCGAGUUGUCGAUGGGCGUCGCGAUGGCCGUGACCACGUCGUUGUGGCCGCGCAUCACGCCGGCGUACACGAGGGACUCCUGCGCUCCGGCCAUGGUGGUGGGGCGGAGCGAGCGCUAGGGUUUUGGGGGUGCGGUGGAGGCGGCGGCGCAGGCUAGAGAUGAGAAGGAAAGCGGGCGGAGAGGGAGGAGGAGUUUAUAGUGGGGGCGGGCGUGAGGCGCUAGGGUUUUCGUGGAUUAGUGGACUUUGUGCUCAGUUGAGCGGAAAUCGUGACCGUCCGAUGCACACCGAGAGGGAUCUCUGGGCUGCACCCCAGGAGGCCCAUUGCAAACGCUGCAGAUCGUCUCACUUGCGCAUGGGCCUAUAGCUUACCAUUCUCCUCUUCUCUGCCCCAUGGGCCUAAUCAUCGCUACGGAGGGAAAAGGCAAGAAAUGCUUUGGUCCUCUGCAUGGGGCGGGAAAUGCUUUGCUUCUAUGCUCUUGCUUGGGUGAAACAUUUAGGUGACCACCACAAGAAAAUUCGAGCAUAAGAUGACUCAAGAAAAGGAUCGCGUCAUGACAUAUUAGUAUUAGCAGCUACUCCUAUCAACUAAGGGGAUUUUUUAUUAAAAGGAUAUUCAUACAAUUUUUUAAGAAUUAGAAUCCUUAAGGAGUUUUCCUAUGUUGGUUAUUUGAUUCGUACAAUUGAAUCAUAUACAUAUUGUCCUAAGAAAUUCUUUGCACUACAUUUCAUAUAAAAUCUUUAAUUCACCUGGAUAUCCUGGAAAAAAUCCUUAGUUUUCCGGGAAUGUUAAAGAAUUGACUUAAGUUUCUUUUUAAGCUUUCCCAGCGAACGCCUAGAAUUGCCAUGCGUAAACAAAUAAAAUUGUCAUGAUGUCCUAAGGGAUUUGUUAUGCUCUAAAGCGACAAUUACCAUGUACUUAGUACAGAAAACUGGCAGAAAAUUCAUCACGCUGCGCACAGUAACUGUCAUGCGUUCAAUUGGGAUCUGACAGUCCGCAUUCGCUGGGAUUGCCUAAAAAAUGACGUUCGCUGAUAAGUGGUGUCCUUAUUUUUUUUUUCUAUGGUGCAAGCAAAAUCAUGUAGAGUCCAAUCGGACAUCCCCAUUGUUUUUGCAACCCUGCGAGGCUGCGACUCAAUAAGGCAGUGUGGAGAAAGGAUCCGUCUUUCUCAAGAAAGAACCCCAUGAAUGAAAUCAAACCGGCGUUCUGCUCUGUGCUGUCCACGUCGCGGUGCGAAGGUGUUCGGAGACGGAGGAUCACGAUUCAUGGAGAACCGGAUGGGCGCUUGAUGAGCACAGAGACAGAAACGGAGUCCUGAUCCACCCCCAACCACGUCCGGUUGUCAGAUCAACGAAGUAAUCACUCGUUGCCGUGGUCGAAUGGCAGGGAAAGGGACGUUUCACAGCGGCUCUCGGCCGUUCGUUCCCUGAUUGAUUGCAGCGGGUCAGCUAAGUGCACAAGUUACCAGGGCAGGGAGGGCCGUGAAUCUUGCAAACAUGCUCGCCGAUGAACGGGAUCGAUUUUGUACCCCAUGAAAUUUGGUGCUUUGGCGGCAGCACAAAGGCAGGAUCGGUUUCCCAACAAACAUGCCAACUCCCAGGUACUUUUCCAGAGCAUCUCUGAGUUGGGUUAGCUACCUCCUUUCUCUAUCUAUGGAAACAAAUUCGUCUCCAAUCUGUCUAUCCUACUAUAAUCAGGAAACUAAUCAACAGGGCACCGUCUGUACAGCGGUGGACGAGAUAAAAAAAGGAACAUUUCAUUUCACAGAUAAGGCAAAUGAGGGCCUAUCUAUCCAUCCCGCACUGACGGGAGCAGACAGGUACCCUAUCUUGUAGGAGUGCCCAACAAAAAAAAACAAUAGUCAGUUACCGGCGGGACGGGACGCCCUGCGAAGAUCCGCGGCGCGAAUCGCGAGGCCGCCAUCAGGUGAUUCUUCUCAAAAGAACCAAAUAAAACGCAACGGAGGCCAGUAGCGGAGGGCCACCUAACCCAUCGAUCUCUUGCUUCUCUACUGGAUGUUUGGGAUCUCCAUGUCCCGCCCUGCAAGCGUCCCCCUGCCCUGCUCCUCCCAAGCCCUUCUCCCCUUCUUGAUGUUGUUGGCCUGCCUCUCCUACUCUCCUCUUCCUCCUCCCCCCCUGCCGCUCUCCUGGUGGCUUGCAUAUCAUAUCCUCCCUCCAUUCUUCCUUUCUUCACUCAAGCCAAGCUCUUUGCUUCUUGGGGUUGCCAUGCCUCAUAAUCUCAUUCUCACGGCUUGAGAAAAGAUCGGGCCUUGCCUUUUCCAGCUGCACCGGCUUGCUUGGCGCGGCCUUCGUCCCAUUUGCACCCCCUCCCCAGGUAACAUGCAGUUCAUGGCCCUUUUCGUGUACCUCCGUGCCUGCCUCCGUGCAUGGGCGCAUGGCUCUUUUAAUUAGCUCCUUUCUGUAAGCAAAGGGGAUGUCUGGUGGAAUGGAAAGACGCUUCAAAAAGAGCUGCCUUUCCUGCCAUCUCGUGUCAUGUUCGUGGCAUGAUUCUUUGUCAUGUGGUGCGACUUAACAUGGAUUGCGUGCGUGGUCUUUGUUCCGGACAAGCUCCUUUUCGAUAUAGCGUCCCUGAAAAAUCAUGGAUGCUUAUGUUAUCCACAGCUGUGUUUCAAUCGGCAAGGCCAUUGAUCCGAGGAUGGCGGACCACUUCGCGCUCAUGACGGGACGGAUGAUCACGGAGGCAACGCUUCAGGGCGCCAUCUUCGAUGCCCCUUCCGCGAAGGAUGCUUGUGAUCAUCAUGAUCCUUCUAUUUUUGAGGACGGGAGGACCAAGACUGGUGUCAUGGUGGAAUGCAGAAUCUGCCAAGAAGAAGGUGAUCAAGCCUACAUGGAGACCCCUUGCUCCUGCAAGGGUAGCCUCAAGGCAAGGCUUUCUGCUCCUCUCCCGGCUUGAUCAUUCCAUAUGCUGUCAAAUUAUCCUUGGUUGUUCAAAGUCUGAGCACCAGAAAUAACCUCAAGUUGAAAACCCGCUUAUUAUUACCUCGUCCAUCUUCAACAAUGGAACAGAGGUCGCUUUCGUAUUAGAUACGUCCAUAUCAAAAUGCCACCGGGAACACAAAUUUCUAUUUCUGUCUUCCAUACCACUAUCAGUGAAUUAUUUCUUCUCUGUUAUCGGAACCAAAUCGGAUUUUUCGAGGGAUUCUAUCCUUGUGUCGAUAGAAUCAUGAUUUUCAUGUAGAUUCGACCACCCUUUUAUUUUUUCCUAGCAGAUGCCCAUUUAAUCCUGCCAGCCAACAGAGGUUUUACUUGAACUAGUUUGUUGCUGCCUGCAGUACGCUCACCACAUAUGCAUCCAGAGGUGGUGUAACGAGAAGGGAGACACCAUAUGUGAGAUAUGCUUACAGGUGAGUAAUUCUCAACGGAAACCAGAAAGAAGCAGCUGAGUUCAGUUUGCCCUUUACUUCCCUGUAAAGCCAUCAUCAGUCUUCAGUGCCAAAAGAUAGUUUGUUGACUAAUUUCUUGUCUUUGCUACCUAUGGCACAGCAAUUUACACCAAACUACAGUGCCCCUUUGAAGUUGUUUCGGAUCGGAAGAAACCAAAUUAGCUUCAGGUGUCACUUGGUGCUUAAGAUCCUUGGUAAUAUUUUCAUCCAAGAAGGGCCUAUCUGACAUCCUAGGCCCUCUCUUCUCACUGCAGGAGAGCUGGAGGAACACCAGAGAAUCUCAACGCUGGAGAAAACGUUUCCCAAACUGCUGGUCAUGCUGCCGGCACAUCAAGCUUUGACUCUCAAUUUUGCAAUCCAAAAGGCGUCACCUACUGCCGUGUGAUUGCCAUCGCCGUAAGUGCUAUAGAAUGUAAACCUUCCAUGCAUCUGGCACGAGUACUCAUGCUGCAGCCAACUAACGCAUAUGUGGUUCGAAACAUGCACCUUCAGUUGAUGGCUCUGCUGGUGCUCCGUGACGCAACCUCGCUUGUCCUCGGCGGCCCCGAGGUGUACUCGAUGGCACUGAUCACUGUAAGAGUCUGAAUCAUGUAACCUGAUUAGAUCUUUCUAUUUUCUUACCCUGAAUGUGAUUCAUGGGCAAUUCUGAUAUGGAUUGCGUUGAUGAGACAGCUGCUGAUGUUCAGAACAGCCGGAGUUGUCAUACCCAUCUACUUUAUCUUGAUAUCAGUUGUCACAUUGCUCCAUCGGUACAGUCAACACCAGGUCUGUCUUACCCAUGUCCAGUCACGUAUCUAAAAAACCUCGGUUUCAAUCAGAAUGUAAUGUUUUUAUGCUAAUGCAGGAUGUGCAUGGCGCAACGCCAGUUACAGAACCUGUAGGAAUUGAGGACACAGAGAGCCUGCCGCCGACGCCACCUCAACAGCAUGUCAUCAGCAUCCAGUAGCAAGCUGCACAAGGAGAAUGGUGGUUAGGUUCUGUCAAAUAUUAUUAGUCUCAUUGGAUGAAGUUAGCGAGAUCGACGCUGGCUGUCAUAGGAUAGAGAAGAUGUAAAAUCAUUGCAAGUGUAAAGAUGUUCCGUAGAAUUGUACACAAAGCAUAUACUAGGAACAACACACUUGACUUAACAAGUCAUGGAGAUGAGAAGUGAAAUUGAAGUGGGCAUGUGUAUAUAAAGUUUAAGAAACCCUAGGCAAGUGUGAGUGAGUGUACAGGCUUUCCAACAUUCAUGGCAGUGAAAAUUUUGUGCCCAGCCACAGAAGACACCAGGCACUAAAACGUCUGCAUUCUCUUUGGAAAAAGCAGGGAAACUCUGUAUGAAAAUAGGCAAAAGUUCACGGUUACAUAAAUAAUACAGUACAUCAUGUCCCUCCUGUUCGUUUACACAACACAAAAAUUGCUUCAUAAGUGUUCUCUUACUCUCUGUCCUUGUAAACUGGAAAGGACUGCCAGUAUAGGCUACAACAACAACCUGAGGAUAAAAUUGAGCUACAACAUAGAGGGAAAAACACACUUAAGCUGGCCUUUCACGCCCGUUGGAAAGCCAAGGUGCACACUUGAGACCCCUCAACUCCGCCAAACAUGAUGGUAGGAUACGUUUGGACAUGAUCCAAGUAUCGGAAGAUCUGGUGCGAAUCACCUGCACCUCUGUCUGUGUCCUCCUUACCAAAUUUCCGCAUACCGAACUCUUCUACUUCUUGCAGAAGCUCAUCCUUUGUGUGAUUACAUGAUGUUAUGACCUGAAGACAUAAGCAUAAGUUUCAAUUCUACAGGACUGGUGUAAGAUAAGAGUUUCAGAGAGUUUGCACGGAGAAAGUACUGACCACAAGGCCACCUGGUUCAACCAAGUUUGAUAUAGAUUCCCAAUACAUCACUCUGAAGCAAAGAAAAAAAAAACACCAUAAAGAGAACAAUGUUAACUCAACGUGGUACUGAUUAUUGAAUCAUACUUGAGAUAUCUUUAACAUAGACUUCUUGUGUAUUGGAACCGCAUACCCCAUUAACCUAUCCUGUAUGUGCAUAUACCACAACCACAACAACAACAACAACAACAACAACAACAACAACAACAACAACAACAAAGCCUUGUCCCAAACAAGUUAGGGUAGGCUAGAGGUGAAACCCAUAAGAUCUCGCGACCAAAUCAUGGUUCUGGCACAUGGAUAGCAAGCUUCCACGCACCCCUGUUCAUGGCUAGUUCUUUGGUGAUACUCCAAUCCUUCAAAUCUCUCUUUACGGACUCCUCCCAUGUCAAAUUUGGUCUACCCCGAUAUCUCUCGACAUUAUCCGCACGCUUUAGCCAUCCGCUAUGCACUGGAGCUUUUGGAGGCCUGCGCUGAAUAUGCCCAAACCAUCUCAGACGAUGUUGGACAGGCUUCUCUUCAAUUGGUGCUACGCCAACUCUAUCCUAUAUGUGCAUAUACCACAUUGCAAUGAAAUAUAACUCACUGGUUGAGUUGUUAAAAUCAACACGGUGUGCUGGUAAGCAGUGAAACUCAGCUAUCUACUGCACUAUGCAGAUCUGAAACUAAACUAAAUUGAAAGUCGGGCUCAUACAGCCUAAAGCCCUAAAGGCUAAAGCUAUGCUAUUCACUAUUACAGAAUGCCAACAAAUAAAAACUAUCCAGAUAGGAGACCUAAUUUCCAGAUUUCUAGCUAUUCCAACUCUAGUAUGCAAAAUUUGCAGGUUCUUGUUAGAUAAUCAAAUCUCACAGAACAUAUCAACAAUAUUUAAUUCCACAGGCUAAAAGGAAAUUUUAAGGGGGUGGCUAACCAAAGAAUGACCGAGUCGUAGUUCUUGUACCUUUUUGCACGGCCAUCUGGAUGCAAUCCAAUGGCAUCCAAUGUCCCUUUAUCUGUAAUAAUUUUGAAUUUCCUGUCUAACUUUGUCUCAAGUACAUCAUCGACCUGGUGGAGACAGAAAUAUGAGUUACUACAGUCGUCAAAACACCAUAACUGUAAGUACUUAAUAACCAUUUGAUAAGGGCAUCUCCUACUGCCCUCCCCAAACCUGCCCCAUUUGUCAGCCCGGACAGUCAGGACUAAAAAAAAAAUACAGCCCAGCAGGCCUCCCCAAACCUCUCCAUUUGUCUGGACUGUCCAGACCGCCCCAAACCCAGCCUACAUAUGGGGAGGAUAUGGGGCUGUAUGGACAUGUCCGCAAUGUCAGCCCAAACCCUGGGCCUAUCCCAAAAUCAACAAAAAAAAAUGUCCGCCCCAAAAUCUAGCUCACUUUCCUCAGCUCGCCGCCCCACCUCCAUCCACCAUCGCCAUGUCUGGAUCGGUGGACGACGGCAUCGAUUGGGAACUCUUGGAGGCAGAGGACGACGAGGACCUUGCCUUUCGCCAAUCGAGGGUCGAGACCCAAGGCUGUCUGUCGUCCCCUCCACCCCGGCACGGGUGAAGUGGCAGUGGGCCAUCAUCGCCGCCCACCGUCCCCGCCGCGGCGCAGUUCGAGCUCCGUCCCCGGCUGCCCGGCACGGGUGGAGCAACGGUGGUCGAGCUCGUCCGAGGCGGCGCCAUGGCCCUCCCGUUGGGCGGAUCCAGCUCGCGCUGUGUGUUCGGCUCGCACAACGCGUCCUUCUCCUCCGCUCCAGUACCCAUGCCAUCCUCGUCCGAGGACGAGCAGGUGGUCCACGGCAUCCUUUGAUGCUCCUUGGCCACGAAGGAGUCUGCCACCUGCCGCCGUCGGAAGAACGCGAAGGCGCUCUGGGAGGGUAUCAAGGCUUCGCAAUGUGAAGCUGAAAAGGCCGCCCGAGCCAAAGCCCUCGCCAAUGAACAAGCCCGCGCCGCCAAUGCCCUCGCCGGACAAGGAUUCUGAUAACCCCUACGACGCAUUCAUUCACUUCCACUUCAGAAAACACCUGUGAAGUGUUGAUUGUCCUACUGCUAUAUCCUAUGGCUUUGGAAUAUGUGUUGUCUCACGGCUAUGUCCUAUGUCUUUGAACUAUGUUGUACGAACUUGUCCUAUGUCCUAUGUCAAUUGGUUGUGCUAAGAGCAAGUCCAGUUAUGGAGGAAUAGCAGUAGACAAAUGAUUAACAAAGAGUUCACCAAUUUCAAGAAAAAAAAUGCAUGCAUGGCAAGUACAGAGUUGAAUAUCUUUACACUCACAAAGUGAGCCUUUGAAUAUACAUGCAAACUACCACUAGAUAUUUGAUUUCUUCAGUAUGUUUGCUCAAUUCAUGGCAAUUGAUUUUAUUUUAUGUGGUGGAGCUUUAGGGCUGAAUACAUUUUCUUCCCGGUAAACUGCACUUUUUGUUGACAUUAUCUGCCACCAACUGGAUACUGUAUCUGCUAUGACGGAAAAAUAGUAUACAUUCCCCUCGUUUAUGGUAAACAAGGCGACUUGGGUAAACAAACUAUGUAGACUCUUAAGUGUUUGUGCUUUUCUACAAGAUGCAAAGAUGCUUCUCAUUUAGCUAAGACUCGUCGAGACUAGUGAAAGUAGCUAUUGUUAUCAUAUGCUCUUUCUUUUUUAGGCUACAGAAUAUGUAAGAACAUGUUAAUUACAGUUAAGAAAUUUAGAAUAUAAUAACAAAGUGUAGACUUCGUAGACAAAUAUACAAAUAUAAGAGGACUUCCAUCUGAAUACAGUAUACUGACCAAAAAACUUAUAGUAGUGAACCCAUCACGAGCAGCAAGGUUUCUUGCAAGUUCAAUGGCUCCUUCACUGUAAUCAGUUCCUGUUAAAUCUGAAAACCUGAAAAACGAAACUAUUCAUUCUUUUGCAAACAUAUGAUCUUCAAAAUCAUAAUAAGGGCGACUUUGGCGUUAACAGUGGCUUCCAAAAGCACUGCCUCACUUUAAUAAAAACGGAAAUAUUUAACUAGAACUGAGAACGGGUAUUUCGGAAGUAGUCUAUUCAGUUCUUAGAAAGUUAGGAAUACAUUAAAAAAAACAUUGCUCUGCGCACAUAAUUCAAGCAAAACAAUUGUAUUAACAAACUAUGCAACAUGAUGACAUCAUUUCUUAAGUACCAUAUUAUUAAAUUAGCGUAAUUAAUUCAAUAAACCUUUACUGUGUAUAAUGGGUAUAAACAGGAAAAACAUAUUUAAGAUUACUCAUUGUCUGUACCCCUGCUUGGCAAGUGCUUGCAGAAGGAGGCCGUUGCCAGUUCCAAGAUCGAGCACGGGGUAGUCAAACAAGUGUUUAUCAUCAACUUCAAAUUUGAUGUUGUCAUUAGCCGAUGAAAGUCCACCUUGGAAAAAGCUUACACACAAUUUUUUUGUCCAAAUGGCAACAGUAUCCAUUACAUCUGCACCAAACCUACCAAAAGAGAAAUAUUGUGCUCAGUAGCAACGAAUAAUAAAUAACUCAAGCAUUCGAUAUACUCCGCGAAAUAGCACUGGGAACCUUAAAGUAUCAAUGAAGAAUUCAAUAUUUUCUACAAAAUCUCCAGUAUUAUGUCAAUUGUCAAUUACGUAAAUAAGUGGGUUUUGGUGUGAGUACGUGCCUGUACUCCAGAUUCUAAGUUUGAGGAACCAAAAAUGAAAAAGUGAGUAUGCAUGCUCAAUGGCUCACUUACAUUUUUCUAAUGCAUGCACUAUGUCUAUAAUACAGAUGAACAACGGCUUCAUGAAAAAAAUUAGUUGAUAAUGAAAGAAGAAUAAGAAUAAUAAAGUUUGUAUUUAACAAAAAAUAGAGCUAACAUUUUAUAAUCUGCACUAUACAAAUUCCAAACAAUAAAAACAGUUACAUUGUAAAACCAAUUAGUGACAGCCUUUUGGCUUUCUUGUAGUAACCGAUAUGACGUCAUGUGAUUUUUCUAUACAAAAUUAGACACUUUCAAUCAAUAUAAAAGAACCUAAAAUUUAAUUACCAUAUUUCUCCAGCAUGGCCGUGUUCCUGAAAAUUUGCGAGAUCUUCAGAAUAAGAAGCAUCCCAAUAACUUUGUAGCCCCAACAUUGAGCCUUCCUCAUUAGGAUCUUGGUCAUCUUUGUCAGAACUGCCUCGACAGAAGGGUAUUUUAGAACAUUUUUAUGAAUUAUUGAGAAAAUUAUACAAAUAACAGGCUAGCGAAUAGAGUUUUUUUUCUUGUCAAAUACAUUAAUUUGAAGUUGUCGUACAGUUUUAUUAUUUGGACAACAUGUUCACCUACCUUAAUACAAGAUAAGAAAAUUGUUAUAUUUUAGGUCUGAAUACACUUAUGCUAAUCCCGUGGUGGAGUGAUAACAUGACACACAUUUUAUGAAUUUCCCACCUUUGUUCAUAGCUAUACUUAAUUAGAAAGUGCAUAAUGCAAAAUGGUAAGCAUAACAACCAUAAUUAGAAACUUUUCUUGGUGGCUAUUUAUCCACUAUGUUCUUCUCAUGGCCAUUCCAAACUCAUAUCUAUGAUAGUUUAGUCGUGCUUCUAUUUUGUUUAUUGUACUUUAGUUACAUGAAAGUAAGGACACCCUUAUAUUUAUAUUUAAUACUCCCUCUGUUCACAAAUUUAAUAUGUCUAACUUUUUUCUGAAUCGGAUGUAUACAGACACAUUUUGGUGUGUUCGUUCACAUUUCAGUCCAUAUGUAGUCCAUAUUGACAUAUCCAAAACUUCUUAUAUUUGUGAACGGAAGGAGUAUAUGAUUGAGCCAUGUGGCAAACCCUGCACCAAAACUCUAAAAAACUCCAUACAACUAUCUUUUAUCUAGAUUUUUCUACCAUUUGCAACGAGUAAUGGUAAUAAUUUAUUCUAGACCAUUCAUGAAAAAUAUCUAAACCCCUUUAAAUUUCUCCAGAGCUUUGAUCUAAUAUCACCUAUAGCAGGCAUCUUGAUCUUUUUGAGGGCUUACGAAUAUUCUAGAAUGUUAUGUAUGCAUCGCAUACUCUUAACAGUCACCCCAUACUGAAGCUAGAGGAACAUUAUUAUUUCCUGCACAAAUCAGUAGAUCUACGUUUCAAACUCAGCUAAUUUGCAUAAAGAAAGAGCGAGGAGUACCAGUAAUCAGAGGCAGCGGAGGGGAAGUUCCCGGCGGCCGCCGCCGCGGCGAGCACAUCGGCAGCGUCGGCGUAGCGCUGGUCAUCGUCUAGCGUGCUCCCGUACUCGCUCCGCACGGACCACGAGUCCGCUGCCACUGACCGCUCGUCGUCCGAAGCCAUCUCCAGGCCACCGCUGCCGCCGCCGCCCGCUGUGACGCCGGAGCCGGCGACGGGGAGCGGCAGCUGGGGGCGGGGCGGAGUGCCCUGCGGCAGCUCAGGCUCCUCGGGCGUCAGCCUGAUUCCAGCCAUGCGGAUCGGGCGGGAGAUCGCGGCGAGGGGCACGGUGGUACCGGGGUUAGAACUUGGACAGGGAGGCGGCUUGAAUUUUAGCAAUGCUUGGAGUGGCGAUUUGUAACUCGGUCACUUUUGUAGACGGCGGAAUGGAAUGGUCGCUUGCACAACGUCAGAGCAUCUCUAGCUCCGGUACUAGGUUCCGGCAAAACAGAUCCGGUAAAAUGCGUUCUGCAAAUUUAGCAGGUUCUAAUAAAGCAGAUCCGGUAAAUUGUGUUCUGCAAAUUUAAAAGCAUGUUCGCCCUAUAAGUAGUUUUGCCACACAAUCAUAGUUCGUACAUAGCAAAUACAUAUUGUUGAUAUUAACCCACGUGGAAAGAUGAACUUCAAAGAAAAAAGGAUAGCUCCCAACUCAAGCACUUGGAAAGUUUAACUACAUGAUGAUGUCAACAACAAAAUUCAACGAGUCCUUGAUACGUCUUCAACGUAUCUACUUUUUCUAACGUUUUUGCUUUUGUUUUAAACUUUAAUUUGCAUGAUUUAAAUGAAACUAACCCGAACUGACAUUGUUUUCAGUAAAACUAUCAUGAUGUUGUUUUUGUGCAGAAAUAAAAAUUCUCGGAAUGAAACGAAACUUUCUGAAGAAUUAUUUUACAAUAAAAAAACUGGAGCCAAGAAACACCGGAGGGGGGGUCCCUGGUUGAGCACAACCCACAAGGGCGCGUUCAGGUGGAUUGCGCCCACCUGGUGGCCUCGCAGACCAUAAUUCCAACUCCUUAAAUACCUAUUUUUUGAAGAAAAAAAACAGGAAGGAAGAAUUAUCUCGUUUCAUGAUACAGAGCCGCCGCCACCUCCUGUUCUUCAUCGGGAGUGAAUCCUGGAUCUUCGUCAUCACCAAUCCUCCUUCAUCGACAAUUCCAUGAUACUCCCCAUCGGAAGUGAGUAAUUCAUUUGUAGGCUCGUUGGUCGGUGAGUAGUUGGAUGAGAUUCAUCAUAUAAUCGAGUUAGUUUUGUUAGGGCUUGAUCCCUAGUAUCCAUUAUGUUUUGAGAUUGAUGUUUUUAUGACUUUGAUAUGCUUAAUGCUUGUCACUAGGGCCCGAGUGUCAUGAUUUCAGAUAUGAACCGUUUAUGUUUUCACCAUUAUAUCUAUGUUCUAGAUCCGAUCUUGCAAGUUAUAUGCACCUGCUACGUGUUAUGACCCGUUAACCCCGGGGUGACAAUAAUCAGGAUACUUUUCAGUGAUGACUGUAGUUUGAGGAGUUCAUAUAUUCACUAUGUGUUAAUGCUUUGUUUCGGUUCUUUAUUAAAAGAAAGUCUUAAUAUCCCUUAGUUUCCUUAUGAACCCCGCUGCCACGGGAGGGUAGGACAAAAGAUGCCAUGCAAGUUCUUUCCAUAAGCACGCAUGACUAUUUACGGAAUACAUGCCUACAUAAUAUUUAUGAACUGAAGCUAGUUCUAUAUCGCCCUAGGUUAUGACUGUUAUAUGAUGAAUAUCAUCCAACGAAUUCACUGAUCCAAUGCCUACGAGUUUUUCACAUAUUGCUUCUGCUAAGUUACUAUUUGAAAGUGCGUUAUAUCGACUAGAGGGGGGUGAAUAGGCGAUUUUUAUGAAAGUCUUCAAAACAUGGGAGUUAUGAAGACAAACAGUAGAGAUAUGCCUAUUACUAUGCAGCCGAAGUUAGACUACACUAGGCAAGCCAUGGUCAAGUAUCAACAUAGUGAAAGCACAGUGACAAAUAGCUGUAGUGUAAUAAGGAUCAGGUAGGAAGAUACUAUGAAGCCAAACAGAUCAUACACUCACGUUGUGAAGACAAAAGAUAGAACAGACACGCAAUGACUUCACAAUGAGUGAUCAGUAAGUAAAAGGAAGUGAAGAUGAAACCAGUGACUCGUUGAAGACAAUGAUGUGUUGGACCAGUUCCAGUUGCUGUGACAACUGUACGUCUGGUUGGAGCGGCUAGGUAUUUAAACCUUAGGACACACAGUCCCGGACACCCAGUCCUGAACACGCAGCUCAGGACACCAAGUCCUCACCGUAUUCUCCUUGAGCUAAGGUCACAUAGUCCUCGUCCAAUCACUCUGGUAAGUCUUCAAGGUAGACUCCCAAACCUUCACAGACUUUGUUCACUGGCAAUCCACAAUGUCUCUUGGAUGCUCUGAACGCGACGCCUAACCGUCUAGGGAUGCACAGUCCUCAAGUGUAAUAAGUCUUCAGAUCACACGGACAAGAAGACUUAAGUGAUGCCCAAUGUUCUCUGGCUCUGGGUAGUUAGGGCUUUAUCCUCGCAAGGAAUUCUCUCUCAAAGGCUUCGAGGUGGGUUGCUCUCAAACGACAAAAGCCGUACUCUCAAUCUGAGCAGCCAACCGUUUAUGGUUGUAGGGGGUGGGCUAUUUAUAGCCACUUGGCAACCCGACCUGAUUUGUCCGAAAUGACCCUGGGUCACUAAGGAACUGACACGUGUCCCAACGGUCAGAUUUCAAACUCACACGGCAACUUUACUUGGGCUACAAGCAAAGCUGACUUGUCCGACUCUAGACAAGAUUCGCUCUCAUUGUCUUCACUCGAAGACAUAGGUUUUUGGUUUAGGCAUCACUUCAGUCAUUCUGACUGGUUCUCCUGGACCCCACUUAACAGUACGGUGGUUCCUAUGACUCAACACAAAAGAAAAAGAACUACGAAAGAUCUAAGUCUUCGAGCUCUGUAGGCUUCAUAUCGUGUCUUCUCUUGUCAUAGUCUUCAAUGUGAAUAUGUUCAUAUACCACCUUUGACUUCAAUGUCUUCGUAUAUUUUUAGGGGUCAUCUCUGGUAGUAAAACCAAAUCAAUGAGGGACUUCUACCUGUGUUAUCCUGCAAUUCUCACAAACACAUUAGUCCCUCAACUAGGUUUGUCGUCAAUACUCCAAAACCAACUAGGGGUGGCACUAGAUGCACUUACACUAUUGUUAUUACUACUGUCACAACUGUUACAAAAUCAUUGCUAUCACUGUUACCAUUACUAUUAUUGUUACCACUUCUAUCAAAACUAUCAUACUACUGUGCUACUGAUUAUCUGGCUGCAGAUAUUUAAUCUCCAGGUGUGGUUGAAUUGACAACUCAACUGCUAAUACUUACAAAUAUUCUUUGGCUCCUAAUGACCCACAAGUGUAGGGGAUCUAUCGUAGUCCUUUUGAUAAGUAAGAGUGUUGAACCCAACGAGGAGCAGAAAGAAAUGAUAAGCAGUUUUCAGCAAGGUAUUCUCUGUAAGCACUAAAAUUAUCGGUAGCAGAUAGUUUUGUGAUAAGGUAAUUUGAACAGGUAACAAGUAAUAAAAGUAAAUAAGAUGCAGCAAGAUGGCCCAAUCCUUUUUUGUAGCAAAGGACAAGCCUGGACAAACUCUUAUAUAAAGGAAAAAGCUCUCGAGGACACAUGGGAAUUAUCAUCAAGCUAGUUUUCAUCACGUUCAUAUGAUUCGUGUUCGGUACUUUGAUAAUUUGAUAUGUGGGUGAACCAAUGCUUGGGUACUGUCCUUCCUUGGACAAGCAUUCCACUUAUGAUUAACCCCUAUUAUAGGCAUCCGCAACUACAAAAGAAGUAUUAAGGUAAACCUAACCAUGGCAUGAAACAUAUGGAUCCAAAUCAGCCCCUUACGAAGCAACACAUAAACUAGGGUUUAAGCUUCUGUCACUCUAGCAACUCAUCAUCUACUUAUUACUUCUCAAUGCCUUCCUCUAGGCCCAAAUAAUGGUGAAGUGUCAUGUAGUCGACGUUCACAUGACACCACUAGAGGAAAGACAACACACAUCUCAUCAAAAUAUCGAACGAAUACCAAAUUCAAAUGACUACUUAUAGCAAGACUUCUCCCAUGUCCUCAGGAACAAACGUAACUACUCACAGAUCAUAUUCAUGUUCAUAAUCAGAGGGGUAUUAAUAUGCAUAAUGGAUAUGAAUAUAUGAUCUUCCACCGAAUAAACCAACUAGCAUCAACUACAAAGAGUAAUCAACACUACUAGCAACCCACAUGUACCAAUCUGAGGCUUUGACACAAAGAUUGAAUAAAAGAGAUGAACUAGAUUUUGAGAUGAGAUGGUGCUGGCAAAGAUGUUAAUGGAGAUUGACCCCCUCCCAAUGAGAGGAUCGUUGGUGAUGAUGAUGGUGAUGAUUUCCCCCUUCCAGAGGGAAGUUUCCCCGGCAGAACAGCUCCGCCGGAGCCCUAAAUUGGUUCCGCCUCAUGGCGGCGGAGUUUCGUCCCGAAAGCUUGCUUAUGUUUUUUUCCUCGACGAAAGACUCCAUAUAGCCAAAGAUGGGCAUCAGAGGGCUGCCAGGGGCCCACGAGGCAGGGGGCGCGCCCCCACCCUCGUGGACGGUGGGUGGCCCCCUCUGGUACUUCUUUCGCCCAAUAUUUUUUGUAUAUUCUGAAACUUGCUCCCAUUGCAACCUUCGGGAAAGUAUUCACCUAGUGAUGCUAUAUUCUUUUACAUGUUAACCCAAUCUUGGUAUUCUUGAGGUUUCUUCUUUUUCUUGAAGAGAAACUUUUGUGUUAUCUAACCUUGUUUUCCCAAGUUUUUUUUCUUUAGGUAUAAUGCUCAACCACCUCAAGGUAAGUGUAUGCAUCAUACUCAUGUGUGAUACAUCUCCAACAUAUCUAUAAUUUUUUAUCGUUCCAUGUUGUUAUAUUAUCAUUCUUGGAUGUUUUAUAAUCAUUCUAUAGUCAUUUUAUAUCAUUUUUUGGUACUAACCUAUUGACAUAGUGCCAAGUGCCAGUUGUUGUUUUCUGCAUGUUUUUUACAUCGCAGGAAAUCAAUACCAAACUGAGUCCAAACACAGUGAAACUUUUUGUGGAUUUUUUUACUAGAAGACAUCUAGUGGGUCAGAGAAGCACCUGAGGGGGGGGUGCUCCGAGGGGAGCACAACCCACCAGGGCGCGCCUGGAGGCCCAGGCACGCCCUGGUGGGCUGUGCCCACCUCGGGUGCCUCCCGAACCAACUUUUUGCUCUAUAAAUACCCCAAUAUUCCAGAAACCCUAGGGGAGUCGACGAAAAUCAAUUCCAGCCACCGCAGAGUCCAGAACCACCAGAUCCAAUCUAGACACCAUCACGGAGGGGUGCAUCAUGUCCAUUGGUGCCUCUCCGAUGAUGCGUGAGUAGUUCUUUUGUAGACCUCCGGGACCGUAGUUAGUAGCUAGAUGGCUUCCUCUCUCUCAUUUGAUUCUCAACACAAUGGUCUCUUGGAUAUCCAUAUGAUGUAACUCUUUUUGCGGUGUGUUUGUUGGGAUCGGAUGAACUUUAAGUUUAUGAUCAGAUCUAUCUUUUUAUCUAUGAAAGUUAUUUGAGUCUUCUUUGAUCUCUUAUAUGCAUGAUUACUUAUAGCCUCGUAUUUCUUCUCUGAUAUUUGGGUUUUGCUUGGACAACUUGAUCUAUUUAUCUUGCAAUGGGAAGAGGUGCUUUGUGAUGGGUUCGAUCUUACGGUGCUUGAUCCCAGUGACAGAAGGGGAACCGACAUGUAUGUAUCGCUGCCAUUAAGGAUAACAUGAUGGGGUUUAUUUCUACAUAAAUAGAUCUUGUCUACAUCAUGUCAUCGUUCUUAUUGCAUUACUCUGUUUCUCCAUGAACUUAAUACAGUAGAUGCAUGCUGGAUAGUGGUCGAUGUGUGGAGUAAUAGUAGCAGAAGCAGGCAGGAGUCGGUCUACUAAUCUUAGACGUGAUGCCUAUAUAAUGAUCAUUGCCUCAAUAUCGUCAUGAUUAUUUAAAGUUCUAUAGAUUGCCCAACAAUAAUUUUUUUACCCACCUUUUGCUAUUUUUCUUGAGAGAAGCCACUAGUGAAAUCUACGGCCCCUGGGUCUCUUCUUUAAUAUAUUUGCCUUUGCGAUCUAUUUUAUUUGCAUUUUUUAGAUCUAUUAAACCAAAAAUACAAAAGUACCUUGCUGCACUUUAUUUUAUUUGGCGUUCGAUCUAUCAAUUAUUACAACUCUCUCAUGUCCGUUUGCCAAUUUCUGGUGCUGUUGCCCGAAAGGGAUUGACAACCCCUUUAACGCGUUGAUAACCCACAAGUAUAGGGGAUCACAACCAUUUUCGAGGGUAGAGUAUUCAACCCAGAUUUAUAGAUUCGGCACAAGGGGAGCCAAAGAAUAUUUGAAGGUAUUAGCAGCUGAGUUGUCAAUUCAACCACACCUGGAGAUUAAUUAUCUGCAGUGACAUGAUCAGUAGCAAAGUAGUAUGAUAGUUUUGAUAGUAGUGACAACAACAAUAGUAACGGUAACAGUGAUAGUAGUAAUUUUGUAGCAAGUGCAACAGUAACGAUAGUAGUAUUAACUUAGCAAGAACAAUAUAAGAUAAAUUCGUAGGCAUUGGAUCAGUAAUUCGUUGGAUGAUAUUCUUCAUGUGACAGUCAUAACCUAGGGCGAUAUGGCACUAGCUCCAGUUCAUAAAUAUAAUGUAGGCAUGUAUUCCAUAAAUACUCAUACAUGCUUAUGGAAAGAACUUGCAUGACAUCUUUUGUCCUACCCUCCCGUGGCAGCGGGGUCCAAUUGGAAACUAAGGGAUAUUAAGGCCUCCUUUUAAUAGACAAUCGGAACAAAGCAUUAACACAUGGUGAAUACAUGAACUCCUCAAACUACGAUCAUCACUGGGAGUGGUCGCAACUAUUGUCACCCCGGGGUUGCCAGAUCAUAACACGUAGUAGGUGACUAUAACUUGCAACAUCGGAUCUAGAACAUGGAUAUAAUUGUGAUAACAUAAAUGGUUCAGAUCUGAAAUCAUGGCACCCGGGCCCAAAGUGGCAAGCAUUAAGCAUGGCAAAGUCAUAGCAACAUCAAUCUCAUAACAUAGUGGAUACUAGGGAUCAGCCCCUAACAAAACUAACUCGAUUACAUGAUGAAUCUCAUCCAACUCCUCACCGACCAGCGAGCCUACGAAGGAAUUACUUACUCCCGGUGGGGAGCAUCAUGGAAUUGGCGAUGGAGAAGGGUUGGUGAUGGCGAAGAACGAAGAUCCCCCUCUCCAGAGCCCCAAACGGACUCCAGAUCUGGCCUCCCAAUGAAGAACAGGAGGUGACGGCGGCUCCGUCUCGUGGAUCAUGAUAAUUCUUUCUCCCUAAUUUUUCUGGAAAAAUAGGAUUUUAUAGCGUCGGUUUUAGGGUCUGCAGGGCCANNNNNNNNNNNNNNNNNNNNNNNNNNNNNNNNNNNNNNNNNNNNNNNNNNNNNNNNNNNNNNNNNNNNNNNNNNNNNNNNNNNNNNNNNNNNNNNNNNNNNNNNNNNNNNNNNNNNNNNNNNNNNNNNNNNNNNNNNNNNNNNNNNNNNNNNNNNNNNNNNNNNNNNNNNNNNNNNNNNNNNNNNNNNNNNNNNNNNNNNNNNNNNNNNNNNNNNNNNNNNNNNNNNNNNNNNNNNNNNNNNNNNNNNNNNNNNNNNNNNNNNNNNNNNNNNNNNNNNNNNNNNNNNNNNNNNNNNNNNNNNNNNNNNNNNNNNNNNNNNNNNNNNNNNNNNNNNNCUAGGUGCCCCCUCAGGCGACUCUUGGCUCCAAAAAUUCUCUUUAUUGAUAUAAAAAAUCCUCGCAAAGUUUCGUUCCAUUCCGAUAACUUUUAUUUCUGCACAAAAACAACACCAUGAUAGUUCUGCUGAAAACAACGUCAGUCCGGGGUUAGUUUCAUUCAAACCAUGCAAAUUAGAGUCCAAAACGAGAGGAAAAGCAUUAGGAAAAGUAGAUACGUUGGAGACGUAUCAACUCCCCCAAGCUUAAACCUUUAAUUGUCCUCAAGCAAUUCAGUUGAUAAACUGAAAGUGAAAAAGAAAAACUUUUACGAACUCUUUUGCUCUUGUUUGCAUAAAUAAGGUUAAACAUCACCCAGGUUUUCAACCAAUCGUUAUAACUAACCAUGCCGCCAAUAAGUCUUAAAAAUUAUAUUAACUGAUAUCAAUGACAUAAUCAGCUAGCGAGCAAUAAUAAGAUAUCUCAGACGACAACACGUUGUCAAAACAACCAUGAUAUAAUAUAACACUAGUGCUAUCUUGCUAGCCUUUCUGAGACCGCAAAACAUAAAUGCAGAGCACCUCCAAAGUUCAAGCUGUGACUAAACAUUGUAAUUCAUGGUAGAAAAGAUCCAGUCAUGAUGCACCCAACAUUAGCUACACACAAUGCAUCAACAUGACAGCGGUGCUCUCAGGUUCUGGCGCUUGUUUUAGAAGGCGGUAACACAACAUAAAAGUGUUAGGGAACGUAGCAUGCAAUUUCAGAAAAUUUUCUACGAUCACGCAAGAUCUAUCUAUGAGGUGCAUAGCAACGAGAGUGGGAGAGUGUGUCCAUGUACCCUCGUAGACCGAAAGCGGAAGCGUUAGGUUAACACGGUUAAUGUAGUCGAACGUCUUCGCGAUCCAACCGAUCUAGUACCGAACAUACGACACCUCCGAGUUCAGCACACGUUCAACUUGAUGACAUCCCUCUAACUCUUGAUCCAGUAGAGGGUCGAGGGAGAGUUCCGUCAGCACGACAGCAUGGUGACGGUGAUGGUGAAGUGAUCCGCGCAGGGCUUCGCCUAAGCACUAUGACGCUAUGACCGAAGGAGUAAACUGUGGAGGGCGGCACCGCACAUGGCUAAGAGAACAAUUGAUGUGCCUUUGGGGUGUACCCCGCCCCCGUAUAUAAAGGAGGGGAGGAGGAGGCGGACGACCUAGAGGGGGCGCUCCAAGGGGGGAGUUCUACUAGGACUCCUAGUCCUAGUAGGAUUCGCGCCCCCCCUUUCCUUUCUUCACUGGAGGGAAAAGGAAGGAGAGGGAGAGGGAGAGGAAAGGGGGCCCGCGCCCCCUCCUCCUUGUCCUAUUCGGACUCCCUAGGAGGGGGGCACGCGCCACCCCCCACGGGCUUCCCUCUCUCUCCCCUAGGCCCAUGUAGGCCCAAUACUUUUGCGGGGGGUUCCGGUAACCCCUCAGUACUCUGGUAAAAUACCCGAAUCACUCGGAACCAUUCCAAUGUCCGAAUACUACCUUCCAAUAUAUGAAUCUUUACCUCUCAACCAUUUCGAGACUCCUCGUCAUGUUCGUGAUCUCAUCCGGGGCUCCGAACAAACUUCGGUCACCGAAACACAUAACUCAUUAUACAAAUCGUCAUCGAACAUUAAGCGUGCGGAUCCUACGGGUUCGAGAAAUAUGUAGACAUGACCAAGACACAUCUCCGUUCAAUAACCAAUAGCGGAACCUGGAUGCUCAUAUUGGUUCCUACAUAUUCUACGAAGAUCUUUAUCGGUCAAACCGCAAUAACAACAUACGUUAUUCCCUUUGUCAUCGGUAUGUUACUUGCCCGAUAUUCGAUCGUCGGUAUCAUCAUACCUAGUUCAAUCUCGUUACCGGCAAGUCUCUUUACUCAUUUCAUAAUGCAUCAUCCCACAACUAACUCAUUAAUUACACUGCUUGCAAGGCUUAUAGUGAUGUGCAUUACCGAGAGGGCCCAGAGAUACCUCUUCGAUACUCGGAGUGACAAAUCCUAAUCUUGACCUAUGCCAACCCAACAAACACCUUCGGAGAUACCUGUAGAGCAUCUUUAUAACCACCCAGUUACGUUGUGACGUUUGAUAUCACAUAAGGUGUUCCUCCGGUAUUCGGGAGUUGCAUAAUCUCAUAGUAAGAGGAAUAUGUAUAAGUCAUGAAGAAAGCAAUAGCAGUAAAACUUAACGAUCAUUAUGUUAAGCUAACGGAUGGGUCUUGUCCAUCACAUCAUUCUCUAAUGAUAUGCUCCCAUUCAUCAAAUGACAACACAUGUCUAUGGUCAGGAAACUUAAUCAUCUUUGAUUAAUGAGCUAGUCAAGUAGAGGCAUACCAGGGACACUUUGUUUUGUCUAUGUAUUCACACAUGUACUAAGUUUCUGGUUAAUACAAUUCUAGCAUGAAUAAUAAACAUUUAUCAUGGUAUAAGAAAAUAUAAAUAACAACUUUAUUAUUGCCUCUAGGGCAUAUUUCCUUCAGUCUCCCACUUGCACUAGAGUCAAUAAUCUAGAUUACAUAGUAAUGAUUCUAACACCCAUGGAGUCUUGGUGCUGAUCAUGUUUUGCUUGUGGAAGAGGCUUAGUCAACGGGUCUGCAACAUUCAGAUCUGUAUGUAUCUUGCAAAUCUCUAUGUCUCCCUCCUUGACUUGAUCGCGGAUGGAAUUGAAGCGUCUCUUGAUGUGUUUGGUUCUCUUGUGAAAUCUGGAUUCCUUCGCCAAGGCAAUUGCUCCAGUAUUGUCACAAAAGGUUUUCAUUAGACCCGAUGCACUAGGUAUUACACCUAGAUCGGAUAUGAACUCCUUCAUUUGCUGCUUCUGAAGCAGCUAUGUACUCCGCUUCACACGUAGAUCCCGCCACGACGGUCUGUUUGGAACUGCACCUACUUACAGCUCCACCAUUCAAUAUAAAUACGUAUCCGUUUUGUGACUUAGAGUCAUCCGGAUCAAUGUCAAAGCUUGCAUCGAUGUAACCAUUUAAGACAAGCUCUUUGUCACCUCCAUAAACGAGAAACAUAUCCUUAGUCCUUUUCAGGUAUUUCAGGAUGUUCUUGACCGUUGUCUAGUGAUCCACUCCUGGAUUACUUUGGUGCCUCACCGCUAAACUUAUACCAAGGCACACAUCAGGUCUGGUACACAACAUUGCAUACAUGAUGGAACCUAUGGCUGAGGCAUAGGGAAUGACUUCUAUUUUCUCUCUAUCUUCUGUAGUGGUGGGGCAUUGAGUCUGACUCAACUUCACACCUUGUAACACAGGUAAGAACCCUUUCUUUGACUGAUCCAUUUUGAACUUCUUAAAACUUUAUCAAGGUAUGUGCUUUGUGAAAGUCCAAUUAAGCGUCUUGAUCUAUCUCUAUAGAUCUUGAUGCCCAAUAUAUAAUCAGCUUCACCGAGGUCUUUCAUUGAAAAAUUCUUAUUCAAGUAUCAUUUUAUGCUAUCCAGAAAUUCUGUAUUAUUUCCAGUCAACAAUAUGUCAUCCACAUAUAAUAUCAGAAAUGCUACAGAGCUCCCACUCACUUUCUUGCAAAUACAGGCUUCUCCAAAAGUCUGUAUAAAACCAUAUGCUUUGAUCACACUAUCAAAGUGUAUAUUCCAACUCCAAGAUGCUUGCACCGGUCCAUAAAUGGAUCGCUGGAGCUUGCACACUUUGUUAGCACCUUUAGGAUCGACAAAACCUUCUGGUUGCAUCAUAUACAACUCUUCUUUAAGAAAUCCAUUAAGGAAUGAAGUUUUGACAUCCAUUUGCCAUAUUUCAUAAUCAUAAAAUGCGGCAAUUGCUAACAUCAUUCGGACAGACUUAAGCAUCACUACGGGUGAGAAGGUCUCAUUGUAGUCAACCCCUUGAACUUGUCGAAAAACUUUCUCAACAAGUCGAGCGUUGUAGACAGUAACAUUACCGUCAGCGUCAGUCUUCUUCUUGAUGAUCCAUUUAUUCUCUAUGGCUUGCCGAUCAUCGGGCAAGUCAACCAAAGUCCACACUUUGUUCUCAUACAUGGAUCCCAUCUCAAAUUUCAUGGCCUCAAGCCAUUUCGUGGAAUCUGGGCUCAUCAUUGCUUCCUUAUAGUUCGUAGGUUCGUCAUGGUCUAGUAACAUGACUUCCAGAACAGGAUUACCGUACCACUCUGGUGCGGACCGUACUUUGUUUGACCUACGAGGUUCGGUAGUAACUUGAUCUGAAGUUUCAUGAUCAUCAUCAUUAGCUUCCUCACUAAUUGGUGUAGGAAUCACUGGAACUGAUUUUUGUGAUGAACUACUUGAAGGAAAUAUGCCCUAGAGGCAAUAAUAAAGUUGAUGUUUAUAUUUCCUUAUAUCAUGAUAAAUGUUUAUUAUCCAUGCUACAAUUGUAUUAACCAAAACUUAGUACAUAUGUGAAUACAUAGACAAACAUAGUGUCCCUAGUAUGCCUCUACUUGACUAGCUCGUUUAUAAAAGAUGGUUAAGUUUCCUAGCCAUAGACAUGUGUUGUCAUUUGAUGAACGGGAUCACAUCAUUAGAGAAUGAUGUGAUGGACAAGGCCCAUCUGUUAGCUUAGCACUAUGGUCAUUUAGUUUAUUGUUAUUGCUUUCUUCAUGACUUAUAUAUAUUCCUCUUACUAUGAGAUUAUGCAACUCCCGAAUACCGGAGGAACACUUAGUGUGCUGUCAAACGUCACAAUGUAACUGGGUGAUUAUAAAGAUGCUCUACAGGUGUCUUCGAUGGUGUUUGUUGAGUUGGCAUAGAUCGAGAUUAGGAUUUGUCACUCCAUGUAUCGGAGAGGUAUCUUUGGGCCCUCUCGAUAAUGCACAUCACUAUAAGCCUUGCAAGCAAUGUGACUAAUGAGUUAGUUGUGGGAUGAUGCAUUACGGAAUGAGUAAACAGUCUUGCCGGUAACGAGAUUGAACUAGGUAUGAUGAUACCGACGAUCGAAUCUCGGGCAAGUAACAUACCGAUGACAAAGGGAACAACGUACAUUGUUAUGCAGUUUGACCGAUAAAGAUCUUCGUAGAAUAUGUAGGAGACAAUAUGAGCAUCCAGGCUCCGCUAUUGUUUAUUGACCAGAGGUGUGUCUCGGUCAUGUCUACAUAGUUCUCGAACCCAUAGGGUCCGCACGCUUAACGUUCGAUGAUGAUUUGUAUUAUGAGUUAUGUGAUUUGAUGUACCGAAGUUUGUUCGGAGUCCCGAAUGAGAUCACGGACAUGACGAGGAGUCUCGAAAUGGUCGAGACAUAAAGAUCGAUAUAUUGGAAGGUUAUAUUCGGACACUGGAAUGGUUCCGAAGUGUUUUGGGUAUUUUCCGGAGUAUCGGGAAGUUACCGAAACCCCUCGGGAGAGUAAUGGGCCUUAAUGGGCUUUAGGGGAAAGGAGAGAGGGGCCUCAAGGGGUGGCUGCGUGCCCCCCAUGGGCUGGUCUGAAUUGGACUAGGAGGGGGUGGCGCCCCCCUCCUUCCCCUUCCCUACUUCUCCUAGUUGGAAUAGGAAGGGGGGGGGCGAAUCCUACUUGGACUGGGAGUCCAAGUAGGACUCCUCCCUAUGGCGCCCCCCUAUGGCUGGACUCCUCUCCUCCCCCCUUUAUAUACGUGGGAGGGGGUGUCGGUGUCAAAACCGGCGGAUCUCGGGUAGGGGGUCCCAAACUGUGCGUCUAAGGUUGAUGGUAACAGGAGACAGGGGACACGAUGUUUACCCAGGUUCGGGCCCUCUCUACGGAGGUAAUACCCUACUUCCUGCUUGAUUGAUCUUGAUGAAUAUGAGUGUUACAAGAGUUGAUCUACCACGAGAUCAUAAUGGCUAAACCCUAGAAGUCUAGCAUGUAUGACUACGGUAUUGAGUAUCCCCUAUUCACAUUACACCCUCCGGUUUAUAUAGACACCGGGGGGAUCUAGGGUUACAUAGAGUCGGUUACAUAAGAUGGAAUCUUCAUAGUUGUUUGCCAAGCUUGCCUUCCACACCAAGGAGAGUCCGGACACGGGUGUAUUCUUCAGUCUUCGUAUCUUCACAACCCAUUAGUCCGGCCCAUAGACAACAUGUCGGACGUCCGAGGAUCCCUUAGUCCAGGACUCCCUCAGUAGCCCCUGAACUAGGCUUCAAUGACAAGGUAUCCGGUGCGUAGUGCUGUCUUCGGCAUUGCAAGGCAGGUUCCUCCCCCCGAACUCCAAAAAAUAGUCUUCGGAUGAAACAAACAUGUCCGGACCUGUAAAGCACACCGCACACAACCAUAGAGAGAAUAUAAUAACACACGAGUCCCAUCUGCUGACAACUUUAGUAAUGUGACAUCACGCCUGUCCGGUCAUAAUUUUGAACCGUUUUUUGCCCCACGUUUUGAGACACGGUUGUCAUUGGCACGUCUUGUCAAAGUAGAGAUCGUGUCCCCUUAUCACAGGAUUCUCAUCAAUACGGGUGUGGGUAACCCAACCGUUUCGUUUACACAGCCUUGGUAGCAUGCGAAUUUUAAGGCGAAUGAGGGGGGCGUUUGAUAUUCACCGCCCUUAUAAGGAGAUAAGAUUCCUCCUUCUUCCCCCAUGCUUUCCUCCUGCCUCUGUCCUUGAGCUCCAAUGCCCAAGUUCUCAUUCCCCUUGUCUCGGGAAAGCACUCAACCAUGUUCAGAUCCGGAGGUCAAGGCAAGUGGAUGGCCUCCUCCGUUAAGGAGGAGAACAUCGCUGAGCUUCGGGCGGCCGGAUACCUGGCGAAGGAAAUCGCCCACCGUCUUCCAGCCCGGGGACAUAUCAUCCCCACACUAAAGCCCAACGAGAGGGUAGUGUUCACCCCCACUUCCUCCGCGGGCUAGGGUUUUGUAACGCCCUCGAUGCGGCUAUAUCUCCCAUGUGUCGAAGCACGACUUAGAGGCAUAACCGCAUUGAAAGCAAUGUCGCAAGUGAGGUAAUCUUCACACAACCCAUGUAAUACUAUAAGGGAAAAGAGAUACAUAGUUGGCUUACAAUCUCCACUUCACACAAUUACAUGAAUAAAGCAUUAUAUCAUCCAAACACAAUCAGGGCCCGACUACGGAGCCAAAAUAAAAGAAGACUACCCCAAAUGCUACACAGAUCCCCGAUCGACCCCAACUGGGCUCCACUACUGAUCAACUAGAAAGAAACAACACAAAGGACGAGAUCUUCAUCGAGCUCCUCCUUGAGCUUGUUUGCGUCACCGGCUCAGUAACAUCGGCACCUGCAAACUGGUUUUGGAAAUAUAUGUGAGUCACGGGGACUCAGCAAUCUCACACCCUCGCUAUCAAGACUAUUUAAGCUUAUAGGUAAGCUAAAAGGUAUGAGGUGGAGCUGCAGCAAGCGACUAGCAUAUAUGGUGGCUAACAUAUGCAAAUGAGAGCGAGAAGAGAAGGCAAAGCACGGUCGAGAAACUAUGAUCAAGAAGUGAUCCUAGAACAACCUACGUCAAGCAUAACUCCAACAAUUGUGUUCACUUCCCGGACUCCGCCGGAAAGAGACCAUCACGGUUACACACGCGGUUGAUGUAUUUUAAUUAAGAUCAACUUUAGGUUUUCUACAACCGGGCAUUAACAAAUUCCCAUCUGCCCAUAACCGCGGGCACGGCUUUCGAAAGUUCAAAUCCCUGCAGGGGUGUCCCAACUUAGCCCAUCACAAGCUCUCACGGUCAACGAAGGAUAUUCCUUCUAGCGGGAAGACCCGAUCAGGCUCGGAAUCCCGGUUACAAGACAUUUCGACAAUGGUAAAACUAAACAAGCAACACCGCCCGAAUGUGCCGACAAAUCCUGAUAGGAGCUACACAUAUCUCGUUCUCAGGGCACACCGGAUUAUCCAAGGUACGGGUAGGCCAGCCCAGAGUUGCCCCUGGUGGCCACCGACAGCUGACAGGUUGGACCAACACUCAGAGGAGCACUGGCCUGGGGGGGGGGGGGUAAAAUAAUGAUGACCCUCAGGAGUGCGACUCCCAAGGGAAAAGAAAGGCUAGGUGGCGAAUUGUAAAACCAAAGUUGCACAUUGCUGGAAGAGUUUUAUUCAAGGUGAACUGUCAAGGGGUUCCCAUUAUUACCCAACCGCUAAGGAACGCAAAAUCCGGGAACAUAACACCGAUAUGACGGAAACUAGGGCGGCAAGAGUGGAACAAAACACCAGGCAUAAGGCCGAGCCUUCCACCCUUUACCAAUUAUAUAGAUGCAUUAAUUAAAUAAGAUAUAUUGUGAUAUCCCAACAAGUAAACAUGUUCCAACAAGGAACAACAUCUCCAUGUUCCAACAAGGAACAAACUUCAACCUUCACCUACAACUAACAACGCUAUAAGAGGGGCUGAUCAAAGCGGUAACAUAGCCAAACAACGGUUUGCUAGGACAAGGUGGGUUAGAGGCUUGGUUCAACAAUAUGGGAGGCAGGAUAAGCAAGUGGUAGGUAUCAUAGCAUAGGCAUAGCAAAAGAGCGAGCAACUAGCAAGCAAAGAUAGAAGUGAUUUCGAGGGUAUGGUCAUCUUGCCUGAAAUCCCGCAAGGAAGAAGAAUGAGUCCAUGAAGAAGAUAAACGGAUGUAGUCGAACGGAUCCUCACACACACGAUGUUAUUGGAACCGACCCGAAGAAGCAACACCGGAAAGAAGCAAACAACAUAGUAAACAACCAACACAUCAACAUGGCAUGAUGCACAAUCAAGUAUGAUGCAUGUCCGGUUUAAUGAAGCAUGGCAUGGCAAAGUGCACAAACAAUCCUACAAAUUAAGUGGAGCUCAACAUGCAACUCCGUUGCAUAUUGACGAAACACCACAUUCAAGUUAUUUAGUUCGAUCUCGUUUAUGUACCCAACAAUAUUAAAUGUUGGUUAACAUGGCAAGGGGUGAAGCAAAUGAAAACUACCUAUCCAGGCAAGUUUAAAUGAGGCCGGAACAACAAACAACAAGUCCGGUAAAACCCCAUAUGCAUAUUUUACGGUUUGGUACUGUUCUGCCCUAAUCACAAUUUUAGAGUUGAUAAACAUGCAAAGUGAUGCCACCAUGUUAAACUAGGCAUUUUCCCACCCCAUUUACAUAUAAAGUUUAUUAAAUUUGGAGCUACGGUUGAAUAGUUAUGAAUUAAAUCAUUUUACAUGCCAAUAUGGGAAAAUAUAUGCAAACAUCAUUUUAAACAUUUUAAAAAUAGAUGAAAGUUGCACAAAAUGAAACUACACAAAAUUCUAAGCAUCUUACAUAUAUAACAUGUUUUAUUUAGACGCAUGGACAUUUAGUUAUUAACAAAACAAAAUAGUGGCAUUCCUGUAAUUAUGCAUGCACUGGAAUAAAAGGAAAAAAACGUCAGCAGGGAAAGGAAAAAAAUGUAGCCGGGCCGGAUCUGGUCUACCGGGCUGCACAGGAAAGAGGGCGCUGGGUGUCCUCACCUAGUGGGCUGAGGCCCACUCGAUGGAAGAGGCAGGCGGGGGCGCUGGCAUGGGGGUUGCUGGGCCUUGGAGCCCAGAUGGGAGCCACUCGCGGGCGAGGCGCAGUCAACGCGGGCAUCGACCGCGUCUUCCUCCUCUCGAUCAGAGGCGCAACGGAACUUGGAGGCGGCAAAGUGCAGGCGGGGGUGGUCUCCACGGCACGGGGAGGCGACAUGGGGAAAUGACGGGGACCAAGGCGAAGCAGGGGGAGGUCCGGCAGGGGCGCGGGUGUCCGGGACGGCGGAUCUUCUCAUUGCAGGGGAAGCAUAUGGCAGUGGCAGGGACUUGGCGAAGGUGCAGCAGCAGGAACUUGGCGCGGUUCUUGGGGCUCCGGCGAGCUGAGGAGGUCCGGCAAUGACAGGGAUGGCCGGGACUCAGCAGAUACGAGGCCAGGGUGGCUUCGGAUGGGGACGAGACGGGCAGCGCUUGAAGCUUCGGCCAUGGCUCCUGUGAAGGAUUCAGAGAGAGGGAGAGAACUGCGUGAGGGAGAAAAACAGAUGGAGGGAGGAGAAAUAAGGGGAGGCGUGGUCUGGCCUGGCGGAUGUGGUCGGAGGCUGCGGUUUGUGGCGGUUACCGCGCAGGAGCAGGACGAGGCGCGACCCUUGUCUCUUGGACGAAGCAGAGGAGGAGGCGCAGACGUGACGGCGCUAGUCGAGGCAGAGGAUGCUUUCGGGAAGGCGCGGGGCAACGAGGAGGAGGCCGCAGGUGAGGGAGGCGCUCAGCAAGAGGCGAGGCAAGCAGCGGCAACGAGGACAGCCAUGGAUGCUCCUGCGUGCUUCCUAGAAAAGACAUGGAGCAGGUGAGAGAGGGAAAUAGAGGGAACGGGAGCAGAUGAAGCGAAGGAGAAGCAGAAGCGGGGAGGAACCGUGAUCGGAGUUGGGGACGAGGUGAAGCAGCGGUGGUCUCCGGCGAGGUGGGUCAAAGGCGGAGGACUCAGGGCAGGAGCUCGAGCGGAGGGGUGGAUCGAGGAGGGGAUGGAUCCCGAAAAGGAUUUGGUGGAGUGGCGGCGGCGAUGGGACAAGCUCCCUAGAAAUUAGGGUUGGCUUGAUUUGGUAGGGGUUGUACUAUAUAUAUGGAAAUAGGAUUGUGGAUGGACCCUCCAAUCGUAAUCGGACGAUCACGAAUAAAAUAUCUAGGGAGUAUAAAUAAGAAAAUGGUGAUGUUUUGUAGAUGUUUGGAGAUGUUCCGGACACAACGAUGACGACUUCCCGGGUCGGGUCUGGGACAGCUUUUGGACGCGCGCGUGAGGAGGGAUGCGGUGUGACGAGAGAGGUUAGGUUGGACCUGGCUGUAGGUAGUGGGCUGUGUAGACGGUCUCGAGCUGAGAGAAGAGAAGAGAGGGAGGCCCGACGACUGUUUCCGGAGACCGAAAACGUCCGACGUGUGUCCGGCUAUAAUGCCGCUAUAGUUUAACAGUUGGGCUAUCAAACGAACUUGGAAUGCGAUGAAACUUGACAGGCGGUCUAUCUACACUAAAAUAAGACCACACGCCAACUUUCAACCCAUUCCGAGCACAUUUUCCGGCCACUUAUAAAAUAUUAUUUCGGACAUGCCGCGGGUGCGUGCAAGUGUGGUUGCGCUCAGAACGGACAACGGACGGAACUGGGGGAACCCGGACGGAUGCAAGUUUUGAAAACAUGAUGAUGCAAUGCACAUGAUGACAUGACAAGAUUCAUCACGCAAGCAAAUGACAAGGCAACAACAGCGAAUAACUGGACGACACCUGGCGCAAGGGUCUCGGGGCGUCACAAUAGUCCACCACUACGAGAGGAUCUCGUCCCGAGAUCUAGAAUGGCACCGGAGGGACAACGGAAAAAGGAAGAUAAGCGGUAAAAACUAAGUUGCUUCUUUGACCAAUGAGCGAAACCAAGGAACCUUGAAAAAGGUUAAGCCAUUUCGAGAAAAGAAUACAACGGAGAUGAACGAAGUUGAAAACACUCCAUUAGAAAAGAGGGACAAGGAAGAACAACUUCGAGCAGCACUCCGGUUGAGAAGUUAUGCAAGACUUGAUACGGUGAAAAGAACUUGAGCAGAGGACACGACACUCCGGUUAAAUGGAUAGGCACGAAAAGAACACGAUCCAAGAUGAUGAGAGAAAAGAGCAACAUCACAAUGACUCCGGAACAAAAGAAUAGAAUGGAAUGGGAUGAACGAAGGGAAACAAGAUCUCGAUGGAGCACGCUUACAACAAAAGCUAGAACGGAGUUGUUGGAAAACCAACAACGAAAAGAAUAAGCUUGAUAUGGUCUUAUGGAAUACAUCUCAAAUUAUGAGGUGACAGCCUACCACUCACAGAAAAUGAAUUGGAUUGGAAUGAACAAGGAGACGAGAAUGCUAUUUCACCGGGAGGAUAAAUGAAGAACUUGGGUCACUUAUAAUCACCAUAAUUAGCAACACUCCUUAGGGAAGGCUUUAAGGUGAAAUAUAACCCAAGAUAACUCCAAUGACGAGAUUAAUGGAUUUAAAAUAUCUCAUUCUUAACAACAUGUGAAUCAUGAAACAUGAACUCAAAUUAUCAAGAAUGACAUAAUACCACCUCCAAUGAUAUGGAAGAAAGAAUUGCACUCCGGAUAGCAAGAAGAAGAAUGCUUGAGUUCCUCUGAAAAGAAUCUCGAUGAACACUUAGAAAAGGAAAUAAAUCCUUGAUGAACCAUCAUGUAGAGUCUCCAUGAAGAACUCCGGUAAACAAAAGAAUGAUCAAACGGAAAGAAAGGGUAGUUGAAAACACAAGGUGGAACCUUGUAAAGAUUUAGAUAGAUCUCCGUGAUUACAUAAUUGCGAGAGCUUGGAACUCCGGAAAAGAAAGAUGAGCAUUUGAAACCCAGAAUAUGUAUGAUGAACCACUCCGGAAUAAGGAAUUAAAUCAUUUGGAUGAAUCGAGAAUAAGAAUUACAUUAUGCUUAUCCUUCACCAAUUAAAUUGAUGACAAUCAACGGAUUUGGCACACUACUUAUUUUCGUAGCAAGGAUUAAGAGAGAUAUAACACCAACUUGGGAAGGUCUUCUAUGAACCACUAGUAGGAUUGACAACGAAUAAAUUGAUAAGGAAGAGAAAUCUGGAAGAACCACCGUAAGGAAUGAAAAUGAACGGAGAAAAGAUAAAGCAACACCAGGAAGAAUUAGCAAAUGAACGAAGAAGCUUGAGGGGAUUUAGUUACAUGAGAAUGAAGAGAUCAAGAACUGAUUAGAGAUAAUUGAUCGAUGCACCGUUAGGAUUAGGAGAAUGAUAACUGAAAGCUGGGAAUGAAUAAUUAUGAGAUGAUGGGCUCCGGAGAAUCAAACUGAAAAUACUCUGAAUUACUCCGGAUGGGUGAAAAGAAUUCUGACAAUCGAAAACAAUUAUGAGAGGAUGGCCUUGAACUAGAACCACGAAUCUUGAAGAGAAUGGAGCAAGAUUGAGAGAAAAUUCUUAUUCUGUCUUCAUAAUCUGAGAAUUACGAUGAGAAACACCACCGUGAAUUGUUGAGAUACUCCGAAAUGAUAAAUAGAAAGGUUGAACCAACGAUGAAAAAAAUUUGAAAGAUCUUGGAGAAAAACAUUUGAUUGAUGACAAAUCGUUCUUACGUCCAACUUCGAAAAGAAAUUUGAGGAUAGCUCCGGGAAAAUAAGAAGAGUCAGGUAAGAUCCUGGAAAAAAACCUGUGGGUUAGGGCCCACUCAAAAGAUACACUAUUGAAAAGAUUUAAAAGAGAGGAUUGCGCCGGUUGAAUUAAAUGACUUGGAAGAGAUAACAUCCUCGAAAGAGUUUGAAUGAAAGCAGAGUGGAAACACGAAUCUUCAAGAUAUCUUGAGCACUCCGGAACAAAUGGAUAGCGAGAAGUGAAUUAUUAUGAGGUGCACCGGCAUGAGAAAGCAUAGAAAUGAGGAAAGGGUAUGAUCAACAAAGCUUGACUUGAAUCCACCGAAGAAGAAGAAGAGUGACGAGUGACAAAUUUGAAGCUCCAUUAGAAUCUUCCUGAUAAUCACCGGAUAAGAAUAUUGAAAGAAAAGAAAGAAGAGACUUCACAUCAAUAAGAUGGAUACUUGAUUAAGAUAUAUGAGUCCUUGAAGAAAACAAGGGUGGGAGGGUGGGAAAAACACCGUUGAGAAGAACUGAUACUUGAUCUUGCGGAUGUUGCAAUGAUCGGAUCCACUUGAAGAGAAGUACACCGGUUAAAAAGGAUUGACAUGCCAGACUCGAUGAUCGAGAAGGAUUAGUAUUCACAUAGGAGUAUGAGAACACCACUUAGACAAGGGAUGGAAUCAACAUUUGACUUCGAAGCAACUCGAAUACCACAACUCAAAAACAAAAGAAAGGAUUGACUUGCAAAAUAAGCCGGAACAAACAUAUGAUAGAGAUUUCGUCUGAAGUUUUCGUGGUGGGGCCUACACGGGCUCGAUCGUACAACACCAUCAUGUACAAGGCAGUGCACAUGACAUACGAAGCGUCCCCGAGUCGGCAUAGCCAAGGACUCUUUAAGACACAACGAGACCACUGUAAAACCGACCGUGAAUAGGCGGACCACUAGACGUCGAACCCCAAUUUCAUAUCAUACAUCUGUCGGAAAGAUAUUCUAAGAGCUACUUGAAUUCCCACCUAUGAAACUCCCGAACCUUUCCGGUUAUGCAAUCAGGUGUUGGGGAUACAGGGGAAGCAUAAUAUCUCACCCAAAACUAGCAAAUCCUACAUCCAGCUGUAUCCAUCCUUCAACACAUAACCAAGAAACCUUCGGAAAUCGUCUACCUCAACCUUCGAAAAGCAUCCGUUAUACAAGUUAUGGCAAUACUCCCGAACUCCCGCCCCAGUACUGGGUGGCGUCGAGGUUAUCUCACCAACAACUGCAUAAAAGAGAUCUUCGAUGUCGGCGAAACUAAUCUCAGGUAUUCCAGAACUGCAUCGAUAAAAUUGUGACGAGAACACCUCGGAGCUCAACUCCACGGGACACUGCCACAACCCCUAAAUGACAGGAGGCACCAAGAACAAUGUUCUCGUCACAAAUCGAUCGGAACGAUUCCAAGAUACCCGCGUGAUCCUAAAUUUUUUAGUGAAAUUUGAGAAGAGAAGAGUCAAAACUCUACGUCAGGAUGCCUUACCAGAGUGAUGAAGGGACUGGGGAGUAAAAAUAAUUCCUAAACUCUCUGAUAUAUAAUUCCUAAAUGACUCAAAACAUUUUUCUAGACUCAACAACGGCAGCUAAUUCGAUCAAGCAGUGGGGGCUCCUAAGGUAGGGGAAGGCUCUGAUUACCAACUUGUAACGCCCUCGAUGCGGCUAUAUCUCCCACGUGUCGAAGCACCACUUAGAGGCAUAACCGCAUUGAAAGCAAUGUCGCAAGUGAGGUAAUCUUCACACAACCCAUGUAAUACUAUAAGGAAAAAGAGAUACAUAGUUGGCUUACAAUCUCCACUUCACACAAUUACAUGAAUAAAGCAUUAUAUCAUCCAAACACAAUCAGGGCCCGACUACGGAGCCAAAAUAAAAGUAGACUACCCCAAAUGCUACACAGAUCCCCGAUCGACCCCAAUUGGGCUCCACUACUGAUCAACUAGAAAGAAACAACACAAAGGACGAGAUCUUCAUCGAGCUCCUCCUUGAGCUUGUUUGCGUCACCGGCUUGGUAACAUCGGCACCUGCAAACUGGUUUUGGAAGUAUCUAUGAGUCACGGGGACUCAGCAAUCUCACAACCUCGCGAUCAAGACUAUUUAAGCUUAUAGGUAAGGUAAAAGGUAUGAGGUGGAGCUGCAGCAAACGACUAGCAUAUAUGGUGGCUAACAUACGCAAAUGAGAGCGAGAAGAGAACGCAAAGCACGGUCGAGAAACUAUGAUCAAGAAGUGAUCCUAGAACAACCUACGUCAAGCAUAACUCCAACAACCGUGUUCACUUCCCGGACUCCGCCGGAAAGAGACCAUCAUGGUUACACACGCGGUUGAUGUAUUUUAAUUAAGAUCAACUUCAGGUUUUCUACAACCGGGCAUUAACAAAUUUCCAUCUGCCCAUAACCGCGGGCACGGCUUUCGAAAGUUCAAAUCCCUGCAGGGGUGUCCCAACUUAGCCCAUCACAAGCUCUCACGGUCAACGAAGGAUAUUCCUUCUAGCGGGAAGACCCGAUUAGGCUCAGAAUCCCGGUUACAAGACAUUUCGACAAUGGUAAAACUAAACCAGCAACACCGCCCGAAUGUGCCGACAAAUCCUGAUAGGAGCUGCACAUAUCUCGUUCUCAGGGCAAACCGGAUUGUCCAAGGUACGGGUAGGCCAGCCCAGAGUUACCCCUGGUGGCCACCGACAGCUGACAGGUUGGACCAACACUCAGAGGAGCACUGGCCUGGGGGGUAAAAUAAUGAUGACCCUCAGGAGCACGACUCCCAAGGGAAAAGAAAGGCUAGGUGGCGAAUGGUAAAACCAAAGUUGGGCAUUGCUGGAAGAGUUUUAUUCAAGGCGAACUGUCAAGGGGUUCCCAUUAUUACCCAACCGUGUAAGGAACGCAAAAUCCGGGAACAUAACACCGAUAUGACGGAAACUAGGGCGGCAAGAGUGGAACAAAACACCAGGCAUAAGGCCGAGCCUUCCACCCUUUACCAAGUAUAUAGAUGCAUUAAUUAAAUAUGAUAUAUUGUGAUAUCCCAACAAGUAAACAUGUUCCAACAAGGAACAACAUCUCCAUGUUCCAACAAGGAACAAACUUCAACCUUCACCUACAACUAACAACGCUAUAAGAGGGGCUGAGCAAAGCGGUAACAUAGCCAAACAACGGUUUGCUAGGACAAGGUGGGUUAGAGGCUUGGUUCAACAAUAUGGGAGACAUGAUAAGCAAGUGGUAGGUAUCAUAGCAUAGGCAUAGCAAAAGAGCGAGCAACUAGCAAGCAAAGAUAGAAGUGAUUUCGAGGGUAUGGUCAUCUUGCCUGAAAUCACACAAGGAAGAAGAACGAGUCCAUGAAGAAGAUAAACGGAUGUAGUCGAACGGAUCCUCACACACACGAUGUUAUCGGAACCGACCCGAAGAAGCAACACCGGAAAGAAGAAAACAACAUAGUAAACAACCAACACAUCAACAUGGCAUGAUGCACAAUCAAGUAUGAUGCAUGUCCGGUUUAAUGAAGCAUGGCAUGGCAAAGUGCACAAACAAUCCUACAAAUUAAGUGGAGCUCAACAUGCAACUCCGUUGCAUAUUGAAGAAAGACCACAUUCAAGUUAUUUAGUUCGAUCUCGUUUAUGUACCCAACAAUAUUAAAUGUUGGUUAACAUGGCAAGGGGUGAAGCAAAUGAAAACUACCUAUCUAGGCAAGUUUAAAUGAGGCCGGAACAACAAACAACAAGUCCGGUAAAACCCCAUAUGCAUAUUUUAAGGUUUGGUACUGUUCUGCCCUAAUCACAAUUUUAGAGUUGUUAAACAUGCAAAGUGAUGCCACCAUGUUAAACUAGACAUUUUUCCACCCCAUUUACAAAUAAAGUUUAUUAAAUUUGGAGCUACGGUUGGAUAGUUAUGAAUUAAAUCAUUUUACAUGCCAAUAUGGGAAAAUAUAUGCAAACAUCAUUUUAAACAUUUUAAAAAUAGAUAAAAGUUGCACAAAAUGAAACUACACAAAAUUCUAAGCAUCUUACAUAUAUAACAUGUUUUAUUUAGACGCAUGGACAUUUAGUUAUUAACAAAACAAAAUGCAUUCCUGUAAUUAUGCAUGCACUGGAAUAAAAGGAAAAAAAACGUCAGCAGGGAAAGGGAAAAAAUGUAGCCGGGCCGGAUCUGGUCUACCGGGCUGCACAGGACAGAGGGCACUAGGUGUCCUCACCUAGUGGGCUGAGGCCCACUCGAUGGAAGAGGCAGGCGGGGGCGCUGGCAUGGGGGCUGCUGGGCCUUGGAGCCCAGAUGGCAGCCACUCGCGGGCGAGGUGCAGUCAACAUGGGCAUCGACCGCGUCUUCCUCCUCUCGAUCAGAGGCGCAACGGAACCUGGAGGCGGCAAAGUGCAGGCGGGGGCGGUCUCCAGGGCACGGGGAGGCGACGUGGGGAAACGACGGGGACCAAGGCGAAGCAGGGGGAGGUCCGGCAGGGGCGCGGGUGUCCGGGACGGCGGAUCUUCUCGUUGCAGGGGAAGCAUAUGGAAGUGGCAAGGACUUGGCGAAGGCGCAACAGCAGGAACUUGGCGCGGUUCUUGGGGCUCCGGCGAGCUGAGGAGGUCCGGCAACGACAGGGAUGGUCGGGACCCAACAGAUACGAGGCCAGGGCGGCUUCGGAUGGGGACGAGACGGGCAACGCUUGAAGCUUCGACCAUGGCUCCUGUGAAGGAUUCAGAGAGAGGGAGAGAACUGCGUGAGGGAGAAAAACAGAUGGAGGGAGGAGAAAUAAGGGGAGGCGUGGUCUGGCCUGGCGGAGGUGGUCGGAGGCUGCGGUUUGUGGCGGUCACCGCGCAGGAGCGGGACGAGGCGCGACCCUUGUCUCCUGGACGAAGCAGAGGAGGAGGCGCAGACGUGACGGCGCUAGUCGAGGCAGAGGAGGCUUUCGGGAAGGCGCGGGGCAACGAGGAGGAGGCCGCAGGUGAGGGAGGCGCUCGGCAGGAGGCGAGGCAAGCAGCGACGAUGGGGAUGGCCAUGGAUGCUCCUGCGUGCUUCCUAGAAAAGACAUGGAUCAGGUGAGAGAGGGAAACAGAGGGAACGGGAGCAGAGGAAGCGAAGGAGAAGCAGAAGCGGGGAGGAACCGUGAUCGGAGUUGGGGACGAGGUGAAGCAGCGGUGGUCUCCGGCGAGGUGGGUCGAAGGCGGAGGACUCAGGGCAGGAGCUCGGGCGGAGGGGUGGAUCGAGGAGGGGAUGGAUCCCGAAAAGGAUUUGGUGGAGUGGCGGCGGCGAUGGGACAACCCCCCUAGAAAUUAGGGUUGGCUUGAUUUGGUAGGGGUUGUACUAUAUAUAUGGAAAUAGGAUUGUGGUUGGACCUUCCGAUCGUAAUCGGACGAUCACGAAUAAAAUAUCUAGGGAGUAUAAAUAAGAAAACGAUGAUGUUUUGUAGAUGUUUGGAGAUGUUCUGGACACAACGGUGACGACUGCCCGGGUCGGGUCCGGACAGCUUUCGGACGCGCGCGCGAGGAGGGACGCGGUGUGACGAGAGAGGUUAGGUUGGACCUGGCUGUAGGUAGUGGGCUGUGUAGACGGUCUCGAGCUGAGAGAAGAGAAGAGAGGGAGGCCCGACGACUGUUUUCGGAGACCGAAAACAUCCGACGUGUGUCCGGCUAUAAUGCCGCUAUAGUUUAACGGUUGGGCUAUCAAACGAACUCCGAAUGCGAUGAAACUUGACAGGCGGUCUAUCUACACUAAAAUAAGACCACACGCCAACUUUCAACCCAUUCCGAGCACAUUUUCCAGCCACUUAUAAAAUAUUAUUUCGGACAUGCCGCGGGCGCGUGCAAGUGUGGUUGGGCUCAGAACGGACAACAGACGGAACUGGGGGAACCCGGACGGAUGCAAGUUUUGAAAACAUGAUGAUGCAAUGCACAUGAUGACAUGACAAGAUGCAACACGCAAGCAAAUGACAAGGCAACAACAGCGAAUAACUGGACGACACCUGGCGCAACGGUCUCGGGGCGUCACAGGUUUCCACUCCACCCCUUCGUCCGCGGGAUUAUGUUCUACUACGGGAUAGAUUUCAACGAUCUAUCCCCGAACUCCUUCCUCAAUAUCUCGGCGUUCAUCAUCGUGUGCAAGGCUUUCCUACGCAUCCACCCCCACUUUGGGUUAUGGCUCAAAAUCUUCAACGUGAAGCCCAACAUGCUGGACAGACAGCACGCAGAGUGCGGGGGCGCAAUGGUGAGCAAGCUCACCAAUGUUUCUUGGCCAAAAGGCACAUUCGUGGAAUCUGUCAAGGAAUGGCAGAAGCUAUGGUUCUACAUCACCGAACCCCGCGACGCCACCUGGGCCGCAGCUGCCGAAUUCAACUCUGGCGCUCCCGUGCGGCUCACCUCUUGGGUCGAGAAGAGCCCAAACUGGUGUUCGUCGAACGAGCUGAUUGCGCUGCAAACACACAUCCAAAGCAUGAUCGAUAGGGAUAUCAAGCUCGUCAACAUAAUCCAAGUGAUGCUGGUGCACCGGAUCCUCCCCUGCCAGAGCCGAAGCCGUCCUCUAUGGGACUUCAACCCGAAGAAACACCAUACCUUGGUGAGGCUCUUCGAAACGACUCAUGAAGAUGCCUGGAAGUUGCUUUUCAAGGGCAACGAGAUACCGCCAGCCACCAAUUCGGAUUGUGGCCACGACAUAAAUCACCUCCCCAAUGAGGUAUGUUAUUUUUAACACAUCCCUUACUUGCUUGUUUCAAGGGUGAUAUCUAAUGCUUUCAUUACCAUUGCUUUUUCAGUACUGGUUGAAGUAGGCGAAGAAGAUUCGGUGUCCGGCUCCCCUGCCCGAAGAGCCAGUCACUUCGCGUUUAGCGAAGAUGUUGGAGUCGGCGCCUUACAAGGCACCAGAGAAGAAGGGCACAGGAAAGGCCAAGGGGGUCCGGAGUGGCCCCCGCCGCAAGAGCACUUCGGACGCGGCGUCCGAAGACAAGGACCAUUCCCCCGCCGCCGAAGAUGACGCGGAUGAUGAUGAUGAGGAGGAGAGCGACUCUCCCCCCCCCCGACGGGGGUAUGAAGAACAAGGCGGCCUCCACAACUCUAGAGGCGGAGGCGCCCAAAAAGGGGAAGGGCUCCCUAACGGGUAACUCCGCAUGGGACGUUGAUGACAGUCCGGAGAGACGCCCCCGCGCUAAGCCUCGGGCCGCAUCGUAAGUAAUAACACCUUAUCCGCCCAUAAAGUCUCUCCUCCUCAUUGUAUUGAAAUGAUUGGCAAAUGUUAUUGUAGUCCAGCCCACAACACCUCCCAGCAAUCCUCAUCAGGAGGCUUGUUGGAUUCCAAGGCGAUGGCCAGCGACUCCCUGCCGGACGCACACUCCCCCAAGACCAAGGAGGAUGUAGAGGUGCUGUCCCGAAUGACUGUCUUCGGCGGGGGAGAGGCUCAGGAGGCGCCCGAAGGCGAAACCCCCGUUGUCGGACACCAAGGGGACUCAAUCCCCAAUGAGACUGGCAGGAAGGGCCGUACACAGUUUGGCCCUCAACCGGGCUCAAUUCUGGAGACCGAGGCAGCUCCGGAAUCCAGCACGCACCCUCCUUCGAAAGAAGGGGGAUGCCUGUUCCGCCGGUGACCCCUGUCCAACCAGGGGCACCGGAUAACCUACUAGAGGCGCUACGAGGCACUUCCAUUAUGGAUGAGCACUGUGCCCUUAUGGGCAUGGUGAUUGAAAAGGUUCAGUCCGCCAAGAGCGGAUUAACCGAAGCCUGCAACAGCUUGCUGAUAGGUUUUGAGGUAAGAGACAUCGAACAAGGAGAAAAUCCCAGUGUAGACCAGUAGCCCCUGAGACACUAUCCGGUGUUCGGAAAAAAGCCGGACAGAGGAUCAAUCUCAUUUUAAUAGGAAACUAACUUAAUUUUUCUGAAAUGCAGGCGUCAUUGCUAGCCGAGGCCUCGCAUACUGCCAAAGUUUCUGGACUGAAGCAGAAACUGGCGGAGGCCGAGGAGGAGCUGGGCCAAGCGAAGAGGCAACUCCAGGAGAAACAAGGUAAGUAAUAACUAGUUAUAUAUUUGAAAAGAAUAAAAUUGUAUGCGAUGACCAAAAUGCCAUGAUUUGUAUAGAAGCGGCGACCGAGGUCGAGGCCCUGAGAAAGGCCCUGGCCGAAGCCGAGGGGAAGGCUGUCCAACAGCAAGCCGCCCGUAAGAAGCUCAAGGCUCGGGUCGGGGAGGUCCAGCAGGAGCUCCAAGACAUGGUUAAGAAGUGUGAAGCUUUGGAGCAUGAAGCGUCAGAGCUCAGAGGCCGCACAAAAAAGAUCCAGGAGGCGAAGGAGAUCGCAGCGGGUAAGGCUUUUAACAUGCAAAGCAAGUAUGUGGAGAGGAAGUACCUUUUACUAACCUGGAUUUGGAGUUGCCCAGGGGAUUUUGUGGAUCUACCGCACAGUGUAUCCGAUGCUGUGGAGUUCUUUCGAGCCAGGGAAGGGGAUUCUUCGGAGAAGCUGUUCUAGUCACAGUAUGCUGUGCCAGAACAUCCGGUGGCCUUUUCCGAUCAAUUGAGGCAGCUGGUCGAGCUGCAUAGGGUGGCCGAACUGGCCAUGAAGGAUUUCAUAAUCUGAUUAUGGCCGGCCGAAGCUAUACCUAGUAGUUAUUUCGGCCUUGUGAAGCGGGUGGUGGAGGCUUGUCCGCGGCUAGACAUCGUCAAGCGAUCAUUUUGCAUCGAGGGUGCCCACAUGGCCUUCACUCGCUGCAAGAUGUGGUGGGCAAAGAUGGAUGCCGUCGAGGUGGCCAGGGGGGCGCCGGAGGGCAAGGAGCACCGCACACCCGAGCGAUAUUUUGCGGAUGUCCUGGAGGGAUCUCGACUUGUAGCAAUGCAGUGCGGGCAGGACGUUAUUCUCGAAUGAAUACAUCCACGUGUUUGCCUUGUAUGAACGAAUCCGCCUUGUAAUAUAUAAUUUUUAUUAUGUUUUGAUUGUUUCCUCCUGUGCGACCGUGUUGUAUGAAAUCUGAGGGUUAACCAGUCAUCGGCUUCAGCCCUCGCGUAGGUAGUACGAAGGUGUUCAGGAUGGAAUCUAAACAAUCUUUAUCCAAUUAUAUGGUCCUUGAAGGAGUUGUUUAGCGCAACGAACCAGGCAACCGGACUAUAUGGCUUGAACACCCUCACUUAGCCAUAGGAGUUUUAUAAUAAAACAUAGGCGCAACCCCUGCUAUACGAACCAGAGUGCUGUCAGCAUCUGAUCGGGAAGUACCGAUCCCUCACGAAAUGCGGAAAAAUCUCCAACGAUUUGAGACCUCCGGACAGCUGACCAACUCUCACCGCAUCAUGACAGUCAGUUUUCGGCUUUCUCUACUGAGGUGCUCAUCCGGUUUAGACCAGGAAACAAUCGCAAUAGUUCUCCCUUUACUACCCUAGCCGAUGUAGCGGAACAUAGGGUAGUAAGCACAGGAGCUGGGCAACCCAACUAUUGACCAAAGACAUGAUUCGGAGCCAAUGCAUAUAAUGCUAAAUUCGGGGUGCCGAACUAUACUUAUAGAAAGUCUUCAGACUUAUGUUGCCGUAGUGUAAGGUGCUAUAAAGCCCUUGGGAAACGUCAAACAUACCAAAGUGUAUGGGUGCUACCUGAUGGGUUAUCCACAGGGAAUCUAAAAAAGAAAAGAGAGAAAGAAAACAGACAAGACUUAAAGGUGAAAAGCUGGGGUCCUAAAGCUCCAGCUACAAACUGUUUUCAUUGUAAUGUAAUUAGUAUGUCAAGGCGCAUUGAUAUAAAUAGUGCAAUAAGCAAUAGGCUAUUUAACAUGCCGAAACCAGGGGAGAGCUGCAUAUGGGUCCUGGAAAAUAGGUAGAGUUAUCAUUAACGGAAUCACCUAAAAAGUUCCCCAUAUGUACGCGCUUCUCGCUGUCUUGGUGUAUUUAUCCUACAAGAGGACCGAUGACUAGACCCCCCGAUGGGGCCUGUGGGAUUGAGACCUGAAAGGAAAACAAGUAAAAGUGAAAGUAUGUGUGUAUCCGAUGUCGGUUGAUCCGUGCCAUGGAUCACAAGUUGUCUGUGCCUCCGUCAAUGCCCAUGGAAUUUUAAGUGGGUAGUUAUGUACGCGCGACACGAAUGCCACCACUUGAUCAGGACUGAGACAGAGGCCGGAUUGCUAGUUGAGCUCCUGACGAGCCGAGCUCUCCUUCUGUAGAGUAGUUCGGACCCUCUUAAGGAUGUCCGCGGGCUCGUCAGCCGAAUGAAGGGUCUGCUUGAGAAGGCCGCUUUGUACUUCUGCUGCUAGGGCAGCUGUGUGCUCUUCUGUAUGGAGAGAGCGUUCCGUAUUGCCAUUGACUAUUAUAACACCGCGUGGACCGGGCAUCUUGAGCUUGACAUAAGCAUAGUGUGGCACUGCGUUGAAUCGAGCAAACGCAGUUCGUCCGAGCAGUGCAUGAUAGCCACCGCGGAAUGGGACGAUAUCGAAGAUUAACUCCUCACUUCGGAAGUUGUCCGGAGAUACGAAGACAACCUCUAAUGUGAUUGAGCCAGUACAGUGGGCCUCUACACCUGUAUGACUCCUUUAAAGGUAGUCCUUGUAGGCUUGAUCCUUGAUGGGUUAAUGCCCAUUUUCCGCGCUGUAUCCUGAUAGAGCAGAUUGAGGCUGCUACCACCGUCCAUAAGGACGCGAGUCAGGUGAAACCCAUCAAUUAUUGGGUCUAAGACUAGUGCGGCUGAGCCCCCGUGAAGGAUACUGGUCGGGUGGUCCCAUCGAUCGAAAGUGAUCGGGCACGACGACCAUGGGUUGAAUUUUGGGGAGACUGGCUCUAGCACGUAGACAUCCCUAAGCGCAUGCUUGCGCUCCCUCUUGGGGAUGUGGGUGGCAUAUAUCAUGUUCACCGUUUUGACCUGAGGGGGAAACUUCUUCUGUCCCCCUGUGUUCGGCUGCCGUGGCUCUUUGUCGUCGUCCUUGCUUUGCGAUCCUUUUUCACUGUUCUCGGCGUUUAAUUUGCCGGCUUGUUUGAAAACCCAGCACUCUCUAUUUGUAUGAUUAGGAGGCUUGUCGGGGGUGUUGUGAAUCUGGCAUGGAUGAUCAAGUAUGCGGCCCAAGCUGGAUGGGCCCGAAUUGUUCUUUUGGAAUGGCUUCUUCCGCUGACCGGACUUACAUCCACUGAAUCCGGCGUUGACCACCGUAUCCUCGGUGUUGUCACUGCUAUUUCGGCGCUUGUAUCUAUUGCGUCGAGACUUGUCUUUGUUAUUUUUAACUUCAGGGGUGCCGGCGUCGCUUGCAUUGUUUUUGCUACGAGCCAACCAACUGUCCUCGCCCGCACAAAAGGGGGUCAUUAGUGCCGUCAGGGCCACCAUGGAUUUUGGCUUUUCUUGGCCGAGGUGGCGAGCGAGCCAUUCGUCGCGGAUGCUAUGUUUGAAAGCUGCUAGAGCUUCAGCAUCCGGACGAUCAAUGAUUUGGUUCUUUUUAGUUAGGAACCUUGUCCAGAAUUUCCCAGUGGACUCUCCGGGCUACUGGACUGUAUGGCUUAAGUCAUCAGCGUCCGGAGGUCAAACAUAUGUACCUUGGAAGUUAUCAAGGAAAGCCUCUUCCAAGUCCUCCCAACUGCCAAUGGAAUUGUCAGGCAGACUGUUUAGCCAAUGCCGAGCGGGCCCCUUGAGUUUGAGAGAGAGGUAUUCGAUGGCGUGGAGGUCAUCUCUGCGUGCCAUAUGGAUGUGGAGAAUGAAGUCUUUGAUCCACACCACGGGGUCCGUGGUCCCAUCGUAUGAUUCUAUGUUCACGGGCUUGAAUCCUUUGGGAAAUUCAUGAUCUAGGACCACAUCAGUGAAGCAAUGAGGGUGUGCGGGGCCUCUGUAUCGGGCCGUAUCGUGACACAGCUCUGAUGAAGUCCGUCUGCGGUGUUCAUCCUGCGCAUGACUGGGUUUGUCAUGUCCGAAUAGGUGGCCGUUGUCACGUGUCGAGGUGCGUCCUCGUGAUCCAUAGAUUGAUCUAGUAGGUCCUGCUUUAUUGUUCAGGUUCUGCCGGAGGUCAUAUGUAUGGCCGUGGGCGAAUUUACCUUUGCCUAAGUGAUGAGGCGGGGCGGGUUGGUGUUUGGCCACGCGGUGGCCGGUCAGCCGCAUUGUACGAUGGUGGUAUAUACUUCAGCGCCUCCUCGUCGAACUGAGGUAGCAAUUUAUGCUUUGGGUAGCUUUUGGUUGGGCGCUUGAGGCCGUCUUCUUCGGCUACUAGGACAUCAGUCCAUUUAUCAUUAAGCAGAUCCUGGUCAGCUUGAAGCUGCUGCUGCUUCUUUUUUAGGCUCCUUGUAGUGGCUAUUAGCUAGCGCUUGAAGCGCUCCUGCUCAAGAGGUUCCUCGGGCACGAUGAAAUCCUCGGUACCAAGGCUCACCUCAUCCUCGGAGAGCGGAAGGUAACUGUCGUCCACCGAAUGUUUGUGCGUGGCCUGUUUAAUAGGGCAAACUUGCUGAUAUGUCUCCAACGUAUCUAUAAUUUUUGAUUGUUCCAUGCUAUAUUAUAUCCUAUUUUGGACAUUAUUGGGCUUUAUUAUACAAUUUUAUAUUAUUUUUGGGACUAACCUAUUAACCGGAGGCCCAACCCAGAAUUGCUGUUUUUUUGCCUAUUUUAGGGUUUCGCAGAAAAAGAAUAUCCAACGGAGUCCAAAUGGAAUGAAACCUCCGGGAAUGUGAUUUUCGGAACGAACAUGAUCCAGAGGACUUGGACCCUACGUCAAGACAUCAACCAGGAAGGCACGAGGUAGGGGGGCGCGCCUACCCCGCCAGACGCGCCCUCCACCCUCGUGGGCCCCACGUUUCUCCAUAGACGUACUUAUUCCUCCUAUAUAUUCCUAUGUACCCCCAAACUACCAGAUACGGAGCCAAAACCCUAAUUCCACCGCCGUAACUUUCUGUAUCCACGAGAUCCCAUCUUGGGGCCUUUUCCGGAGCUCUGCUGGAGGGGGCAUUGAUCAUGGAGGGCUUCUACAUCAACACCAUAGCCUCUCCGAUGAAGUGUGAGUAGUUUACUUCAGACCUUCGGGUCCAUAGUUAUUAGCUAGAUGGCUUCUUCUCUCUCUUUGGUUCUCAAUACAAAGUUCUCCCCCUCUCUUGUGGAGAUCUAUUCGAUGUAAUCUUAUUUUGCGGUGUGUUUGUUGAGAUCGAUGAAUUGUGGGUUUAUGAUCAAGUUUAUCUAUGAACAAUAUUUGAAUCUUCUCUGAAUUCUUUUAUGUAUGAUUGGUUAUCUUUGCAAGUCUCUUCGAAUUAUCAGUUUGGUUUGGCCUACUAGAUUGAUCUUUCUUGCAAUGGGAGAAGUGCUUAGCUUUGGGUUCAAUCUUGCAGUGUCCUUUCCCAGUGACAGUAGGGGCAGCAAGACACAUAUUGUAUUGUUGCCAUCGAGGAUAACAAGAUGGGGUUUAUUUCAUAUUGCAUGAGUUUAUCCCUCUACAUCAUGUCAUCUUACUUAAAGCGUUACUCUGUUCUUUGAACUUAAUACUCUAGAUGCAUGCUGGAUAGCGGUCGAUGUGUGGACUAAUAGUAGUAGAUGCAGGCAGGAUUCGGUCUACUUGUCUCGGACGUGAUGCCUAUAUACAUGAUCAUACCUAGAUAUUCUCAUAACUAUGCUCAAUCUAUCAAUUGCUCAACAGUAAUUUGUUUACCCACCGUAAUACUUAUGCUCUCGAGAGAAGCCACUAGUGAAACCUAUGGCCCCCGGGUCUAUUUUCCAUCAUAUUAAUCUUUCGUCAACAAGCUAUUUCCUUUUUCGUUUAUUUUGCUUUCUUUACUUUGCAUCUUUAUCAUAAAAAUGCCAAAAAUAUUAUCUUAUCAUAUCUAUCAGAUCUCACUCUCGUAGGUGACCAUGAAGGGAUUGACAACCCCUUUAUUGUGUUGGUUGCGAGGAGUUUAUUUGUUUGUGUAGGUGCGAGGGACUCGUGCGUGGCCUCCUACUGGAUUGAUACCCUGGUUCUCAAAAACUGAGGGAAAUACUUACGCUACUUUACUGCAUCACCCUUUCCUCUUCAAGGGAAAACGAACGCAGUGCUCAAGAGGUAGCACCUGCGCAUCUUCCGUUCGUCUUGUUCGUUUGUUGUGUCGACGGGAUCUUCAUUGUCUUCGGCACCUUCCGGAGUGUCAUCUUCUCCCGUGUCGGUGUUGCUAUCUUUACUGCGGCGUGACUUAGAGCGGCGCCGCUGACGCUGACGCUUGGAUUGUAUUUCGGAAGGUUUAUCCUCAACUGGGUCUUCCUUGUCGUCGCCGCUGUUUUCCUAUGGUGCAUCCACCAUGUAUACGUCAUACGAGGAAGUGGCCGUCCAACGUCCGAUGAACGGCGGGUUCUGGUCUUCUUCUUUUCCGGCAUCGUCAUCCAUAACAUCGAUGUCCUCGGAGUCGUAAUCAAGUUCGUCGGUCAAAUCCUCAACCAUGGCUAUAAAGUGGGUGGCGGAUGGGAAGCAAAAUUCUCCAUCGUCAGCACCUAGUUUGAGCCGGAUAUAGUUCGGCUAAGAGUCCUCCGCUAAGGACAGACUUUUUAACGAGUUUAGCACAUCACCCAGAGGCGAGUGCUGGAAGAUGUCUGUGGCGCUGAAUUCGAAGAUCGAUAAACAAUCAAGCUCGGCGUCCGCGGGCUCACAUGGUUCGGAACCUACAGCCGGAGACGAGUCUGGUGUUCCGGUGGCAUAGGCAUCGAGUGAGACCAGGUCCAUGUGCGUCUCCAACGCCGUGGAAUCUGUGGCCUCCGUGGUGAGGUUAAUCCUCCCAUCUUUGGAUGGCGCGGCUUGGUCCGGAUCUAGGGCCAGAGUGGUUACAGGAGCGAUCUCCUGGAUGCGGCCCGAUGACAGAUUUAAGUCAUGAUCAUCGAGGUGAUCGGGAGUGGCUACCGCGGUAUCGAAUCCGGCGAAGAUCAAGUCUCCACGGAUGUCCACGAUGUAGUUCAAGCUCCCGAAUCUGACCUGAUGGCCAGGGGCAUAGCUUUUGAUCUGCUCCAGAUGGCCAAACGAGUUGGCCCGCAGUGCGAAGCCGUCGAACACAAAGGUCCCGGGGAGGAAAGUUUCUUCGUAGACAGCGCCAUUAUUGACGAUUGAAGGGGCCAUCAAACCUUUCAGUGACAGCACAAAGGAACUCUCAAUGAAAUCACCAAUGUCAGUGUCAAAACCGGCGGAUCUCGGGUAGGGGGUCCCGAACUAUGCAUCUAAGGUUGAUGGUAACAUGAGACAGGGGCCAUGAUGUUUACCCAGGUUCGGGCCCUCUCUACGGAGGUAAUACCCUACUUCCUGCUUGAUUGAUCUUGAUGAAUAAGAGUGUUACAAGAGUUGAUCUACCACGAGAUCGUAAUGGAUAAACCCUAGAAGUCUAGCCUGUAUGACUACGGUAUUGAGUAUCCCCUAUUCGGAUUACACCCUUCGGUUUAUAUAGACACCGGGGGGAUCUAGGGUUACAUAGAGUCGGUUACAUAAGAUGGAAUCUUCAUAGUUGUUCCCAAGCUUGCCUUCCACACCAAGGAGAGUCCUAUCCGAACAUGGGUGUAGUCUUCGGUCUUCAUAUCUUCAUAGCCCAUCAGCCCGGCCCAUAGACAACAGGCCGGACGUCCGAGGACCCCUUAGUCCAGGACUGCCUCGGGGGGCACCCCAAAGGCACGCCAAAGUUUCUCUUAGACGUGUGAGGUGCCCUCCUGCACAGUUUCACACCUCAGUCAUAUUGUCGUAGUGCUUAGGCGAAGCCCUGCAUCGGUAACUUCAUCAUCACCGUCACCACGCCGUCGUGCUGACGGAACUCUCCUUCGGCCUCAACUAGAUCAAGAGUUCGAGGGACGUCAUCGAGAUGAACGUGUGCUGAUCUCAGAGGUGCCGUACGUCCGGUGCUUGGAUCUGUUGGAUCGCUAAGACGUUCGACUACAUCAACCGCGUUACUAAACGCUUCCGGUUUUGGUCUACGAGGGUACGUAGACACACUCUCCCCGCUCGUUGCUAUGCUUCUCCUAGAUAGAUCUUGCAUGAUCGUAGGUAAAUUUUGUUAAAUACUACGUUCCCCAACACUACUUUCCAAUUCGGGAGAAGGUACAAUUACCUCAUCAAGUUCUACUUUCCUCCCACUCACUUCUUUCAAGAGAAACUCCUUCUCUAGAAAGGAUCCAUUCUUAGCAACGAAUAUCUUGCCUUCGGAUCUGUGAUAGAAGGUGUACCCAACAGUUUCCUUUGGGUAUCCUAUGAAGAUGCAUUUCUCUGAUUUGGGUUCGAGCUUAUCAGGUUGAAGCUUUUUCACAUAAGCAUCGCAGCCCCAAACUUUAAGAAAUGGCAGCUUAGGUUUCUUGCCAAACCACAGUUCAUAUGGUGUCGUCUCAAUGGAUUUAGAUGGUGCCCUAUUUAAUGUGAAUGUAGCUGUCUCUAAAGCAUAACCCCAAAACGAUAGUGGUAAAUCGGUAAGAGACAUCAUAGAUAUCUAAUAAAGUAUGGUUACGACGUUCGGACACACCAUUACACUGUGGUGUUCCAGGAGGCAUGAGUUGCGAAACUAUUCCACAUUGUUUCAAAUGAAGACCAAACUCAUAACUCAAAUAUUCACCUCCAUGAUCAAAUCGUAGAAACUUUAUUUUCUUGUUACGAUGAUUUUCCACUUCACUCUGAAAUUCUUUGAACUUUUCAAAUGUUUGAGACUUAUGUUUCAUUAAGUAGAUAUACCCAUAUCUGCUCAAAUCAUCUAUGAAGGUCAAAAAAUAAUGAUACCUGUCGCGAGCCUCAACACUCAUCGGACCGCAUACAUCAGUAUGCAUUAUUUCCAAUAAGUCAGUGGCUCGCUCCAUUGUUCCGGAGAACGGAGUCUUAGUCAUCUUGCCCAUGAGGCAUGGUUCGCAAGUAUCAAGUGAUUCAUAACCAAGUGAUUCCAAAAGCCCAUCAACAUGGAGUUUCUUCAUGCACUUUACACCAAUAUGACCUAAACGGCAGUGCCACAAAUAAGUUGCACUAUCAUUAUUAACUUUGCAUCUUUUGGCUUCAAUAUUAUGAAUAUGUGUAUCACUACGAUCAAGAUUCAACAAAAAUAGACCACUCAUCAAGGGUGCAUGAUCAUAAAAGAUAUUACUCAUAUAAAUAGAACAACCAUUAUUCUCUGACUUAAAUGAAUAACCGUCUCGCAUCAAACAAGAUCCAGAUAUAAUGUUCAUGCUCAACGCUGGCACCAAAUAACAAUUAUUCAGGUCUAAAACUAACCCCGAAGGUAGAUGUAGAGGUAGCGUGCCGACGGCGAUCACAUCGACCUUGGAACCAUUUUUGACGCGCAUCAUCACCUCGUCCUUAGCCAAUCUUCAUUUAAUCUGUAGCCCCUAUUUUGAGUUGCAAAUAUGAGCAACAGAACCAGUAUCAAAUACCCAGGCACGGCUACGACUAUUAGUAAGGUACACAUCAAUAACAUGUAUAUCAAAUAUACCUUUCACUUUGCCAUCCUUCUUAUCCGCCAAAUACUUGGGGCAGUUCCGCUUCCAGUGACUAGUCCCUUUGCAGUAGAAGCACUCAGUUUCAGGCUUAGGUCCAGACUUGGGCUUCUUCCCUUGAGCAAAAACUUGCUUGCUAUUCUUCUUUAAGUUCCCCUUCUUCCCUGUGCCCUUUUUCUUGAAACUAGUGGUCUUGUUAACCAUCAACACUUGAUGCUCCUUCUUGAUUUCUACCUCCGCGGCCUUUAGCAUUGCGAAGAGCUCGGGAAUUGUCUUUUCCAUCCCUUGCAUAUUAUAGUUCAUCAUGAAGCCUUUAUAGCUUGGUGGCAGUGAUUGAAGAACUCUGUCAAUGACACUAUCAUCAGGAAGAUUAACUCCCGGCUGAGUCAAGUGGUCAUGGUACCCAGACAUUCUGAGUAUGUGUUCACUGACAUAACUAUUCUCCUCCAUCUUGCAGCUAUAGAACUUGUUGGAGACUUCAUAUCUCUCAACUCGGGCAUUUGCUUGAAAUAUUAACUUCAACUCCUGGAACAUCUCAUAUGCUCCAUGACGUUCAAAAUGUCUUUGAAGUCCCGAUUCUAAGACGUAAAGCAUGGCACACUGAACUAUCGAGUAGUCAUCAGCUUUAGUCUGCCAGACGUUCAUAACAUCUGGAGUUGCUCCUGUAGCAGGUCUUGCACCUAGUGGUGCUUCCAGGAUGUAAUUCUUCUAUGCAGCAAUGAGGAUAAUCCUCAAGUUACGGACCCACUCCCUGUAGUUGCUACCAUCAUCUUUCAACUUUGCUUUCUCUAGGAACGCAUUAAAAUUCAAGGGAACGGUAGCACGGGCCAUUGAUCUACAACAACAUAGAUAUGCAAGAAAACUAUCAGGACUAACUUCAUGAUAAAUUAAAGUUCAAUUAAUCAUAUUACUUAAGAACUCCCACUUAGAUAGACAUCCCUCUAGUCAUCUAAAUGAUCAUGUGAUCCAUAUCAACUAAACCAUGUUCGAUCAUCAUGUGAGAUGGAGUAGUUUUCAAUGGUGAACAUCACUAUGUUGAUCAUAUCUACUAUAUGAUUCGCGUUCGACCUUUCGGUCUCAGUGUUCCGAGGCCAUAUCUGCAUAUGCUAGGCUCGUCAAGUUUAACCCAAGUAUUCUGCAUGUGCAAAACUGGCUUGCACCCGUUGUAUGUGAAUGUAGAGCUUAUCACACCCGAUCAUCACGUGGUGUCUUGACACGACGAACUGUAGCAACGGUGCAUACUCAGGGAGAACACUUAUACCUUGAAAUUUAGUGAGGGAUCAUCUUAUAAUGCUACCGCCAUACUAAGCAAAAUAAGAUGCAUAAAAGAUAAACAUCACAUGCAAUCAAAAUAUGUGACAUGAUAUGGCCAUCAUCAUCUUAUGCCUUUGAUCUCCAUCUCCAAAGCACCGCCAUGAUGUCCAUCGUCACCGGCUUGACACCUUGAUCUCCAUCGUAGCGUCCUUGUCGUCUUUCCAACUAUUGCUUCUAUGACUAUUGCUACCGCAUAGUGAUAAAGUAAAGCAAUUACAUGGCGAUUGCAUUUCAUACAAUAAUGCGACAACCAUAAGGCUCCUGCCAGUUGCCGAUAACUUCUACAAAACAUGAUCAUCUCAUACAACAAUUUAUAUCUCACCACGUCUUGACCAUAUCACAUCACAACAUGCCCUGCAAAAACAAGUUAGACGUCCUCUACUUUGUUGUUGCAAGUUUUACAUGGAUUCUACGGGCUUCUAGCAAGAACAGUUCUUACCUAUGCAUCAAAACCACAAUGAUUUUUCGUCAAGUGUGUUGUUUUAACCUUCAACAAGGAUCGGACAUAGUCAAAUUCUAUUCAACUAAAGUUGGAGAAACAGACACCUGCCAGCCACCUGUGUGAAAAAGCAUGUCGGUAGAACUGGUCUCAUGAACGUGGUCAUGUAAUGUUGGUCCGGGCCGCUUCAUCCAACAAUACUGCCGGAUCAAAAUAAGACAUUGGUGGUAAGCAGUAUGACUAUUAUCGCCCACAACUCUUUGUGUUCUACUCGUGCAUAUCAUCUACCCAUAGACCUGGCUCGGAUGCCACUAUUAGGGAACUUAGCAUGCGAUUUCAAAAAAAUUCCUAUGAUCAUGCAAGAUCUAUCUAGGAGAUGCAUACCAACGAUAGGGGGAGAGAGUGUCCACGUACCUUCGUAGACCGAAAGCGGAAGCGUUAGGUUAACGCGGUUGAUGCAGUCGAACAUCUUCACGAUCCAAUCGAUCUAGUACCGAAUGUACGGUACCUUCGAGUUUAGCACACGUUCAACUCGAUGACGUCCCUCGAACUCUUGAUCCAGCAGAGGGUCGAGGGAGAGUUUCCUCAGCACAACGGCAUGGUGACAGUGAUGGUGAUGUGAUCCACGCAGGGCUUCGCCUAAGCACUACGACGCUAUGACCGGAGGAGUAAACUGUGGAGGGGGGCACCGCACACGGCUAAGAGAACAAUUGAUGUGCCUUUGGGGUGCCCCCGCCCCCGUAUAUAAAGGAGGGGAGGAGGAGGCGACCGGCCUAGAGGGGGCGCGCCAAGGGGGGAGUCCUACUAGGACUCCUAGUCCUAGUAGGAUUCGGCCCCCCUUUUCCUUUCUUCACCGGAGGGAAAAGGAAGGAGAGGGAGAGGAAAGGGGGGCCGCGCCCCCACCUCCUUGUCCUAUUCGGACUCCCUAGGAGGGGGGCGCGCGCCACCCCCCGCGGGCUUCCCUCUCUCUCCCCUAGGCCCAUGUAGGCCCAAUAAUUCCCCCGGGGGGUUCUGGUAACCCCUCGGUACUCCGGUAAAAUACCCGAAUCACUCGGAACCAUUCCGAUGUCCGAAUACUACCUUCCAAUAUAUAAAUAUCUACCUCUCGACCAUUUCGAGACUCCUCGUCAUGUCUGUGUUCUCAUCCGGGACUCCGAACAAACUUCGGUCACCAAAACACAUAACUCAUAAUAGAAAUCGUCAUCGAAUGUUAAGCGUGCGGACCCUACGAGUUCGAGAACUAUGUAGACAUGACCGAGACACAUCUCCGGUCAAUAACCAAUAGCUGAACCUGGAUGCUCAUAUUGGUUCCUACAUAUUCUACGAAGAUCUUUAUCGGUCAAACUGCAAUAACAACAUACGUUAUUCCCUUUGUCAUUGGUAUGUUACUUGCCCGAGAUUCGAUUGUCGGUAUCAUCAUACCUAGUUCAAACUCAUUACCAGAAAGAUUCUUUACUCGUUCCGUAAUGCAUCGUCCCGCAACUAACUCAUUAGUUACACUACUUGCAAGGCUUAUAGUGAUGUGCAUUACCGAGAGGGCCCAGAGAUACCUCUGCGAUACUCGGAGUGACAAAUCCUAAUCUUGAUCUAUGCCAACCCAACAAACACCUUUAGAGACACCUGUAGAGCAUCUUUAUAAUCACCCAGUUACGUUGUGACGUUUGAUAGCACACAAGGUGUUCCUCCGGUAUUCGGGAGUUGCAUAAUCUCAUAGUCAAAGUAAUAUGUAUAAGUCAUGAAGAAAGCAAUAGCAAUAAAACUUAACGAUCAUUAUGCUAAGCUAACGGAUGGGCUUGUCCAUCACAUCAUUCUCUAAUGACAUGAUCCCGUUCAUCAAAUGACAACACAUCUAUGGUUAGGAAACUUAAGCAUCUUUGAUUAACGAGCUAGUCAAGUAGAGGCAUACUAGGGACACUCUGUUUUGUCUAUGUAUUCACACAUUUACUAUGUUUCCGGUUAAUACAAUUCUAGCUUGAAUAAUAAACAUUUAUCAUGAUAUAAGGAAAUAUAAAUAAUAAAUUUAUUAUUGUCUCUAGGGCAUAUUGAGGGAGUCCUGGACUAAGGGGUCCUCGGGCGUCCGUCCUGUUAGCCAUGGGACAGACUGAUGGGCUGUGAAGAUACGAAGACUGAAGACUGCACUUGUGUCCGGAUAGGACUCUCCUUGGCGUGGAAGGCAAGCUUGGCGACCGAAUAUGUAGAUUCACUUCUUUGUAACCGACCUUGUGUAACCCUAGAUCCUUCCGGUGUCUAUAUAAAAGAGAGGACUUAGUCCGGAUAAGAUAUACUCAUUAUCAUAGCCAUACAAGCUAGACCUCUAGGGUUUAGCCAUUACGAUCUCGAGGUAGAUCAACUCUUGUAAUACUCAUAUUCAUCUAUAUCAAUCAAGCAGGAUGUAGGGUAUUACCUCCAUAGAGAGGGCCCAAACCUGGGUAAACAUCAUGUCCCUUGUCUCCUGUUACCAUCGACCUUAGACGCACAGUUUGGGACCCCCUACCCGAGAUCCGCCGGUUUUGACACCGACAUUGGUGCUUUCAUUGAGAGUUGCACCGUGCCAUCGGCAACAAGAUCGAUGUCUCACCUUGUUCUCAAGGAUAAUAUCACCAUAGGAGGAACGCUGGCUCCAGGCCAAAUGCUCCGGCUGGGCGGCUUUACCAUGGCCGCCCGUUUGGUCAUCAAGCCGACGAUGACCUCUCGGGUCAUCAAAAACCCCCUUAGUAUCAACUCCGAACACUCGAAGCAGAUGGAUCUAAUGGAGCUUUCGUCUUUAAACGAGCUCCUAGAUCGCAUCGCUGCCCUGGGGUCGCUACAGACUACGAUUGGAUUGGGCUUAAACCCGAUCGGAGAGAAAUCAAAUCUCCGUCGAUCACCCACCAGAUAGCGGUAGUCGAGGAGCGAGUCGAGAACUCUUCCUCCAUAUUGAGGACGGACUAUGUCCGGAUCUCCGGUUCCAAAGAGCCGGACACCUACCCGCGAGGUGAAGCAUCCUGCCCUCCAAACAUAGAAUCGGACGACGGGCCUAAGAAAUUAGUGGACAUCCCGGAGCCUGAUCUGUUAAGUUUGGAAGACCUUCAGACUCCGGAUCCAAAACUGGGGAGGGUUCAGAUUUAAAUCCACCCACCCACUCGAAUACAAGCGCUCUCAUGAGCAUAAAACAUUAGUCUCAGGAAACAGUCCAUCACUUCUGGGCCAGAUUCCUUCUUGUCAAAAACAAGAUUAAAGAUUGCCGCGACGAGGAAGCGAUCUCAGUGUUCUGCAACAAUUGCAGGGACGAAGGAAUCCUCAAUGCCAUCAAUUGCCAUCGCAUCCUACACUUCACUGACUUGGCAACCAUUGUAUAGAAGUACAGUGCAAUGGAAAGCGCCUGGAAAACUCAAGCAACUCGUUGGGAAUCAUCGGCCCCCACUCAAUCCUUCAUUCAGGCGAAAAGGGCGCACCCUUGCAACACGCCCGAUUCAAUAGUAAAGAAAUACAAGUCCAGUGUGGGGCGUGGAACCGUUCUGGAAGGAUGGCUCGAUGGGCCAUGCAAAAUACACGCAACACCGGAUAACAUACCAACACAUAGCCUUAGAGCAUGUUGGAUACUCUGGCAAGUGGCCAAGAGCAGCGAGGAUAUCCUCACCAAGAAUAACCCAAAACAACACCCCCCAGAGGACAACGACCCCAAAGUACUGACGGUCUUCGAGACAUUCGCCUCAAACAAUAGGCGCAAGAGAGCACUACACGGACUCUCCGAAGUCUGUCAAAUAGCAACAAUAAUCCCUUCAAACGACACGGCUAUAACUUUUAAUGCCGGCGACGAACCAAAAUACAGGACAGUCCGAGCACCAGCCGCCUUGGUCUUCAGUCCAAUUGUGGACGGCUUUCAGCUUACCAAGGUCCUUAUGGACGGCGGCAGCGGACUAAACCUCAUCUACGAAGAUACACUCCACAAAAUGGAAAUAGACAGGAGCCGCAUUGAGCAAAGCAGCACGACCUUCUAAGGAAUUAUCCCCAGUUGGGAGGCGCGGUGUGCGGGAAAAAUAACACUCGACGUGGUAAUCGGCACGCCGAGAAUUAUUGGUCCAAAGAAAUAACCUUCCAAGUGUCCCCUUUCAACAGCAGGUAUCACGCCCUCUUAGGGAGAGAUGCAUUUACGUGCUUCCAAGCGGUACCCCAUUACGGAUACAUGAAGCUUAAGAUGCCUGGGCCCAACGGUAUAAUCACUCUAGCUAGUGAUCCGGACAUAGCACUCCGCGCCGAAAACAAAACUGCAUCCUUGGCCCUCGAGGAAUUAUCUGAAGCCCUCGCGGCCGAAGAAUUAGCCGCGCCACGCUCUAUGGUGGACAGGGAUGAUGUGGUCCUAGACAAACGACCCAAAUCCACCUUCUUCAAACCAGCAGAAGAAAUAGUCAAAUUUCAAGUCCAUCCAAUGGACCCCAAGAAGACAGCAUCCAUCGGAGCACAAUUGGACCCAACGGUUGACGCCGCGCUACGAGAGUUCCUGCGCGAGAAUUGGGAUCUAUUCGCCUGGCACCCUUCUGAUAUGCCAGGAAUCCCUCGUGAGUUGGCCGAGCACGGCCUCAAUAUAUUAAAGGGAUAUAAACCGGUCAAACUCACUGUGUUUCCUGGAUGCAUAUUCCGGAUACCAUCAAAUCAAAAUGAAGGAGUCCGACCAAGCUGCAACAACAUUCAUUACCCCAUAUGGGCCAUUCUGCUUCAACACCAUGCCCUUCGGGCUCAAGAAUGCCGGCACCACAUACCAACGCAUGAUUCAGACAUGCCUGGAGAAACAGAUCGGCAAGACAGUUAAAGCUUAUGUGGACGACGUCGUCAUCAAAACUAGGCACGUCGAAACACUAAUAGACGAUUUACGUCUCACCUUCGACAACCUCCGCGUGUAUGGCAUUAAGCUCAAUCCGGAAAAGUGGGUUUUCGGUGUCCUGGUCGGAAAACUGCUGGGCUUCAUUGUUUCCAAUAGAGUAAUUGAAGCAAAUCCAGCUAAAAUCCGAGCUUUUGUCGCAAUUGGCCACGCCAACAGACCUAAAACAAGUUCAAAAACUCACGGGUCGCGUGGCAUCUCUAAGCCGCUUCAUCUCUAGAUUGGGAGAAAAGGCACUGCCGCUCUAUCGCCUUUUACGGUGAACCGAUCACUUCGAGUGGAUGGACGCGGCAACAGCCGGACUGGAGGAAAUAAAAACCCUUCUUGCGAGCAAUCCAACCCUGGCUGCACCAAAUGCCGGCGAACCGAUGUUAUUAUAUAUAUCGGCAACACAUCACGUGGUGAGCGCCGUACUCGUCGUUGAGCGAGAACAGGACGGACAUAAAUUCCCGCUUUAGAAGCCAGUAUACUACGUAUCCACUGUCCUUGCACCAUGCAAAUCCCGGUACCCCCAUUAUCAAAAGAUAGCAUACGCGGUCUUCAUGGCAUCCCGAAAGCUCCAUCACUACUUCCAGGAGUGUUUGAUCAUGGUGGCUUCCGAGGUACCACUCAAUGACAUUAUAAAUAACCGCGAUGCCAUGGGCCGGAUUGCCAAAUGGGCCAUUGAGCUCCUCCCAUUCGACAUUACAUAUAAACCACGCCGAGCUAUUAAAUCCCAAGUACUGGCUGACUUCGUCGCCGAAUGGACAGAGGCCGAACUCCCUAAAGAGUACGGCACAUAUUCCAAUUGGGUUAUGUAUUUCGAUGGCUCCAAAAUACUGGCAGGGCUAGGAGCGGGCAUCGUUUUAACGUCCCCUACUGGAGACGUUGUUCAGUACAUACUUCAAAUACUCUACACAGACUCCAAUAACGCAACCGAAUACAAGGCCUUAUUACAUGGUCUUCGGAUGGCUGUCUCAAUGGGCAUACAACGCCUAGAAGUGCGCGGGGACUCAAACCUCGCAAUAUCUCAAAUAAAUGGAGACUUCGACGCCAAAGAUCCGAAGAUGGCAGCUUAUUGUAACACAGUCAUAAAAAUGUCGGCCCAGUUUGAGGGGCUCGAGUUCCAUCAUGUGGCUCGAGAAAGUAAUCAAGCGGUGGACGUUCUUGCUCGUAUCGGCGCUAAGCGCGACCCCGUCCCACCUAAUAUCUUUCUGGAAAGGCUUUAUAAGCCAUCCGUGGUGUGGCAGGGGGAGAACGGCGACACCAGUCCGGAUCCAAACAUAACCCCAGACCCCGGAAACACCAACGUCAUUGGAGGCUCAGCCACCGAAAUAACACCGUUAGCGCAUCUCAUCAUGGCAGUCAUUGCCCCAUGGACUAAACCCUUCCUGGCCUACUGAUACGUCUCCAACGUAUCUAUAAUUUUUGAUUGCUCCAUGCUAUAUUAUCUACUGUUUUGGAUGUUUAUGGGCUUUAUUAUACACUUUUAUAUCAUUUUUGGGACUAACCUAUUAACCCAGAGCCCAGUGCAAGUUUCUGUUUUUUUUGCCUAUUUUAGAGUAUCGCAAAAAAGGAAAAUCAAAUGGAGUCCAAUUGACCUGAAACUUCACGGAACUUAUUUUUGGAAGGAAAGCAACCUGGGAGACUUGGAGUCCACGUCCAGGAAGCUUCGAGGAAGCCACGAGGUAGGGGGGCGCGCCCACCCCCCUAGGCGCGCCCUCCACCCUCGUGGGCCCCUCGUGGCUCCCCUGACGUACUUCUUCCUCCUAUAUAUCUCCAUAUACCCUAAAAUGAUCGGGAGUUCCGCCGCCAGAAGCCUCCAUAGCCACCGAAAGCCAAUCUAGACCCGUUUCGGCACCCUGCCGGAGGGGGGAAUCCCUCUCCGAUGGCCAUCUUCAUCAUCCCGGUGCUCUCCAUGACGAGGAGGGAGUAGUUCUCCCCGGGGCUGAGGGUAUGUACAUGUAGCUAUGUGUUUGAUCUCUCUCUCUCUCUCGUGUUCUUGAGGUGAUACGAUCUUGAUGUAUCGCGAGCUUUGCUAUUAUAGUUGGAUCUUAUGAUGUUUUCUCCCCCCUCUACUCUCUUGUAAUGGAUUGAGUUUCCCCUUUGAAGUUAUCUUAUCGGAUUGAGUCUUUAAAGAUUUGAGAACACUUGAUGUAUGCCUUGCCGUGCAUAUCUGUGCUGACAAUGGGAUACCACGUGAUUCACUUGAUGUAUGUUUUGGUGAUCAACUUGCGAGUUCCGCCCAUGAACCUAUGCCUAGGGGUUGGCACACGUUUUCGUCGUGAUUCUCCGGUAGAAACUUUGGGGCACUCUUUGAGGUUCUAUGUGUUGGUUGAAUAGAUGAAUCUGAGAUUGUGUGAUGCAUAUCGUAUAAUCAUACCCACGGAUACUUGAGGUGACAUUGGAGUAUCUAGGUGACAUGAGGGUUUUGGUUGAUUUGUGUCUUAAGGUGUUAUUCUAGUACAAACUCUAGGGUUGUUUGUGACACUUAUAGGAAUAGCCCAACGGAUUGAUAGGAAAGAAUAACUUUGAGGUGGUUUCGUACCCUACCAUAAUCUCUUCAUUUGUUCUCCGCUAUUAGUGACUUUGGAGUGACUCUUUGUUGCAUGUUGAGGGAUAGUUAUGUGAUCCAAUUAUGUUAUUAUUGUUGAGAGGACUUGCACUAGUGAAAGUAUGAACCCUAGGCCUUGUUUCCUAUCAUUGCAAUACCGUUUGUGCUCACUUUUACCAUUAGUUACCUUGCUGUUUUUAUAUUUCCAGAUUACAAAAACUAUUAUCUACUAUCCAUAUACCACUUGUAUCACCAUCUCUUCGCCGAACUAGUGCACCUAUACAAUUUACCAUUGUAGUGGGUGUGUUGGGGACACAAGAGACUCUUUGUUAUUUGGUUGCAGGGUUGCUUGAGAGAGACCAUCUUCAUCCUACGCCUCCUACGGAUUGAUAAACCUUAGGUGAUCCACUUGAGGGAAAUCUGCUACUGUCCUACAAACCUCUGCACUUGGAGGCUCAACAAAGUCUACAAGAAGAAGGUUGUGUAGUAGACAUCACCUACCUUAGCAGGAAGGAGCUUCCUGAUGACCAGAAUAAGGCCCGCUGCAUUGUCUAGCGUUCGAAGGCCUACAAGGUUCGUGAGGGAGAGCUCUAUAAGAAAAGCGCUACCGGAGUUCUUCAACGAUGUAUCUCCGAGGAAGAGGGGCGGGAACUCUUGGCCGAAAUUCAUGCCAGACUCGGCGGUCACCACGCCGCAGCUCGGGCCCUUGUUAGCUAGGCCUUCUGUACAGGGUUUUAUUGGCCGACGGCCCGAGUAGAUGCACAUGACCUCGUCCAACAUUGCAUCGAAUGCCAACUCUUUUCCAACCAAAGCCAUAUGCCCCCCACUGCCUUACAAACAAUCCCCAUUACUUGGCCUUUUGCGGUCUGGGGACUCGAUAUGGUCGGACCCCUUAAAGGAGGAAGUCAUAAGAGAAAGUAUCUGCUGGUCAUGGUGGAUAAAUUCACUAAAUGGAUAGAGGCCAAACCAUUCAAAACGGCCGAAGCGGGCUAGUAAUAGAUUUCGUAUCCGGCAUGGUACACCAUUAUGGUGUCCCACACAACAUAAUAACCGAUAAUGGCUCUAAUUUCAUAGCCGAUGAAGUGAAAACCUGGUGUGCCAAUCUAGGCAUUAAGCUCGAUUACGCCUCGGUCUAUCACCUGUAGACAAACGGUCAAGUCGAAUGGGCUAAUGGUCUUAUUAUGAGCGGCAUCAAACCUAGACUAGUGCGGUCUUUGAAAGAAUCAGACAAGCACUGGGUGGAAGAACUUGACUCCGUACUCUGGGGGCUACGGACCAUGCCCAACUGCACUACUGGAUAUACACCUUUCUUCAUGGUGUACGGUGCAGAAGCAGUGUUGCCCUACGAUAUUAUCCAUGACUCAGCUCGAGUGCGCAUGUACGAAGAGAGAGAAGCCGAGAUUGAUCGGCAGGACAACCUAGAUGCCCUGGAGGAGGAGCGCGACAUCGCAAAAGCCGCAUUUUAUCAGCAGCAGGCUCGCAGGUAUCAAAGCAGAGAAGUGCGGGCCAAGACUUAUAACAUUGGUGAACUUGUUCUACGCCUACCAGAGAAGAAAAAGGACACACUCAAGCCCAAGUGCGAGGGUCCCUUCAUCAUUGACGAAGUUCUCACUGGAGGCGCGUACCGCCUGCGUGAUGCGUCAGACAAUCACCUGGAGCCAAACCCCUGGAAUGCGGCCAGACUAAGACAAUUUUAUGCCUAGCGUCGAACUCUGUGUUCGUCCCCUCACUCCCGUUAUUAACGUUAUUUUUUCUCUCUUUUUGUUUUUUAUCUUUUUUUCGUUUUGCUCUUUAGCCCUAUGGUUUUGGUACGGCUAGACCGUCCUUACCUGAUGCAUACAUCUCUACAUAUGUAUGUUCAUUAUACCCGGGGGCUUCUAGUACAAAAGCUUGCUAUUAUCCUUUGAGCAUCAAGCUCACCACAUAUGCGUUUUUCCAUAUGUACCUUUUAUUUGCCAUUAUAUGCAUCGAUAUGACUUAAGUUUUGGCCAAGCUGGGUUGCCUGGCUCCUGUGCUUAUGCCCUACAUUCCCGUUAGUUCGGCUAGGGCAUAAAGGGAGCACCUCUGUGAUUGUUACUGCCGGGUCAUCCGGAUGUGUACCUGAUAUGUCUCUGUCAUAUCUACUUUUCCAAACACUUUUGACCUUGUUUUGGACUCUAACUUGCAUGAUUUGAAUGGAACUAACCCGGACUGACGCUAUUUUCAACAGAAUUACCAUGGUGUUAUUUAUGUGCAGAAACAAAAGUUCUCGGAAUGACCUGAAACUUCACGAAGAAACUUUUUGGAAAAUAUAAAAAAUACCUGCAAAAGAUGAAGGCCAGGGGGCCCACCACCUAUCCACGAGGGUGGGGGGCGCGCCCCUACCUCGUGGGCCCCCUGGAGCUCCUCCGACUCCAACUCCAACUCUAUAUAUUGUGUUUUGGGGAGAAAAAAAUUAGAGAGAAGAAUUCAUCGCGUUUUACGAUACCGAGCCGCCGCUAAGCCCUAAAACCUCUUGGGAGGGCUGAUCUGGAGUCCGUUCGGGGCUCCAGAGAGGGGAAUCCGUCGCCAUCAUCAUCAUCAACCAUCCUCCAUCACCAAUUUCAUGAUGCUCACCGCCGUGCGUGAGUAAUUCCAUCGUAGGCUUGCUGGACGGUGAUGGGUUGGAUGGGAUCUAUCAUGUAAUUGAGUUCGUUUUGUUAGGGUUUGAUCCCUAGUAUCCACUAUGUUCUGAGAUUGAUGUUGCUAUGACUUUGCUAUGCUUAAUGCUUGUCACUAGGGUCCGAGUGCCAUGAUUUCAGAUGUGAACCUAUUAUGUUUUCAUCAAUAUAUGAGAGUUCUAGAUCCUAUCUUGCAAGUCUAUAGUCACCUAUUAUGUGUUAUGAUCUGUUAACCCCAAAGUGACAAUAAUCAGGAUACUUACCGGUGAUGACCGUAGUGUGAGGAGUUCAUGUAUUCAGUAUGUGUUAAUGCUUUGUUCUGGUACUCUACUAAAAGGAGGCCUUAAUAUCCCUUAGUUUCCGUAAGGACCCCGCUGCCAUGGGAGGGUAGGACAAAAGAUGUCAUGCAAGUUCUUUUCCAUAAGCACGUAUGACUAUAUUCAGAAUACAUGCCUACAUUAUAUCAAUGAACUGGAGCUAGUUCUAUGUCACCGUAGGUUAUUACUGUUACAUGAUGAACCGUAUCCGACAUAAUUCUCCAUCACUGAUCCAUUGCCUACGAGCUUUCCAUAUAUUGUUUCUUCGCUUAUUUACUUUUCUGUUGCUGUUGCUAUCAUCACUACAAAAUACCAAAAACAUUACUUUGCUAUCGUUACCUUUUGUUACCGUUACCACCACUAUCAUAUUACUUUGCUACUAAACACUUAAUUGCAGAUAUUAAGUUUCCAGGUGUGGUUGAAUUGACAACUCAGCUGCUAAUACUUGAGAAUAUUCUUUGGCUCCCCUUGUGUCGAAUCAAUAAAUUUGGGUUGAAUACUUUACCCUCAAAAACUGUUGGGAUCCCCUAUACUUGUGGGUUAUCAAGACUAUUUUCUGGCACCGUUUCCGGGGAGCAUAGCUCUAUUCUUUGAGUCACUUGGGAAUUAUAUCUACUUAUCAUUAUGAAGAACUUGAGAGAUCCAAAAACCAAGAUUUAUCCCUCAACUACGAGGGGAGGUAAGGAACUGCCAUCUAGCUCUGCACUUGAUUCACCUUCUAUUAUGAGUAAGUUUGCGACACCUAAACCUGCUUCUGCUAUUCGUUUUGAUAUGUCGCAUGUUAUUGAUGAUGCCACCUCUGCUAUGCAUGAUACUUAUGAUGAAACUACUUCUAUGCUUGAUACUACUGUGCCACUUGGUGAAUUUCUUGAUGAACAACUUGCUAGGGCUAGAGAGAAUGAAAAUAUUGAAUCUGAUAAUACUGAUGAAAUAGAUGAUGAAGACUUGCAUGUUAUUCCCGACGGUUAUGUUUUUGAUAAAGAAGCUUCUUUAGCUAUUUUAGCUUGCAAAGAUAGAUAUGAACUUAAGAGGUUAUUAGCUAAAUGGAAUCAGCAAUCUCUAAAUGCUAGAAUGAAACCUGACCCCGCUUUUGCUACUUCACCUAUUUGUGUUACCGAUAAGGAUUAUGAAUUCUCUGUUGAUCCUGAUAUAAUUACUUUGGUUGAAUUUGAUCCUUUUCAUGGCUAUGAAUCUGAAACUGUUGUGGCACAUCUUACUAAAUUAAAUGAUAUAGCUACCCUGUUCACUAAUGAUGAGAGAACUCGCUACUUUUAUAUCCUUAAAAUAUUUCCGUUCUCAUUAAAGGGUGAUGCUAAGAUAUGGUUUAAUUCUCUUGAUCCUAGUUGUGUUUGUAGUCCCCAGGAUAUGAUUUAUUACUUCUCUGCUAAAUAUUUCCCUGCUCAUAAGAAACAAGCUGCUUUAAGGGAUAUAUAUAAUUUUGCGCAAAUUGAAGAAGAGAGUCUCCCACAAGCUUGGGGGAGGCUUCUCCAAUUACUUAAUGAUUUGCCUGAUCAUCCUCUUAAUAAAAAUGAAAUACUUGAUAUCUUUUAUAAUGGACUAACCGAUGCUUCCAGAGAUUACCUGGAUAGUUGUGCUGGUUCUGUUUUCAGGGAAAGAACACCAGAUGAAGCUGAAAUUCUAUUGAAUAAUAUGUUGACAAAUGAAAAUAAUUGGACACCUCCAGAGCCAAUUCCUAAACCAACUCCGAAGAAGAGGGGUAUUCUAUUUCUCAGUCCUGAAGAUAUGCAAGAGGCAAAGAAAUCUAUGAAAGAAAAAGGUAUUAAAGCUGAAGAUGUUAAGAAUUUACCCCCUAUUGAAGAAAUACAUGGUAUUAAUUUACCGCCUGUUGAAGAAACAUAUGAUCUUGACCCAUCACCUAUUGAAGAAACUCGUGGCCUUGAUAACCCGACACAGGUAGUAAAGGUAAAUUCUCUCUAUAGAUAUGAUAAAGCUGAAAUCCCAUUUACUAAAUUUGCUAGCCCAUGCUUAGAUGAGUUUGAUAAAUUUAUGGCUAAGCAAGAAGAUUUUAAUGCUUAUUUUGGUAGACAAUUGAAAUACAAUUCAAAUAUGCUUAAACACUUGGGUGAUUAUAUGGCUAAUGUCAAAGGUGAGCUUAAACUUAUUAGAAAACAUGCUUCCAUGGUUACCACUCAAGUAGAACAAGUACUUAAAGCUCAAAAUGAUUUGCUCAAUGAAUUGAUAAUGUUGUUAGAGUGGCUACUAGAACUGGUAAAAUGACUCAGGAACCUUUGUAUCCCGAAGGCCACCCUAAGAGAAUUGAGCAAGAUUCUCAGAGAAACAAUGUAGAUGCACCUAGUCCUUCUAACAGGAAGAAAAACAAAAAUGAUAGGACUUUGCAUGCUUCUAGUAAACCUAUCACUGAAACACCUGAGAAUCCAAAUGAUAUUUCUAUUUCUGAUGCUGAAACACAACCUGGUAAUGAACCUGAAACUAGUGAUAAUGUUAAUAGUAAUGUUCAUGAUGAUGCUCAACCUAGUAAUGACAAUGAUAUAGAAAUUGAACCUGCUGUUGAUCUUGAUAACCCACAAUCAAAGAAUCAACGUUAUGAUAAGAAAGACUUUGUUGCUAGGAAACAUGGUAAAGAAAGAGAGCCUUGGGUUCAGAAACCCAUGCCUUUUCCUCACAAACCAUCCAAGAAAAAGGAUGAUGAUGAUUUUGAGCGCUUUGCUGAAAUGAUUAGACCUAUCUUUUUGCGUAUGCGAUUAACUGAUAUGCUUAAAAUGAAUCCUUAUGCUAAGUACAUGAAAGAAAUUGUUACAAAUAAAAGAAAGAUACCGGAAGCUGAAAUUUCCACCAUGCUUGCUAAUUAUACUUUUGAGGGUGGAAUACCUAAGAAACUAGGAGAUCCAGGAGUACCCACUAUACCAUGCUCCAUUAAAAGAAACUACGUUAAAACUGCUUUAUGUGAUCUUGGAGCCGGUGUUAGUGUUAUGCCUCUCUCUUUGUAUCGUAGACCUGAUUUGAAUAAGUUGACACCUACUGAAAUAUCUUUGCAAAUGGCUGAUAAAUCAACUGCUAUACAUGUCGGCAUUUGUGAGGAUGUGCCUGUUGUAGUUGCAAACGUUACUAUUCUAACGGACUUUGUUAUUCUUGAUAUUCCUGAGGAUGAUAGUAUGUCUAUUAUUCUUGGAAGACCUUUUUUGAACACUGCAGGGGCUGUUAUUGAUUUCACCGAAGGCAAUGUCACUUUUCAUGUUAAUGGUAAUGAGCAUGCGGUACACUUUCCGAGGAAACAACCCCAAGUCCAUAGUAUUAAUUCUAUUGGAAAAAUUCCAUCGAUUAUAUUUGGAGGUUUUGAAUUUCCUCUUCCUACUGUCAAGAAGAAAUAUGAUAUUCUUAUUAUUGGGGAUGUGCAUAUCCCCGUUGAGGUAACAUAGUGUUAUUCGAAAUUUCUCCGGUUCCAUGUUAUUCGGAAUGAGUUCGUUAACAAUACUUGAUCAACCUUGUUAGUGGAUUCCUUUUGAUGAGCAUGAGAUGGAUGAAACUAGAAGGCACAACCUUCUGUACCCCACUUUUACUUUCUGUUAUUUAUAUUAAAUAAAAUAAAAAUAGUAUUUUUCUGUCUGUUAUCUGAUUAUCCAUGCAAUAUAAAAAUAUCCCAAAAAUAAAAUUUCUCCAAAUGCCUUGAAAUUUAAAUAUGAUUUUUUCUAGAAUAUUUGAGAAUAUUUGGCACUGAGAACACAGCAGGGGGUCACCCACCUCCCCACGAGGGUGGAGUGGACGCCCCCUGCCUCGUGGGCCCACGGUGGCCCUCCUCCACUUAUCCUUUCACCCACACACUCCUUCUUCCUCCCACAAACACGAACAACCAGCUCAAACCCGAGUCCAAGCUCGUUUUGCUGCCAUUUUCGAUCUCCUUGCUCAAAGCACCUCUCACAAAACUGCUUGGGGAGAUUGUUCCUUGGUAUGUGACUCCUCCAUUGGUCCAAUUAGUUUUUGUUCUAGUACUUUAUUCAUUGCAAAUUUGUGCUGCCUAGGUGACCAUGUUCUUGAGCUUGCAUGUCAAAUUUAUAUGGUUCCAAGUAGUUUUGAUGCAUGAUAUAGGCUCUAGGCACUUGUAGGAGUAGUUGCUAUCAAUAUUAUUGAGUUUGGUUUACUUUUAUUUUGAAGUUACUAAAAAUUUCAGAAUUUUUCAGAAAAUGAUGAAGGGACUUUUGAGGGGCUCAUCGAGCCGAAGCUCGAAGGAAAAGGCACAGAAGCCUAAAUAUAAUCUGCCUCGCACCGCAGAGGUUUAGUCGUGUGAAUGGCCUUCCGAUGAUUUCUUGAGAGCAGUCGGGAUUUAUGAAGAUUUUUAUGAAUUGGCUAAGAAUGCCGGCCUCAUCGCUUUCCUCCACGACCAACGCGAUCAGUAUUUCUUACUCACAAAUACCUUUAUGCAAAACUUUCAUUUCCAUUCUAGGAGCUCACCACCCACGGUGGAGUUUCAUUUAUAUGAUGAGCAUAAGGAGAUGUCACUUUAUGAUUUUUGUCGGGUUUGUUUAGUCCCUUUCGAGGGAAAGAUAGAGGAACCACAUCAUGAGGAUGUGGAUGGGUUUAUUGAUACUAUCACCAUAGGGGAAACAAGGGAGGUUUCCGAUGCACGAAACACUAGCAUACAUUUUCCUGUUUUACGCUAUUUCGCAUUAUUUGCUAGUCGAUGUUUAAUUGGUCGCGGAAACUGUGGAAACCUUAGUAUCGCUGAUAUUAUUAUUUUGCUCCAUGGUUUAUUCGGUGAUAACUCUGUUAGUAUGGGCGGCAUUAUUCCUAAACGGUUAAGUCUGAACCGUACAAAGGGCCCCAUUUUUGGAGGCAUCUAUGCUUCACGCCUAGCUGCACAUUUUAACAUACCUAUUAGGCACUAUGAGAAGGAAGAAAAAGUGCUACCUCGUGUUUAUUUAGAUUAUAAGAGUAUGGUGGCACAUGAUUUCAUUGUUAAGAAUAGGGAAGGAGAGCUUAAAUACAAAUUGUUCUUUGAUAAACAUCUCCUGAGACUAUUACCCCGCCUGCUCCUUCUUUGUUUGAUUUAUCUACAGGCCAGUACCUUGUUCCGUUAGAGGCUAUUCACGCCUACCGGAACCCUGCACUAGCCAUGGAGCCAAAGACGAAACCACAAGUUGAUCCUUCACGACAGUCUAAUUACCAGUGGGAUCCGGAGAUGAUUGCCAACCAAUGGCACUCGGAGUCUUCUUCCUCUUCGCAGUACGACCCCAACUAUUAUUAUGGAUAUCCGCCAGGCCAGCCGUGGCCAUAGACCAACUUAGGCCAAAAUCCUAAGCUUGGGGGAGUACGUAUUUCCCACCAACAUUACAUUUAUGUUCACACACUCAUUGCUAGAUGUCGGUGCUCAUACUUUUUCACUGUAUCAUCCAUGCUAGUUUAUUUCCUUUUUAUGCUUUCUUCUUGUGUGUUCGAUAAACCUUAAGAAAAACCAAAAAAAAAUAGUUGUAGCUUUUAAUUAGUUUGGUUUCCAUGCUUGUAGUAGUAAUUAAAAAUAAAACCAAAAAAUAUUUCCUGUUCUCCUUUUGCUUGUUGGGAGCUUUCCCGUGUAAAUAGUUUUAUUUCUUUUCUUUUCUUUGGGGGCCAAUAUGAGAAGACCAUGAUUAAAUUGUUGAUUUGGCUCUUAUACGCAUUAUUGUUGAUCUGACAAAAGAGCCCAUAUUGCCUCGUCUUCACCUGUCUAUUGAGUGCUUGCAGAUUCCAGCUUAGUCCAAUGCCCGUGCACUAUUAUUAUUAUUCACAUCGUUCGGUCGUGCAAGUGAAAGGCAAUUAUGAUGAUAUAUGAUGGACUGACUGAGAUGAGAAAAGCUGGUAUGAACUCGACCUCUUUUGUUUUUGUAAAUAUGAUUAGUUCAUCAUCCCUGAUUCGGCCUAUUAUGAAUAAACAUGUUUGCAAUGACAACUAGAGAUCAUAGUUCUUAUGCCAUGCUUGAUUAGCUAUGAGUUAUAAUGGUUUACCUUGCGUGCCAACAUGCUAUUGAAAUGGUUAUGAUGUGGUAUGAUAGGGUGGUAUCCUCCUCUGAAUGAUUUAAGUGACUUGACUUGGCGCAUGUUCACGCAUGUAGUUGAAACAAAAAUCAACAUAGCCUUCACGAUAAUUAUGUUCAUGGUGGAUUAUAUCCUACUCAUGCUUGCAUUCGGUGUUGAUUAAUUUUAAUGCAUGUUCAUGACUGUUGUCGCUCUCUAGCUGGUCGCUUCCCAGUCUUUUGCUAGCCUUCACCUAUACUAAGCAGGAAUACUGCUUGUGCACCAAAUCCCUUAAACCCCAAAGUUAUUCCACAUGAGUCCACCAUACCUUCCUAUAUACGGUAUCUACCUGCCGUUCCAAGUAAAUUUGUAUGUGCCAAACUCUAAAGCUUCAAAUAAAUAUCCCGUUUUGUAUGCUCGAAUAGCUCAUGUAUCAACUAGGGCUGUCUGUAUCUUCCAUGUUAGGCGGGUUAUUCUCAAGAGGAGUGGACUCCGCUCCGCACUCACAAGAUAAUGGCUGGUCACCAGGAUGCCCAGUCCCAUGCUUUAUGCAAACUAAAUCAAAAUAAUUGCAAACAAAACUCCACCUGGGACUCUUGUUAGUUGGAGGCACUCGUUGUUUCGAGCAAUCCAUGGAUUGAUGCUUGUUGGUGGAAGGGGGAGUAUAAACUUUACCAUUCUGUUUGGGAACCGCCUAUAAUGUGUGUAGCAUGGAAGAUAUCACCAUCUCUUGGUUGUUAUGUUGACAAUGAAAGUAUACCGCUCAAAAUAUUAUUCACUUCUAUUUCAAAACCGAGCUCUGGCACCUCUACAAAUCCCUGCUUCCCUCUGUGAAGGGCCUAUCUAUUUACUUUUAUGCUGGGUCAUGAUCCUCUUAUUAAAAAGCAACAGUUGGAGAGCACUGCUGUCAUUUGCAUUCAUUAUUGUUAGUUUACAUUGGGUAUCACUUGACUGGAUCUCUUUUACCAUGAAUUACAAUGUCUAGUCGGUCCUUGAUCUUUAAAGGUGCUCUGCAUUUCUGUUUUGCGGUCUCAGAAAGGGCUAGCGAGAUACCAUCUUGUUAUAUCAUAUUAUGAUUGUUUUGAGAAAGUGUUGUCAUCCGAGAUUUAUUAUUAUUGCUCGCUAGUUGAUUAUGCCAUUGAUAUGAGUAAACUUGAGACCGAAGCGUUAUUGUGAAUGUGGUUAGUUAUAAUCUUUGCUGAAAACUUGAAUGCUGGCUUUACAUAUUUACAACAACAAGAGCAAACAGAGUUUCUAAAAGUUUUCCUUUAUCACUUUCUGUUUGUCAAUUGAAUUGCUUGAGGACAAGCAAAGGUUUAAGCUUGGGGGAGUUGAUACGUCUCUGUCGUAUCUACUUUUCCAAACACGUUUGCCCUUAUUUUCGACUCUAACUUGCAUGAUUUGAAUGGAACUAACCCGGACUGACGUUGUUUUUAGCAGAAUUACUAUGAUGUUAUUUAUGUGCAGAAACAAAAGUUCUUGGAAUGACCUGAAACUUCACGGAGCAACUUUUUGGAAAAUAUAAAAAAUACCUGCAAAAGAUGAAGGCCAGGGGGCCCACCACCUGUCCACGAGGGUGGGGGCGCGCCUGCCCCCCUAGGGCGUGCCCCCCUACCUCGUGGGCCCCCUGGAGCUCCUCCGACUCCAACUCCAACUCUAUAUAUUGUGUUUCGGGGAGAAAAAAGUCACAGAGAAGAAUUCAUCGCGUUUUACGAUACGAAUCCGCCGCCAAGCCCUAAAACCUCUCGGGAGGGCUGAUCUGGAGUCCAUUCGGGGCUCCGGAGAGGGGAAUCCGUCACCAUCGUCAUCAUCAACCAUCCUCCAUCACCAAUUUCAUGAUGCUCACCACCGUGCAUGAGUAAUUCCAUCGUAGGCUUGCUGGACGGUGAUGGGUUGGAUGGGAUCUAUCAUGUAAUCGAGUUAGUUUUGUUAGGGUUUGAUCCCUAGUAUCCACUAUGUUCUGAGAUUGAUGUUGCUAUGACUUUGCUAUGCUUAAUGCUUGUCACUAGGGCCCGAGUGCCAUGAUUUCAGAUGUGAACCUAUUAUGUUUUCAUCAAUAUAUGAGAGUUCUCGAUCCUAUCUUGCAAGUCUAUAGUCACCUAUUAUGUGUUAUGAUCCGUUAACCCUGAAGUGACAAUAAUCGGGAUACUUACCGGUGAUGACCGUAGUUUGAGGAGUUCAUGUAUUCACUAUGUGUUAAUGCUUUGUUCUGGUACUCUAUUAAAAGGAGGCCUUAAUAUCCCUUAGUUUCCGUAAGGACCUCACUGCCACGGGAGGGUAGGACAAAAGAUGUCAUGCAAGUUCUUUUCCAUAAGCACGUAUGACUAUAUUCGGAAUACAUGCCUACAUUAUAUCAAUGAACUGGAGCUAGUUCUGUGUCACCCUAGGUUAUGACUGUUACAUGAUGAACCACAUCCGGCAUAAUUCUCCAUCACUGAUCCAUUGCCUACGAGCUUUCCAUAUAUUGUUUCUUCGCUUAUUUACUUUUCCGUUGCUGUUGCUAUCAUCACUACAAAAUACCAAAAACAUUACUUUGCUAUCAUUACCUUUUGUUACCGUUACCACUACUAUCAUAUUACUUUGCUACUAAACACUUUGCUGCAGAUAUUAAGUUUCCAGGUGUGGUUGAAUUGACAACUCAGCUGUUAAUACUUGAGAAUAUUCUUUGGCUCCCCUUGUGUCGAAUCAAUAAAUUUGGGUUGAAUACUUUGCCCUCGAAAACUGUUGCGAUCCCCUAUAGUUGUGGGUUAUCAGUACCUCAGACUGGGUGAAGCCGAAAGCUAGCGUUCUUAAGGGAAUAUUCGGUCGGCGAAUUAAAGAUGUUCCCACAUUCAUUCCAUUAUGAAACCCCAGAAGUUACUUACACUAUGAUUUUUUCAAUCACAGUUCGGACAUGCACACUACACGCAUGCACACCCAGGGAAAGGAACCCUUAACGAAACUAUUCUCCCUGGAAGAUGUUUCUUACAUAAUGUAAUAUAACAUAACUAGCCGGAUACACAUUGUCUGUUCAAACAACUAUGACCCCUACGCCUGGUUCCCAUGCAUGCCCCGGUGUAUUCUAUCGUUAGGGUAUUCGGAAACACUCCGCACCUUCGGGUCCAGAGGUUGAAGCGAAAAGGUCGGCCAUGACAAUUGUUUUUAUUAUCCAGCUAGAAGGAAAGUACAUAGUCACUCAGGACUCAAAAACUUCCUCCUCUAUACCACCCAACAGGCGGUCUAACUUACAAUCCUGUUGUGAGUAUCUAGCAGCCACCUCAACUUGGCCGUAUACUAAACUAACGGGAAUUUCUUCCCCAUUUGACCCUAGCGGUCCGACCCGGGCCAUGUGAUUCGGAUCCAGCUUGGUAUACCGCGUCUUUAUCAUGGCCCAGGCUUCUCGCGCACCCUCUCGGCAGGCCGAUAUCUUCUACAGUCGGAUACGCCGCCGCUCUCCCUUGAAUAGCUCUACAAGCUUCUCCAUACUCCCUGGAGGGGAGUCAGAUGGCCAUAAGGCCUUGGCUACACUCCGCAUUGCCUGCUGAGCUUGCUCGUGCAACUGCGAUAGCUCUUGCAGAAGAUCACUUGAUGACCCGGACACCUCCUCUUCAGGGCGGCCUGUCAAUACACCUGCAAUUACAGCUAUAUCAGCUACGGUUACUUCCAAACUGCUACAAGAUAAAUGCGGCCACAUAUUGAAUAUGCCGCCUCGCAGUUUUUUGUUCAACUUCAUGGAGUCAGCUAGCUGAGAUCACACGUCUUUUAGUUCUUCUCCUGAACGACUUUUGUUAACACACGCUAGCCUGCUGCCAGCAGUUUUUUGGCUCUAUAUUCUUCGCUUCGAGUGGCGUCCAGCUGCUCCCGCAGUUGGUCUAACGAUCCAAUACAACGAUAAGCAACCAGAUUAGCAUUAUUAGUGUACAAUUAUGAUUUCUUGAUGGAGGGAAACAUUAUCGGGGGAUGCCUUCUUGGAUUUCUCCAGUUCGGCAUUGGCAGUAGACAGCUGGCGCUGACACUUUUCUAGUUCCUGAGUUAACAGGGUGUUCUUCUCCGUAAGCACCUGGUUGUACAUUGAUCCUUAAAUCAGUUGUUUCAACUACUUUAAGUCUCGGGGGCUACUGACAUAUGGUUAUCAUAGUCAGACAAAGCAAACUUACCUGCACAUCUUUUAAAUGCUGUUUUGUGGCUCUAUUAUGCUCAUCUCAAGUAGUUCGGAUAUAUGCAUCGGCCGAGCUGAAGGCGUUAAAUGACUCUUUUGAAAAGCCAGGGUCUCCUAAAAUGGCCCUGCGGCACUGAUGAUUCAUGGCGCUCUGCACUUCCGAGUUGGUGAUGGAUACAUCAUCCGAGUCCCUGGCUGGAGGACAGUCCGGCGUCACCCCUGCAUCAGCCCCCGUCUUCACGGCAGGAUUUGAAUCCUGGCUGUGGGAAGUAUGACCGGCCAGACCCCCGGAUAUAGUCGGGCACACCUUUUUCCUAAUACAGGGUAAACAGAAAGGUCACAGUUGGAUGUGACUGCAAAAGUGCAUACUUGCAAAUUCAUACCUCUUUGAUGAAGGCUCGACCGUAUCCUCGUUUGCCUUCCUCUUAGAAGGCUUGCCUGGUAUGGGGGACGCUCUCUUCAGAGAUGCUCCUGGGGCAUCAUGGCGCGCCGAACGCUUCCCCUUCUAAGCACAGGACAGUGCGGUGGGUAAGGAGGAAUGAAAAAACUCUUUUGGAUAAGGUGUCUUCGGAUUACUUACGCGUGAAGCAGGAAGGAGGCCGGGGUAAUCAGCAAUAAUGGGUACAUAUGUACCGUCGUAGCUCAUUUGAUUAAAUAUUCCAUCCUCGAGCUCCACAAAUAUGUCCGGAUCUUCCUCAUAUCCGGGGUCGAGAACCCGGUUGCGAUUCUCCAGCUAAGGGGCAGGGUCAUGGAUCCCCUCGACAGCCUUUCGCCAUUCCUGUUAUGAGCAAGAUAAGAUGCUGCCUGUCAAGAAUGAUUCAGGGACAAGAAUAAAAUAGUGGAGCUGAACCUUACCCAACUGGAAGGAUUAUACAUGGAAACCCCGUCUUGGAUUUGGAGACGGGUGAACUCCUCCUUCUCCCCUUUAUAUAGCUCGGCCAGUAUUUUGUCUAGGGCGGCAUGAGUCUUUGGGCCCUUUCGGCCAUAGCGUGAGGCGUCGUCUUCUCCGUUAUACUGCCACAUGGGCAGCCCUCUGUAUUGAAGUGGCUGGACCCCACGCGUUAUUGAAAUCGCCAUCACCUUGGUUAUUGACAAUCCGGACUGGGCAAGCGUCUUAAUCUUGCCCAGCAGCAGGCUGAUCUCUGCACUAUCCUCUUCCUCGAGGCUCUGAGGAUGCCAGCUAUGGCGUUUCUUUAGUGGAGCGUUUGAAAACUCGGGGAGGCCCAUGCGGACGGGGUCGGGUAGAGCGACGUCGUCAAUGUAGAACCAUUUGGACGUCCACUCUUCGGGAGCUUUCUUCGGCGUGCCGGACAGGUAUCCGGUCCCGGCGAUGCGCCACACUUCGGCUCCUCCCACUUCAAAAAUUGACCCACCUUGAUUGCGAGGGAUGAGGCAGAACAAUCUUCUCCACAAAUCGAAAUAGGCCUCGCAACCCAGGAAUAGUUCGCAUAAAGCGACAUAGCCCGCGAUGUGCAGGACAGAGGCCGGGGUAAAAUUAUGCAGCUAGAGGCCGUAGUACUCCAGAAGCCCUUGGAGGAAUGGGUGAAUUGGAAAUCCCACACCCUCAGCAGAUAGGGGACAAAGCACACUCAUUCUCUCGGAGACGGAUUGGGGAAAUCCUCCGCCUGGGUUUUACCGUUGAAGGAGGCUAGUCCUGCUCGAACAGGGACCAGAUCUGCAGGAGGGAGAAAUCCCUGCCUUUGCAGCUUCACCAAUUGGCUGUGGGGCACGGAGCACCUCUCCCACUCGCCUCUCUCUAGGUUGGAACGUGAAGAGGAGCUGGGAAUGUUGGCCAUGUUGGAAUAGUUUUGCCUGGUUGUAUCUGAGGAUUUUCUCCGCGUGAUGCCGAAAGGAUCUGAGAUCCAAUCCCUUUAAAUAGACAUUCUUUCUUGCAAGGCUAGGGUAUUAUUUGCAAAAAAUACCCUGACCAUCCACAUUCACCCGACACGUGGAGGAUGAAGUCAUAAAUGCACAGAAGCCGAGGGGUGCGGCAUUGGAUUGAAAGCCGAACACAUUACUUGGAAGACACUAGAGGAGAAACCCGCCUUGCACUGUCGAAGACAGUCUGUGCACCGAACACCUCAUCAUUGAAGCCUGGUUCAGGGGCUACUGAGGGAGUCCUGGACUAAGGGGUCCUCGGGCAUCCGGCCUGUUAGCCAUGGGCCGGACUGAUGGGCUGUGAAGAUACGAAGUCCGAAGACUCCACCUGUGUCCGGAUGGGACUCUCCUUGGCGUGGAAGGCAAGCUUGGUGACCGAAUAUGUAGAUUCCCUUCUUUGUAACCGACCUUGUGUAACCCUAGAUCCUUCCAGUGUCUAUAUAAACCGGAGGACUUAGUUUGGAUAGGAUAUACUCAUUAUCAUAGCCAUAAAAGCUAGACCUCUAGGGUUUAGCCAUUACAAUCUCGAGGUAGAUCAACUCUUGUAAUACUCAUAUUCAUCAAUAUCAAUCAAGCAGGACGUAGGGUAUUACCUCCAUAGAGAGGGCCCGAACCUGGGUAAACAUCGUGUCCCUUGUCUCUUGUUACCAUCGACUUUAGACGCACAAUUCGGGACCCCCUACCCGAGAUCCGCCAGUUUUGACACCGACACAUAUUUCCUUCAAAAAGUAAAUAGAUAGUCCCUUCGUAGAGGGAAUCAGUGAUUUGUGAUAACCCACAAGUAUAGGGGAUCGCAACAGUUUUCGAGGGUAAAGUAUUCAACCCAAAUUUAUUGAUUCGACACAAGGGGAGCCAAAGAAUAUUCUCAAGUAUUAGCAGCUGAGUUGUCAAUUCAACCACACCUGGAAACUUAAUAUCUGCAGCAAAGUGUUUAGUAGCAAAGUAAUAUAAUAGUAGUGAUAACAGUAACAAAAGAUAAUGAUAGUAAAAGCAAUGUUUUUGGUGUUUUGUAGUGACGAUAGCAAUAGCAACGGGAAAGUAAAUAAGCGAAGAACAAUAUAUGGAAAGCUCGUAGGCAAUGGAUCAGUGAUGGAGAAUUAUGCCGGAUGCGGUUCAUCAUGUAACAGUCAUAACCUAGGGUGAUACAGAACUAGCUCCAGUUCAUUGAUAUAAUGUAGGCAUGUAUUCCGAAUAUAGUCAUACGUGCUUAUGGAAAAGAACUUGCAUGACAUCUUUUGUCCUACCCUCCCGUGGCAGCGGGGUCCUUACGGAAACUAAGGGAUAUUAAGGCCUCCUUUUAAUAGAGAACCGGUACAAAGCAUUAACACAUAGUGAAUACAUGAACUCCUCAAACUACAAUCAUCACCGGUAAGUAUCCCGAUUAUUGUCACUUCGGGGUUAACAGAUCAUAACACAUAAUAGGUGACUAUAGACUUGCAAGAUAGGAUCAAGAACACUGAUAUAUUGAUGAAAACAUAAUAGGUUCAGAUCUGAAAUCAUGGCUCCCGGUCCCUAGUGACAAGCAUUAAGCAUAGAAAAGUCAUAGCAACAUCAAUCUCAGAACAUAGUGGACACUAGGGAUCAAACCAUAACAAAACUAACUCGCUUACAUGAUAGAUCACAUCCAACCCAUCACCGUCCAUCAAGCCUAUGAUGUAAUUACUCACGCACGACGGUGAGCAUCAUGAAAUUGAUGAUGGAGGAUGGUUGAUGAUGAUGAUGGCGACGGAUUCCCCUCUCUGGUGCCCCGAACAGACUCCAAAUCAUCCCUCCCGAGAGGUUUUAGGGCUUGGCGGCGGCUCCGUAUCGUAAAACGCGAUUUCUUCUCUUUGAUUUUUUUCACCCGAAACUCAAUAUAUGGAGUUGGAGUUGGCAUCGGAGACGCAACAGGGGGCCCACAAGGUAGGGGGCACGCCCUAGGGGGGCAGGCGCGCCCCCACCCUCGUGGCAAGGUGGUGGGCCCCCUGGCCUUCAUAUUUUCCAGGUAUUUUUCUUAUUUUCUGAAAAGUGGCUCCAUGAAGUUUCAGGUUAUUCCGAGAACGUUUGCUCCUGCACAUAAAUAACACCAUGGUAAUUCUGCUGAAAACAGCGUCAGUCUGGGUUAGUUUCAUUCAAAUCAUGCAAGUUAGAGUCCAAAACAAGGGCACAAGUGUUUGGAAAAGUAGAUACGUUUUUCAAAUCAUGCAAGUUAGAGUCCAAAAGAAGGGCACAAGUGUUUGGAAAAGUAGAUACGUUGGAGACGUAUCAACUCCCCCAAGCUUAAACCUUUGCUUGUCCUCAAGCAAUUCAGUUGACAAACUGAAAGUGAUAAAGAAUUUUUUUUACAAACUCUGUUUGCUCUUGUUGCUGUAAAUAUGUAAAGCCAGCAUUCAAGUUUUCGGCAAAGAUUAUAACUAACCACAUUCGCAAUAACGCAUAGGUCUCAAGUUUACUCAUAUCAAUAGCAUAAUCAACUAGCGAGCCAUAAUAAUAAAUCUCGGAUGACAACACUUUCUCAAAACAAUCAUAAUAUGAUAUAACAAGAUGGUAUCUCGCUAGGCCUUUCUGAGACCACAAAACAUAAAUGCAGAGCACCUUUAAAGACCAAGGACUGACUAGACAUUGUAAUUCAUGGUAAAAGAGAUCCAAUCAUAGCCAUACCCAAUAUAAAUUAACAGUGAUGAAUGCAAAUGACGGCUGUGCUCUCCAGCUAGUGCUUUUUAAUAAGAGGAUGAUGACUCAGCAUAAAAGUAAAUGGAUAGGCCCUUUGCAGAGGGAAGCAGGGAUUUGCAGAGGUGCCAGAGCUCGGUUUUGAAACAGAGAUAAAUUGUAUUUUGAGCGGUAUACUUUCAUUGUCAACGUAACAACUAAGAGAUGGCGAUAUCUUCCAUGCUAAACACAUUAUAGGCGGUUCCCAAACAGAAUGGUAAAGUUUAUACUCCCCCUCCACCAACAGGCAUCAAUACAUGGCUUGCUCAAAACAAUGAGUGCCUCCAACAUACAUCAGGUCCCAGGGGGAGUUUUGUUUGCAAUUAAUUUUGAUUUAGUUUGCAUAAAGCAUGGGACUGGGCAUCCCGAUGACCAACCAUUUAUCUUGUGAGUGAGGAGCGGCGUCCACUCCUCUUGAGAAUAACCCGCCUAACAUGGAAGAUACGGACAGCCCUAGUUGAUACAUGAGCUAUUCGAGCAUACAAAAUAGGAUAUUUAUUUGAAGGUUUAGAGUUUGUGUAACACCCGGAUGUAAUUUACCUUAUAUGUACUCCAACUCUUGCCGUUUCCGGCACUAAGUUAUUUUAUUUCCUCGUUGUCGGGUUUUGUAUCCGUGUGUUGUUGUCUUUGUCAUGCAUCUCAUAUCAUGUCAUCAUGUGCAUUGCAUUUGCAUACAUGUUCGUCUCAUGCAUCCGAGCAUUUUCCCCGCUGUCCAUUUUGCAUUCCGGCGCUCCUAUGUCUCCGGUGGUCCUUUCUACCUCUUUUCGUGUGUGGGGGUUAAACGUUUUCGGAUUGGACCAAUACUUGCCAAGCGGCCUUGGUUUACUACCGGUAGACCGCCUGUCAAGUUUCGUGCCAUUUGGACUUCGUUUGAUACUCCAACGGUUAACCGAGGGACCGAAAAGGCCUCGUGUGUGUUGCAGCCCAACACCCUUCCAAUUUGGCCCAAAACCCACCAAAAACCCCUCCAUCGUCUAGAGCGUUCGAUCACGAUCGCGUGGCCGAAAACUGCACCUCAUUUGGAGCUUCCUAGCUCCCUCUACCUCUAUAAAUAGAUCCCCCACGAAAAUCCCGGACCCCCUCCUUCCAAACCCUAGGAAAUUUCCCUCGCGCCGCGCCAGACGUGUCCGAUUCCGGCCGGACACGUCCGAUCUGCCUCCUCACCGCCAUGUGUCACGCCGCGACUCACCCGCGCGCCGCCCCACAUCACCGGCCCGGAGAGCCCAGGGAGGGCCCUCCCGACCCGCGCGCGCCCGCCGCCGCCAUCCCUCACCCGCCGUCUUCGUCCUUGUGGCCAGCUGCUAGAGCAACCCGGCGCCGCCGCGCGCCAUCAUCGACGACGGCCACCGCCGCCGCCUCACCGGACGGCGCCGCCCCGCUCCGGUUUCCCGGCAGCUCCGCCGCUCUCGCCGCCGUACGCCCGACGCCCCGGCGAGCCCUCCUCUCCUCGGCAAGUCCGGUCACCGCGAGCUCCCGUCACCGGCGAACCUCGACUUCCGUGCCCUGCUACAGUAACUCCGGCCAGAUCUGGAUCUGGAGCACCUCGGUUGACUUUUGCUCCAAAACCCUAACUUUUUAGCAUUUUUCCGCAUGCCAUAACUCUGCAUCCAUAGCUCCGAUUCGUGCGUGUAGCAUAUCAAAAUGUUCGUCUAGACGAGUACAUCAUUUCAUAUCAUUGCAUCAUUUUCAUUUGAGCUCAUCUUGUUGCCAGAAAUGCUGUCGGAAGAGGGCUAUGUGAGAAAUUUGCCAGAUCUGUUUCAACAAAUGGCAUUUUGUCAUUUUUGCCAUGAUUAAUGUGUGCAUGCUAUGAUCCUGAGCUCUACAUGUGUUUUGUUAUAUGCCAUGCUAUCUUUACAGGGGUGCUUGCUAUGUAUUUUUGUGAUAUUUGUAGUUACUAGCACAAGCUUGCAAAGUAGCAUAAUCGUUGAUGCUGAUUUCAGGGACUUAGAAUUUCACUAAGUCCUUGUCCUGUUUUUGUUGUUAUGCCAUAUGUUCAUGUUAUUUCCUAGUGAUCCAUGCCUCUUUUGAGAAUGAUCAAUAAGGAUGUUUUGUUAACAUUGUGGUGUUCUAUCCAUCCAUGUCUUUGUUUGCAAUUAUGGAGCACCCUAUCUUGAGUCAAUCGAGCUCUACUUUUGCUAUAAAAUGAUCCUGGCAGAUUGUUGACAUGUUUAGCAAUUUUGCCAAGGAUGUUGCUAUUGAUCCGUGCAUGCUAUGUUGUUUUUAUUUCCAUGUCUAGCUCCUAUGCCAUGCAUUCUUCAUGGGUGUAUGCUUAGUUUGUCAUGUCAUGCUCUGUAGUGAGUGCAUCGAGCUCGUAAACAUGCCUACUCGUUAACUGUUUUGCAUGCUCCAGUUUUUACCAAGUCUGAAUCUGUUUAUGUUUUUGCCAUGUUCACAUGCUUGCAAUUGUAUUUUCUAAUACCUUUUGGCUCAAGGUCACUAAGGGAUUUUUGUUAAGUGCUUUGAGUAGCUUCAUGCCAUACCUUGCUUUGCCAUGUUAAGUUCCUAUAGCAUGUAGGUUUCAUGCUCUAAAGAUUGCUUCCUGAUGAUAAAUUCCAGACUUGUGUUCAUUUCACAAAGUCUGAAACCUGUUAUCAUUUGCUCUUUUGCCAUGCUUCUUUGAACUUGUUAAUGGAUGAAUUAGCUGUAGCUCAGUGUUCAUAUUUUGUCAAGAAUCAUGAGUGGAUCUCUGCCAUGUAUUUUGUUGUCAUGUUUGAGUGCUGUAGCAUAUUUAUAUUGAUGCAUUUAGAUGGCUACUUGCUAUCUAUCGCAGACCAUUGCCAUAUUUGUUUUGCUUGCCAUUUCCAAACCGUGCAUCCGAUUCCGGUGAUCUUUAUAUCGAUUUCAACCGAAAUCAACUCCCCUUUCUGGUGGCACUCUUGGAUUUCCAUGUUGAGACCAGGUUCAAUCAUUCCUUGUCAAAUCUUGCCUAUGCAUCACAUACCGCAUCCCGCAUAUCAUACCAUGUUUGCAUCAUGUUGUUUGAGCAUUGCACGUGGUUGAUUGUGUUCCGUUUACUUAUUGUUCUUGUUUGGGUAGAGCCGGGAGAUGAGUUUGUGAACGAGGAGCCCGUUAAGUUCGGUUACGAGGAUCAAGGCAACUCUGAGUACUUUGCAGGAAAGAUGACCAUACCCUCGAAAUCACUUCUAUCUUUGCUUGCUAGAUGCUCGCUCUUUUGCUAUGCCUAUGCUAUGAUACCUACCACUUGCUUAUCAUGCCUCCCAAAUUGCCAUGUCAAACCUCUAACCCACCAUGUCCUAGCAAACCGUUGUUUGGCUAUGUUACCGCUUUGCUCAGCCCCUCUUAUAGCGUUGCUAGUUGCAGGUGAAGCUUGGAGAUCAUUCCUUGUUGGAACAUUGUUUAUUGUUGGGAUAUCACAAUAUUAUCUUGUUUAUCUAUUUGCACCUAUAUACUUGGUAAAGGGUGGAAGGCUUGGCCUUAUUCCUAGUGUUUUGUUCCACUCUUGCCGCCCUAGUUUCCGUCAUAUCGGUGUUAUGUUCCUGGAUUUGCAUUCCUUACACGAUUGGGUUAUAAUGGGAGCCCCUUGACAGUUCGCCUUGAAUAAAACUCUUCCAGCAAUGCCCAACAUUGGUUUUACCAUUCGCCACCUAGCCUUUUUCCCUUGGGUUUCGCGGACUCAAGGGUCAUCUUUAUUUUAACCCCCCCGGGCUAGUGCUUCUCUAAGUGUUGGUCCAACUGAGCGAUGUCCGGGGCUACCAGGGGCAACUCCGAGCUGGCCUACCCGACGUCUGGCUCAUCUGAAUGUGCCCUGAGAAUGAGAUAUGUGCAGCUCCUAUCGGGAUUUGUCGGCACAUUCGGGCGGUGUUGCUGGACUUGUUUUACCAUUGUCGAGGAUGUCUUGUAACCGGGAUGCCGAGCCUGAUCGGAUUGUCUUGGAAGAAGGAAUAUCCUUCGUUAACCGUGAGAGCUUGUGAUGGGCUAAGUUGGGACUCCCUGCAGGGAUUUGAGCUUUCGAAAGCCGUGCCCGCGGUUAUGGGCAGAUGGGAAUUUGUUAAUGUCCGGUUGUAGAUAACAUGAAACUUAAUUUAAUUAAAAUGCACCAACCGCGUGUGUAACCGUGAUGGUCUCUUCUCGGCGGAGUCCGGGAAGUGAACACGGUGUUGGAGUAAUGCUUGACGUAGGUUGUUCUAGGAUCACUUCUUGAUCAUAGUUGUUCGACCGUGCUUUUGCCUUCUCUUCUCGCUCUCUUUUGCGAAUAUGUUAGACACCAUAUAUGCUAGUCGCUUGCUGCAGCUCCACCUCAUACUGUUGCCUUACCUAUAAGCUUAAAUAGUCUUGAUCGCGAGGGUGUGAGAUUGCUGAGUCCCCGUGACUCACAGAUUUCCUUUCAAAACCAGAUGCAGGGACCGAUGAUACCGCUCCAGACGAUGCGUUUGAGCUCAAGUGGGAGUUUGAUGAAGACUCUCAUCGUUACUAUGUGUCAUUCCCAGAUGAUCAGUAGUGGUGCCCAGUUGGGGCGAUCGGGGACCUUGUCGCAUUUGGGGGUUGAUCUUUAUUUUGGUACAGUAGUCAGACCCUGAGUGUAAUUGAUGAAUAUAAUGUUAUUCAUGUAUUUGUGUGACGUGGCAAGUGUAAGCCAACUAUGUAUCUUUUCCCCUUUAAUUAUAUUACAUGGGUUGUUUGCGAAGAUUACCUCACUUGCGACAUUGCUUUCAAUGCGGUUAUGCCUCUAAGUCGUGCUUCGACACGUAGGAGAUAUAGCCGCAUCGAGGGUGUUACAAGUUGGUAAUCAGAGCCUUCCCAACCUUAGGAGCCCCCUGCUUGAUCGAAUCAUUGGUGUUGUUGAGUCUAGAAAAAUGUUUUGAGUCAUUUAGGAAUUAUAUAUAUAUCAGAGAGUUAGGAAUUCUUUUUACUCCUCAGUCUCUUCAUCGCUCUGGUGAGGCAUCCUGACGUAGAGUUUUGACUCUUCUCUUCUCAAAUUUCACUAAAUUUUUUUAGGAUCACGCGGGUAUCUUGGAAUCGUUCCGAUGGUUUUGUGACGAGAACAUUGUUCUUGGUGCCUCCUGUCAUUUAGGGGUUGUGGCAGUGUCCUGGGGAGUUGAGCUCCGAGGUGUUGUCGUCACAAUUUUAUCGUUGAGAUUCUGGAAUACCUGAGUUUCGCCGACAUCGAAAAUCUCUUUUAUGCAGUUGUUGGUGAGAUAACCUCGACACCACCCAGUACUGGUGCGAGAGUUCGGGAGUAUUGCCAUAACUUGUAUAACGGAUGCUUUUCGAAGGUUGAGGUAAAUGAUUUCCGAAGGUUUCUUGGUUAUGUGUUGAAGGAUGGAUACAGCUGGAUGUAGGAUUUGCUAGAUUUGGGUGAGAUAUUAUGCUUCCCCUGUAUCCCCAACACCUGAUUGCAUAACCGGAAAGGUUCGAGAGUUUCAUAGGUGGGAAUUCUUGUAGCUCUAGUUUUUCUUCCGCGGAUAUUUGGUUUGGGAUUGGGUAAUCCUCACCAAGUAUUUGUUCUUAUCCGUACCUUGUUUUUAUUCUUCUACCUCAAUUCUAAGUGGCUUCUCAAUUUAUGGAAAUGUGACCAUUUCAAUUGGAAUGCAUUCGUUCAUUUUGUUCGGAUGUGAAGACUUUAUGUUGCAAUUUCAAUCCGUUCGAUUCAGCUUCAAUAUUUGCCUGUCAAUAUGCUAACGGAUGUCACCCUCUUCUGGAUGGCUCCUCCAACGCGCAUGACUUCGAAUCCUGAUCCGCCACCACCACCUCCACCUCCGGAGGCAUGGCAAGCUGUGAUGGCCGCUACCAAUGCAAACACGCAGCUGAUCAUGCAACUUCUUCAAGAGCGCAACCAAGGGAACCAGAUCCAUGGCAACAAUCAGAAUCAGUUUGCUACACUCAACCAGUUCCUCGCUAACCAGCCAAAGACCUUCAGCAAUUGUGUUGAGGCAACAGACACUGAUGAUCGGCUCGUGGACAUAUGCAAGCAUUUCGAGUGCAGUAACGUCAGGCCUGAGGACUUUGUCAAGUUUGCCUCCUUCCAACUCAAAGACCAAGCUGUAGAAUGGUUUCAAUAGUACAAAGAUUCUAGAGGAGGCCGUGUGAUUACCUGGGAUGAAUUCCGUCAAGACUUCAAAGCUCAUCAUAUUCCUCAGAGUGUGGUUGAAAGCAAGCAUGAGGAAUUCCGCAACCUGAAGAAAGGCACUAUGUCUGUUUACCAGUACAACAUCAUGUUUCAGAAGCUCGCCCGUUUUGCUAAGCAGGACGUCCCUGAUGAGAAGAGCAUGAUAUACCAAUUCAGGGGUGGUCUCAGAGAAGAACUCCAGCUAGCUCUCGUCCUCUUUGAGCCCAAGAAGUAUGAUGAGUUCUACAACAUGGCAAUGAAGCAAGAGACUGCUCAACUGAAGUGCGAUGCUUCCAAGAAGCGAGUCAGAGAUGCGACUCCUUCUUCAUCAACUCAAGUGGCUAAGAAGCAAAAGUAUUGGCUGCCUCCUCCUCCGUUCCGUCAGCCUUAUCAGUAGAAGAGCAAAGGUGGCAAUGGAUCUUCCCACCCACCCAACCCAGGCUUUCAGAACAAGACUUCGUCUCAAGCUCCAAGAUCAAGUGCUCCAUAUCACCGUCCGCUCUCGGAGGUCACAUGCAACAAGUGCCAACAGAAGGGUCACUAUGCCAACAAAUGCUUCAAUUAGAGGCGUCUUCCUCCUCCUCCUCAUGUGAGAUUUGCAAGUAGAGCUGUGGUCAAGCAUAACCCCAAGUCUGCUAAGGUCAACUUGAUGAAUGCAGCUCAGGCAGAGGAGUUGUCAGAUGUCAUCAUGGGUAACCUUCCUGUUAACGAUAUUCCUGCAAAAGUUCUUUUUGACACUGGUGCAUCGCAUUGUUUCAUCUCGAGACCAUUUGUUUCUAAGCAUGAGUUGCCUUUACAAGAUUUACCUAGGCAGUUAUCAGUUGUUUCUCUGGGUAAAUUCAUGAAUGCAAGCGCUAUGGCCCCGGAUGUUACUAUCACGUUGGGUGAAUACAAGUUUCUAUCCUCUCUAGUGGUCCUUGGUAACUCGGAUAUUGAUCUUAUUCUUGGCAUGUACUAGCUUGAUUGUGCUGCCAGGCAGAUUCAAUUGACUCAUUCGUCUGAGGAUGUAAUUGUCUUUGCCGCUAAUGACGAUACCAUCCGUCUGUUUUCUCUCAAUGAGAAGGGUGAACUGGAUGCCAUCUCUCAAUUCCAGUCAUUUGCGAAUAUCAAGAUGUCUUUCCAUAAGAGCUUCCAGGAAUGCCUCCGCACCGGCCAGUUGAAUUUGUCAUCGAUCUUGAGCCUGGUAUGGAACCUGUUUGCAAACGUCCUUACAAGCUUGGACCUGAAGAGUUGAAGGAGCUGAAGAAGCAACUCGAUAUUCAAGAGAGAAUGGGUCUCAUCCGACCUAGUUCUUCUCCGUGGGGUUGUGGAGUUCUUUUUGUGAAGAAGAAGGAUGGAAAGGACCGACUUUGUGUUGACUACCAUCCAUUGAACAAGAAGACUAUAAAGAACAAGUACCCACUUCCCAACAUCAACGAGCUGUUUGAACAACUCAAAGGUGCUCAAGUAUUCUCCAAGCUUGAUCUCCAUAUGGGCUAUCAUCAGAUUCACAUUCGUGAGCAAGAUAUCCCUAAGACAACAUUCAGAACAAGCUAUGGUUCAUAUGAAUACACUAUCAUGUCUUUUGGCCUCGUCAACGCUCCACCAACUUUCUCUUGCAUGAUGAACUUCAUCUUCAUCCCCUACACAAAUGACUUCGUCUUGGUCUAUCUCGAUGACAUUUUGGUCUUUUCCAAGAACAAGGAAGAUCAUGCCAAGCACUUGUGUUUGGUGCUGGAUAAGCUCAGAGAACAUCAGUUCUAUGCCAAGUUUUCAAAGUGUGAGUUUUGGCUCAAUGAGGUUCUCUAUCUUGGGCAUAUCAUCUCUGCCAAGGGCAUAGCGGUGAAUCCUGAGAAGGUGUCUGCAAUUGUGAAUUGGGAACCACCUCAGAACGUGAAGCAACUCCGCAGCUUCCUUGGUCUCACAAGUUAUUCUCGAAGGUUCGUUGAGAACUUUUCUAAGAUCGCAAAGCCGCUUUCCAACCUUCUCCAGAAGCACGUGAAGUAUGUUUGGUCUCCGGAAUGUGACAUCGCUUUCAACACCCUGAAAGAGAAGUUAGUCACUGCUCCAGUUCUGACUCCCCCUGAUGAAUCCAAACCGUUCGAGGUCUUCUGUGAUGCCUCUCUUCAAGGUCUUGGUGCAGUGUUGAUGCAAGAGAAGAAAGUUGUGGCUUAUACUUCUCGCCAGUUGAAGCCCAAUGAAAAGAACUACCCCACUCACGACCUCAAGUUGGCGGCAGUUGUGCAUGCUCUGUUGACUUGGAUACAUCUCUUAUUGGGAAGAAAAGUGGACAUCUUCACUGACCACAAGAGUCUCAAGUACAUCUUCACUCAGCCUAAUCUCAACCUCAGGCAGACUCAUUGGGUCGGAAUGAUUCAAGAGUAUAAUCCGAGUAUCAAAUAUACUCCAGGCAAGGCCAAUGUAAUUGCUGACGCAUUGAUCAGGAAGGCUUACUGCAACAGUUUGAUUCUCAAGCCUUACCAACCCGAGCUUUGUGAAGCUUUCCGCAAACUCAACCUUCAAGUUGUUCCUCAAGGAUUUCUGGCCAACCUCCAAGUCUCUCCUACUUUGGAAGAUCAGAUUCGCGAGGCUCAACUUCUUGAUGCUAUGGUGAAGAAGGUGAAGAUUGGGAUUGCCAAGAGUCAACCUAAGUACAAGUGCUAUCGCCUUGAUGACAAGGAUACUCUAUUCUUCGAGGAUCGCAUUGUUGUGCCUAAAGGUGACCUUCGUAAAGUCAUUAUGAACGAGGCUCACAAUUCACUCCUCUCCAUCCACCCUGGAAGUACAAAGAUGUACCAUGACCUCAAGCAGUCGUAUUGGUGGACUCGAAUGAAGCGCGAAAUUGCUCAGUUCAUGAAUGAAUGUGAUGUAUGUAGAAGAGUGAAGGCAGAACACCAACGACCAGCUGGUCUCCUCCAACCUCUUGCCAUUCCAGAAUGGAAGUUUGACCACAUUGAGAUGGACUUCGUGACUGGAUUUCCAAAGUCCAAGCGUGGCAAUGAUGCUAUAUUCGUUGUCAUCGACAAACUCACUAAAGUGGCUCAUUUCCUUCCUAUCAAAGAAUCCAUCAUAGCAGCUCAAUUGGCAGAGCUAUAUACCUCUCGGAUUGUCUCUCUACACGGCAUUCCACAGCUGAUUUCUUUAGAUCGUGGAAGCAUCUUUACCUCCAAGUUUUGGGAUUCUUUUCAGAAGGCCAUGGGCACCAACAUCCGUUUCAGCACAACUUUUCAUCCUCAAACUAGUGGCCAAGUCGAGCGUGUCAAUCAGAUUCUUGAAGAUAUGCUCAGGGCUUGCGUUAUAUCUUUCGGUUUGAAGUGGGAAGAUUAUCUUCCAUAUGCCGAGUCUUCCUACAACAGUAGCUUUCAAGCGAGUUCGGGCAAGACCCCAUUUGAAAUUCUCUAUGGCAGAAAGUGCCGUACUCCUAUUAACUGGUCAGAGACCGGUGAACGUCAACUUCUUGGAAAUGACUUGAUCACAGAGGCAGAAGAGAUGUGCAAAGGCAUUUGUGAUAACCUCAAAGCAGCGCAAUCGCGUCAGAAGAGCUACCAUGAUAGUAAGCAUCAUGAUUUGGCUUUCGAAAUCGGAGACCAUGUUUACCUCCGCGUCUCUCCAAUGAAAGGUACUUGUCGCUUUGGUAUCAAAGGGAAGCUUGCCCCUAGAUACGUGGGUCCUUUCAAAAUCGUCAGCAAGAGAGGCGAUCUCGCCUAUCAACUUGAGCUUCCCUCCAACUUUGCAAAUGUGCACGACGUGUUCCAUGUCUCUCAGCUCCGCAAGUUCUUCAAGACCCCUGAGCGCACCAUCAACUUCGAAGACAUUGAUCUCCAAGAAGACCUUUCUUAUCGUGAGCACCCCGUUGCUAUCCUUGAAGAAACUGAGCGCAAGACUCGCAACAAGUCAAUCAAAUUCCUCAAAGUCAAGUGGUCACACCAUUCCGACCGUGAAGCCACCUGGGAACACGAGGACCACCUCCAUUCUGAGUACCCGGAGUUUUUCCAGUGCUAGAUCUCGGGACGAGAUCCUUUUGUAGUGGUGGAGUGUUGUAACACCUCGUAUGUAAUUUACCUUAUAUGUACUCCAACUCUUGCCGUUUCUGGCACUAAGUUAUUUUAUUUCCUCGUUGUCGGGUUUUUGUCUCCGUGUGUUGUUGUCUUUGUCAUGCAUCUCAUAUCAUGUCAUCAUGUGCAUUGUAUUUGCAUACGUGUUCAUCUCAUGCAUCCGAGCAUUUUCCCCGUUGUCCGUUUUGCAUUCCGGCGCUCCUAUGUCCUCCGGUGGUCCUUUCUACCUCUUUUCAUCUGUGGGGGUUAAAUGUUUUCAUAUUGGACCGAUACUUGCCAAGUGGCCUUGGUUUACUAUCGGUAGACUGUCUAGUUUCGUGCCAUUUGGACUUCGUUUGAUACUCCAACGGUUAACCGAGGGACCGAAAAGGCCUCGUGUGUGUUUCAGCCCAACACCCUUCCAAUUUAGCCCAAAACCCACCAAAAACCCCUCCAUCGUCUAGAGCGUUCGAUCAUGAUCGCGUGGCCGAAAACCGCACGUCAUUUGGAGCUUCCUAGCUCCCUCUACCUCUAUAAAUAGAUCCCGCACGAAAAUCCCGGAUCCCCUGCUUCCAAACCCUAGGAAAUUUCCCCCGCGCCGCGCCGGACGUGUCCGAUUCCGGCCGGACACGUCCGAUCUACCUCCCCGCCGCCAUGUGUCGCGCCACGACUCGCCCGCGCGCCGCCCCACAUCGCCGGCCCGGAGAGCCCAGGGAGGGCCCUCCCGGCCCGCGCGCGCUNNNNNNNNNNNNNNNNNNNNNNNNNNNNNNNNNNNNNNNNNNNNNNNNNNNNNNNNNNNNNNNNNNNNNNNNNNNNNNNNNNNNNNNNNNNNNNNNNNNNNNNNNNNNNNNNNNNNNNNNNNNNNNNNNNNNNNNNNNNNNNNNNNNNNNNNNNNNNNNNNNNNNNNNNNNNNNNNNNNNNNNNNNNNNNNNNNNNNNNNNNNNNNNNNNNNNNNNNNNNNNNNNNNNNNNNNNNNNNNNNNNNNNNNNNNNNNNNNNNNNNNNNNNNNNNNNNNNNNNNNNNNNNNNNNNNNNNNNNNNNNNNNNNNNNNNNNNNNNNNNNNNNNNNNNNNNNNNNNNNNNNNNNNNNNNNNNNNNNNNNNNNNNNNNNNNNNNNNNNNNNNNNNNNNNNNNNNNNNNNNNNNNNCGCCAUCCCUCGCCCGCGGAUCCAGCCGCCCGCGCCCGCCGUCUUCAUCCUUGAGGCCGGUUGCUCGAGCAACCCGGCGCCGCUGCGCGCCAUCGUCGACGACGGCCACCGCCGCCGCCUCACCGGACGGCGCCGCCCCGCUCCGGUUCCCCCGCAGCUCCGCCACCCUCGCCGCCGUAAGCCCGACACCCCGGCGAGCCCUCCUCUCCUCGGCAAGUUCGGCCACCGCGAGCUCCCGUCACCGGUGAACCUCGACUUCCGCGCCCUGCUAUAGUAACUCCGGCUGGAUCUGGAUCUGGAGCACCUCGGUUGACUUUUGCUCCGAAACCCUAACUUUUUAGCAUUUUCCGCAUGCCAUAACUCUGCAUCCGUACCUCCGAUUCGUGCGUGUAGCAUAUCAAAAUGUUCGUCUUGACGAGUACAUCAUUUCAUAUCAUUGCAUAAUUUUCAUUUGAGCUCAUCUUGUUGCCCGAAAUGCUGUUGGAAGAGGGUACGUGAGGAAUUUGCCAGAUCUGUUUCAACAAAUGGCAUUUUGUCAUUUUUGCCAUGAUUAAUGUGUGGAUGCUAUGAUCGUGAGCUCUACAUGUGUUUUAUUAUAUGCCAUGUCAUCUUUACAGGGGUGCUUGCCAUGUAUUUUUUUAUAUUUAUGGUGACUAGCACAAGCUUGCAAAGUAGCGUAAUCGUUGAUGCUGAUUUUAGGGACUUAGAAUUUCACUAAGUCCUUGUCCUGUUUUUGUUGUUAUGCCAUAUGUUCAUGUUCUUUCCUAGUGCUCCGUGCCUCUUUUGAGGAUGAUCAGUGAGGAUGUUUUGUUAACAUUGUGGUGCUCUAUCCAUCCAUGUCUUCGUUUGCAAUUAUGGAGCACCCUAGCUUGAGUCAAUCGAGCUCUACUUUUGCUAUAAAAUGAUCCUGGCAGAUUGUUGACAUGUUUAGUGAUUUUGCCGAGGAUAUUGCUAUUGAUCGUGCAUGCUAUGUUGUUGUUCUUGCCAUGUUUAGCUCCUAUGCCAUGUAUUCUUCAUGGGUGUAUGCUUAAUUUGUCAUGCCAUGCUCUGUAGUGAGUGCAUCGAGCUCGUAAACAUGCCUACUCGUUAGAUGUUUUGCAUGCUCUAGUUUUUCACCAGGUCUGAAUCUGUUUAUGUUUUUGCCAUGUUCACAUGCUUGCAAUUGUAUUUUCUGAUACCUUUUGGCUCAAGGUCACUAAGGGACUUUUGUUAAGUGCUUUGAGUAGCUUCAUGCCAUUCCUUUCUUUGCCAUGUUAAGUUCCUAUAGGAUGUAGUUUUCAUGCUCUAAAGAUUGCUUCCUGAUGAUAAAUUCUAGACUUGUGUUAAUUUCACAAAGUCUGAAACCUGUUAUCAUUUGCUCUUUUGCCAUGCUUGUUUGAACCUAUUACUGGAUGAAUUAGCCAUAGCUCAGUGUUCAUCUUUUGUCAAGAAUCAUGAGUGGAUCCCUGCCAUGUAUUUUGUUGUCAUGUUUGAGUGUUGUAGCAUAUUUAUCUUGAUGCAUUUAGAUGGCUACUUGCUGUUUAUCGCAGACCGUUGCCAUAUUUGUUUUGCUUGCCAUUUCCAAACCGUGCAUCUGAUUCCGGUGAUCUUUAUAUCGAUUUCAACCAAAAUAAACUCCCCUUUCCAGUGGAACUCUUGGAUUUCCAAGUUGAGGCCAGGUUCAAUCAUUCCUUGUCAAAUCUUGCCUAUGCAUCGCAUACACAUCCCGCAUAUCAUACAAUGUUUGCAUCAUGUUGUUUGAGCAUUGCAUGUGGUUGAUUGUGUUCCAUUUGCUUGUUGUUCUUGUUUGGGUAGAGCCGGGAGACGAGUUCGUGAACGAGGAGCCUGUUGAGUUUGCUUACGAGGAUCAAGGCAACUCCGAGUACUUUGCAGGCAAGAUGACCAUACCCUCGAAAUCAUUUCUAUCUUUGCUUGCUAGAUGCUCGCUCUUUUGCUAUGCCUAUGCUAUGAUACCUACCACUUGCUUAUCAUGCCUCCCAAAUUGCCAUGUCAAACCUCUAACCCACCAUGUCCUAGCAAACCGUUGUUUGGCUAUGUUACCGCUUUGCUCAGCCCCUCUUAUAGCAUUGCUAGUUGCAGGUGAAGCUUGAAGAUCGUUCCUUUUUGGAACAUUGUUUAUUGUUGGGAUAUCACAAUAUUAUCUUGUUUAUCUAUUUCCACCUAUAUACUUGGUAAAUGGUGGAAGGCUUGGCCUUAUGCCUAGUGUUUUGUUCCACUCUUGCCGCCCUAGUUUCCGUCAUAUCGGUGUUAUGUUCCUGGAUUUGCGUUCCUUACACGGUUGGGUUAUAAUGGGAACCCCUUGACUGUCACCUUGAAUAAAACUCUUCCAGAAAUGCCCAACAUUGGUUUUGACCAACAUUGGUUUUACCAUUCGCCACCUAGCCUUUUUCCCUUGGGUUUCGCGGACUCAAGGGUCAUCUUUAUUUUAACCCCCCAGGCCAGUGCUUCUCUAAGUGUUGGUCCAACUGAGUGAUGCCCGGAGCUACCAGGGGCAACUCUGGGCUGGCCUACCCGACAUCUGGCUCAUCUGAGUGUGCCCUAAGAACGAGAUAUUUGCAGCUCCUAUCAGGAUUUGUCGGCACAUUCAGGCGGUGUUGCUGGACUUGUUUUACCAUUGUCGAGGAUGUCUUGUAACCGGGAUGCCGAGCCUGAUCGGAUUGUGUUGGGAGAAGGAAUAUCCUUCGUUGACCAUGAGAGCUUGUGAUGGGCUAAGUUGGGACUCCCCUGCAGGGAUUUGAACUUUUGAAAGCCGUGCCCAUGGUUAUGGGCAGAUGGGAAUUUGUUAAUGUCCGGUUGUAGAUAACAUGAAACUUAAUUUAAUUAAAAUGCACCAACCGCGUGUGUAACCGUGAUGGUCUCUUCUCGGCAGAUUCCGGGAAGUGAACACGGUGUUUGAGUAAUGCUUGACGUAGGUUGUUCUAGGAUCACUUCUUGAUCAUAGUUGUUCGACCGUGCUUUUGCCUUCUCUUCUCGCUCUCUUUUGCGAAUAUGUUAGACACCAUAUAUGCUAGUCGCUUGCUGCAGCUCCACCUCAUACCGUUGCCUUACCUAUAAGCUUAAAUAGUCUUGAUCGCGAGGGUGUGAGAUUGCUGAGUCCCCGUGACUCACAGAUUUCCUUUCAAAACCAGAUGCAGGGACCGAUGAUACCGCUCCAGACGAUGCGCUUGAGCUCAAGUGGGAGUUUGAUGAAGACUCUCGUCGUUACUAUGUGUCUUUCCUAGAUGAUCAGUAGUGGUGCCCAGUUGGGGCGAUCGGGGACCUUGUCGCAUUUGGGGGUUGAUCUUUAUUUUGGUACCAUAGUCGGACCCUGAGUGUAUUGGAUGAAUGUAAUGUUAUUCAUGUAUUUGUGUGAUGUGGCGAGUGUAAGCCAACUAUGUAUCUUUUCCCCUUUAAUUAUAUUACAUGGGUUUUUUGCGAAGAUUACCUUACUUGCGACAUUGCUUUCAAUGUGGUUAUGCCUCUAAGUCGUGCUUCGACACGUAGGAGAUAUAGCCGCAUUGAGGGCGUUACAGUUUGGCACAUACAAAUUUACUUGGAACGGCAGGUAGAUAUCAUAUAUAGGUAGGUAUAGUGGACUCAUGUGGAAUAACUUUGGGGUUUAAGGAGUUUGGAUGCACAAGAAGUAUUCCCGCUUAGUACAGGCGAAGGCUAGCAAAAGACUAGGAAGCGACCAGUUAGAGAGCGACAACAUUCAUGAACAUGCAUUAAAAUUAAUCAACACCGAAUGCAAGCAUGAGUAGGAUAUAAUCCACCAUGAACAUAAAUAUCGUGAAGGAUAUGUUGAUUUUGUUUCAACUACAUGCGUGAACAUGCGCCAAGUCAAGUCACUUAAAUCAUUCAGAGGAGGAUACCACCCUAUCAUACCACAUCAUAACCAUUUUAAUAGCAUGUUGGCACGCAAGGUAAACCAUUAUAACUCAUAGCUAAUCAAGCAUGGCAUAAGAAACUAUGAUCUCUAGUUGUCAUUGCAAACAUGUUUAUUCAUAAUAGGCUGAAUCAGGAACGAUGAACUAAUCAUAUUUACAAAAACAAAAGAGGUCGAGUUCAUACCAGCUUUUCUCAUCUCAGCCAGCCCAUCAUAUAACAUCAUAAUUGCCUUUCACUUGCACGACCGAAUAGUGUGAAUAAUAAUAAUAGUGCACGUGCAUUGGACUAAGAUGGAAUCUGCAAGCAUUCAAUAAAUAGGAGAAGACAAGGCAAUAUGGGCUCUUUUGUCAGAUCAACAAGUAUGCAUAUAAGAGCCACUUCAACAAUUUAAUUAUGGUCUUCUCCUAUCGACCCCCAAAGAAAAGGAAAGAAAUAAAACUUUUUACACGGGAAAGCUCCCAACAAGCAAAAGAAGAACAUGAAAUCUUUUUGGGUUUUCUUUUUAAUUACUACUACAAGCAUGGAAAUUAAACUAACUAAAAGCUACAACUAAAUUUUUUGGUUUUUCUUAAGGUUUAUUAAACACAAAAGAAGA